CAAAGGGAUGUGGAUGAAUGGGAAAGCACAUUGGAUAAACUCAAAACAAACCCUCUCGAAGAUAUUCAAAAGGUACUCCAGAUAAGUUAUGAUGGACUAGAUGAUAAAUGCAAAAAGUUGUUUCUUGAUAUUGCAUGCUUCUUCAAAUAUAAGGAUGAAAAAUUUGUUACAAGAAUACUAGAAGGUUGCAAAUUCCAUCCCAAGAUUGGACUAAGAGUUCUUGAUGAGAGAUGUCUUAUCUCUAUAACGUACGGCACUAUAAGGAUGCAUGACUUGUUACAAGAAAUGGGUUGGGCAAUUGUUCGCCAAAUUGAUCCAGAAUGUCCUGGAAAAUGGAGCAGAUUGUGGGAAUUACAAGAUAUUGAAAGUGUAUUUACCCGAAAUAAGGUAAGAGAAAAAUACAUGAAUAUACUUGAGACCUAAAGACAUAAAAGAUUCAACAAGAUUUAUUUUUAUUAUUAUUAUAGUCUGAGUACCUUAUCUAUAUAAUUUUAUCGAAUCCCUAUGCAUCUUAUACUACUUUUUCUCAAUGCUUGUUUUCAGGGGACAAAAAACAUUGAGGGGAUAUUCAUAAAUCGGUCUUGGGAUACAAAAAAACGUAUACAACUUACUGCUGAAGCUUUCAGAAAGAUGAAUCGACUUAGAUUGCUCAUAGUUAAAGGCAAUAUGGUGCAGCUUUCCCAAGACUUUGAAUUGCCUUGUCAUGAUUUAGUAUAUUUUCAUUGGGAUAACUACCCUUUGGAAUAUUUGCCAUCAAAUUUUCAUGUAGAAAAUCUUGUUGAACUUAACCUCUGGUACAGCAACAUAGAACAUCUUUGGGAAGGAAACAUGGUAUUGCUAUUAUUUAGUUAUAUUUUUGCUCUAGACUAAUUUUAAAGUCUUUUGAAGUUUACUUAUUGAAACGAAUUUUCUUCUGUUACAGACUGCUAGAAAGUUAAAGGUCAUUAAUCUCAGUUAUUCCAUGCAUCUGGUUGGUAUUUCAAGCAUCUCAAGUGCACCAAAUUUGGAGAUUCUAAUUCUAAAAGGUUGUACAAGGUUACUUACUUGUUUCACCCAUGCUUAAUGUUAUUAUUAGUCAUGAGCUAACUGUUUUCUUGAAUAUAAUAGGAUGCAAGAGACUUGAGAGUCUUCCAAGGAACUUUCAUAAGCUGGAAUGCCUUCAAACACUCUCUUGUGAUGGCUGUUCAAACUUAAAAAGUUUUCCGAAGAUCGAGGAAGAAAUGAGAAGUCUAAGAAAGCUUCAUUUAAGUCAUACAGGUAUAAUGGAAUUACCAUCAUCAAUUAGCAAUCUAAAUGGGCUUGAAAAGUUGGACUUAGGUUAUUGCAAAAACCUUUUGAGUCUUCCGGACAGUAUUUUUAGUUUGAGUUCUCUUCAAACUCUGAAUCUAUUUGAGUGUUCAAAACUAGUGGGCUUUCCGGGUAUCAAUAUUGGAAGUCUAAAAGCUCUUGAAUAUUUGGAUUUGUCAUAUUGUGAGAACAUUGAGAGUCUUCCGAACAAUAUUGGUAGUUUUAGCUCUCUUCAUACUCUUUCAUUGAUGGGGUGUUCAAAACUGAAGGGCUUUCCAGAUAUCAAUAUUGGUAGUUUUAGCUCUCUUCAUACUCUUUCAUUGAUGGGGUGUUCAAAACUGAAGGGCUUUCCAGAUAUCAAUAUUGGAAGUCUAAAAGCUCUUCAAUUGUUAGAUUUCUCACGUUGCAGAAACCUUGAGAGUCUUCCGAACAAUAUUGGUAGUUUGAGCUCUCUUCAUACUCUUUUAUUGGUAGGGUGUUCAAAAUUGAAGGGCUUUCCAGAUAUCAAUUUUGGAAGUCUAAAAGCUCUUCAAUUGUUAGAUUUCUCACGUUGCAGAAACCUUGAGAGUCUUCCCAUGAGCAUUUACAAUUUGAGCUCUCUCAAAACAUUGAGGAUUACAAAUUGUCCAAAACUCGAGGAAAUGUUAGAGAUUGAAUUAGGGGUUGAUUGGCCACUUCCACCUACAACCAGUCACAUUUCAAAUUCAGCAAUAAUCUGGUAUGAUGGCUGCUUUUCCUCAUUAGAAGCAUUAAAACAAAAGUGCCCCCUGUCAUCACUGGUAGAAUUAUCUGUAAGAAAGUUUUAUGGCAUGGAAAAAGACAUCCUCAGUGGCAGUUUCCACCUAUCCUCAUUGAAAAUAUUAUCUCUAGGGAACUUCCCUAGCAUGGCAGGAGGAAUCCUCGAUAAGAUUUUCCAUCUAUCUUCAUUGGUAAAAUUAUCUCUUACUAAAUGCAAGCCAACGGAAGAAGGAAUCCCCAGUGAUAUUCGGAACCUAUCUCCACUGCAACAAUUAUCUCUACAUGACUGCAAUCUAAUGGAAGGAAAGAUCCUCAAUCAUAUUUGCCAUCUAACAUCCUUGGAAGAAUUACAUCUGGGUUGGAACCAUUUUAGUAGCAUUCCUGCUGGCAUCAGUCGACUUUCCAAUCUAAAAGCCCUUGACUUGAGUCACUGCAAGAACCUUCAACAAAUUCCAGAGCUUCCAUCAAGUCUACGAUUUUUAGAUGCGCACUGUUCGGAUCGUAUUUCAUCAAGCCCCUCGCUUCUACCUAUUCAUUCUAUGGUCAAUUGCUUCAAAUCAGAAAUUGAGGUAUGAUUCUCAUGCCACGUUCCUUUUUCUUUCGUACCCAUUGGAUUUACAUGGUGCUUUUGUGCAGGACUGCGUGGUUAUUCAUCGUUAUUCUUCCUUCUGGGGCAAUGGAAUUGGUAUUGUUAUUCCUAGAAGUAGUGGAAUUCUAGAGUGGAUAACGUAUCGGAAUAUGGGAGGGCAUAAAGUAACAAUAGAGCUCCCUCCGAAUUGGUAUGAAAAUGAUGACUUGUGGGGAUUUGCUUUAUGCUGUGUUUAUGUUGCACCUGCCUGUGAAUCUGAGGAUGAAUCUCAGUAUGAAUCAGGUCUUAUAUCUGAGGAUGACAGUGACCUUGAAGAUGAAGAAGCAAGCUUUUAUUGUGAAUUGACAAUCGAAGGAAAUAAUCAAUCAGAAGACGUGGCUGGUUUCGUUCUUGAUUUUCGCUGUGUUAAGGAUGAUGUAUCAGAUAUGCAGUGGGUGAUAUGUUAUCCCAAGUUAGCUAUUGAGAAAAGUUAUCACACCAAUCAAUGGACACACUUCAAGGCUUCAUUUGGUGGGGCCCAAGUGGCAGAGUGCGGAAUCCGUCUGGUAUACACAAAAGAUUAUGAACAGAAACAUCCAACAAUGGCACAAGGCAGUACUUCUCAUGGGAAUUUUGGUGAGCAUGGAUCAGUAAGAGAAGAUGGCAGUACUUCUCAUGGGAAGUUUGGUGACCAUAGAUUAGUAAGAGAAGCUUUACUACUCUAAAGAUACUAAUAGUAAAGAUCACAAUAAAAGGAAUCCCACAGAACAGAGCCCAGGAGAGGAGUCACGUACACCAUAAAAGAUUCAGAGAAACCCAAGACUGAUCCCAAGCAUUAGGCUCAACCACACUUGCAUCAAUAAUGUUCUCUUCCUGGUAAUUCAUCUUCUUUUCUCUUUCAAAUUCAAAGGUCAGAAAUUUUUUUAUCAUGUUUCUCCUUUUUAUUUGUUUUUUCCCCAAGACAAACAAAAAUUUGUGGCUAUCAUCCAUGGGUGCAAACUUCAAUGGUACACCUCCCAAGUUUGUUUUUCUCUCUCUCCAACCGUCUCUCCCUAGAUUUUUCUGCAUUUUCUUCAAACUCAUAUUUCUAUAUGAAAUUCAAUUACAUUCGAGCAUUUCAAUCUCUGUAGCUAAUGUCUGAAUCAUUUCUAGGGUUUCUUUUUUCUGGAAGUUUGUAAUGUUAUUGAUUUAUGACUUGAUGUUUGGGGAUGUUUUGGGUGGCUUGUUCACUUUUUUAUAGCGAUGAUUUAUGGAACCAGAGUUUCUUAGCAGGAAAUGGAACUCGUGUGUUUUAGAAUAUUGGCGUUAUUUGCUUGUGCCCUGUUUGGUUGCUGAGAAAGAGUGGAAGGAGGAUGGAGAAUUAAAUAAUUUUCAAUCUAAGCAAUGAGAAAUUAGAUUUGGGUAUUUGGGCCAUUGGAGUUAUUUGCUCUUACUCAGUUUGGUUUCCAGGAAACUGCAGGCAAAGCAUGGAAAAUAAAGUAUUUUUAAAUUAAUUACCAGGAAAUGGAAUGUACGUAUUUGUCUCUUUGGAAUAUAAACAUCAGUAUUCACUCUUCAAGAAUGUAUAUGGUUGUUGUUUUGGAAUUUUGAAAUUACUUAGCAUCAGACAAUUUCUAACUUGGGAUUUGGAUUGGGAAUCAUAAGUAAUCAUUAGAGAGUAUAUGAGAAGGAGUUUUAGAGUAAGACAGGGUGAUGCAUGUUGAGGGAUGCGUCUCACCCUGGAGUUCUUUGGAAUAAUUAUAGGAUUUUGUAAGUAACUUUGGACUUAUUAGCAAUGUUCUGGAUUUGUGAAUAAUUUAUAGAAUACAUUGGGUGUUUUUUUUUUUUUUUUUUUUUGAGAGUGAAUAAUGUAUGACUGUACUCUUCUCUAUCUCUGUGGUAUGGCACACGUAUGAUUUGGUGCUUUUUUGCAGGCCUUCAACAGCAGCAAAGCAUCUGGUGGCUUGCAGUACUAAUCUUGCAUUAUAUUCUCUGUUUUGCAAUCAUUUGGUACUGUUUGUCCCAACCAAGGAUAGCUCUGUGCAAGCAGUCUCGACUGUGGAACAAGUAAAACAAAUGGUACCUGCUGAAGCUGAGAGGGCAGAUGAUAAGCUGGUGCGGAAGGUGGUCAACCAAAAGAAUCAGACAGCAAAAACUAAAAAGCCCAUCAAGCCUGCUACUGAAGCAGCCUCAGCACCUGUUUCUGGGAGGGGUGAGAUUGAAGUGACUGAAGAAAAGGAGCAUGAGCAAACAAAGAAGGAAGAGGAGUUGGCCAGGAAGGUAGAGGAAUUGAGAAGUGAAGAAGAAGCAGCCAUGUUGAAGGAGAGAAAGCCAACGUUAAGGAGGCACUGGAAAGGAAACAAGGAACUGCAGAAAAGGCCAAUUUCUCUGUGAGUGCUGCCACCUUUUCAUAAUAAUGGAUGUUAAAAGCAGUCUAACUCUACAUGGCGUUUAUUUUCCCCAGCCAUGGAUUGGAAUCUGCCAGUCUAACUCUCAUAAGAAACAAAAUUUUCCAUCCUCAUAUGGAUUAUUGGAGAAGAUUUUAACAUGGAGUUCACUAGAGAGUUUCUAACACCCACUCAAAAAGGACAUUUUAGAGAACUUAUUGAAAAGUUACAUCAGAGUACAUAAAUUUUUAGAUAUUUUUAAAAAUAUCUGAAAAAUUAAAUUAACUAAAAGUAUUUGAAAAAUAUUUGAUUGAAUUAAUAAAUAACUAGUAUUUGCAUAUGAAAAAAUAGUAAACAUAGUCAAUAAUUUUUUUUUUAAUAAUUAGCACAUAAUAAUCAUAAAUUAAUUUAUGGCAAGACCUCAUAUUUGUUGUGGUGACUGUGUUGUCUUACCAUUCUUCUUUCAUGAUGGGCUUAAAUUUUAAUUUAAAUGUAGUAUAAAUAUAUAAUUAGAUUGAUAUUUCGUCCACUAGAAUUGAUUGGGUCUGAAUUUGAACCCUGGUCUUGAAUUUCUUGGCCCAACCAACGAAAUCAUUGACCAACGGCCCUUAGUUUGGGCUGGGCUUGAUGGUCCUCAGGUUAUGCAGGCUUAAUACUGAUUGGGUUUGGGCUUCCAUGCAGUUGUACUUGGAUUCUAUGUUUCCUAAUAUUAACACUAAAAUUAGGUUUAAUUUAUUAACACUAAAUUAGGUUUCAUUUAUAAUUAAAUAUAAUUAGUUUGAGAAUAACUCCAAUCUUUAGUUAAACCAACUAAGUUUUAUGCAAAGGUUUAUAUUCCUAAUACCAUUGAAAAACUAAAUUUAUGUGGAAGUUUGACUGAUACCAACAUUAAAUUAUUAAGAUAAAUUGAAAAAAAAAAAAUCAUGCUCGUAUGUCCUGUUGUUUGUCAUAAGAAAAUUUCUUUUCAGAUUUUUUUUUUCUUUUAAUACAUCUUUACAUUUUUAAUAACAAUCCAUAGGAUUGUUCCCAAACAUAUAUCAUAUAAAUAUAUCUUUUUUGGAUUUUUAAGAAUGUUGUCAAACAAACUCAUAAUACCAUUCUUUCUUUACAAUUACCAAUCCAUAUGAUGAAUUUAUUCCUUUCAAUAACUGACAUCAUCUAAUAAAAAUUAUAAUUAGGUAUUAUAUUUAAAAAGUGUUUAAUAAAUCAAUUUAAUAACUUAAGUGAUUUAAUAACUUAAUUUAAAUUAUUAAAAUAAUUUGAUGUCACAAUUUAAAGUUAAAAUUGAUUUAAUUAAUUUUUAUUUAAAUUUAAAACUAUGUUUACAAAAAAGGCUUAAAAUUCAUAUCAAUUAAGAAAUUAAGUUAUUAAGUUACUUUAAGUCAUUAAAUUAAUCUACCAAUUAAACACCCUUUAAGAUAUGAUAUAAAGUUCACCUCCUACAUAUCAUGAAAAUUAAAAAUUAAUUACCACAUCAAGAAUCUUUAGUUCCUAAUCGAUUUAAUAUUUAAUCCUUGGUUGUGAAUUUCUUUAUAUAUGUAGAUAUAUUUUUAUAUUGCAAGUGGGCUGCCGACUUUUCAUUUUAUACUAGUUUUGAAAAUAAGAUUGUAGUUUUUAUUUUGUCCAAAUCUAAUUUGGAGGGAGAAUCUUUAGAGGCUAUUUUAUAUUCAAAUAGGAAAAUUUUAAAUUUAAUAGUCCCACCUUAUAAAGGCAAAUAUCUUGGACCCUACAUGGGUGCCUCUUACAUGCAUGCACGAGGACAAAGACUUAUUGAAAGCCUCUCUCAUUCACAUGGAUGCCAUCAUUCAUCGAAGUUGAAACAUGAAACCCACACAAAAUAUUUGGGCAAAAGCAACUUCAAUAUUUUUUUUCAUUACUAUAGCUGAGAAUCUCAAUAUUAUUAAAUAGUAAUAAAAUUAAUUUUAAUAUUUUUUUUCUUAUUUUUUCCUCCUUGUGGUUAUAUUUUCAUCCGGAAAGUAUUAAAUAUUAAAAAAGAAUAAAAUUUAAAAAUUAAUUUUUCAUAUUUAAUUAUAUUGUGAAAAAUAUAAAAUAAAAUAUAAUAUAAUUAAAAUUAGUUAAAAUUUUAUAUUUUUAUAAAAUUAUUUAACUUUUUUAUAAAAAUUUAAAAUAAGUGACAUGAGUUUGAAAUAGUAUACAUAUUGACUUUAAAUUUAAUUUUUAUAUUUUUCAUUUUUCUUUUUAACUAUUCUUCUUUCUUCUCUUUCUCUCAACUUUUCCUUCAAAUUUUCCAAUAACCAAACAUAACCUAUUUGUUUCAUAAAAACUCUUUUACCUUUUUAAAUUUUUAAAAGAGUUGCUUACAUAAUAUGGAGCUAAUAGUAUUACUUGUACCUAUUAAUUUCUUUUAAGAUUAAAUUGUUCUAACUUUGUGUGAUAAAAAGUUUGUAAAGUCCAAUUUUACGAAAGAAAAUAUAUGAUUAGUGACUCCCUUGCAUUUCCUUUGGGAUUCACCCCUUCAUACUUACCGUAAAUAGUUGUACCAAUUAAUCAAACAAAAAACAUAGCAUGUAAAUAGUAAUAUGUUAAAGUUUUCUAUCGUGCCUAAGUUUAAUUAGUUCUACUUAUUUAUAUAUUGAAAUGAAAGUAAGCAUAUAUUUAAGUGGUCCAUCAAAUUUGAAACUAAUCUAUUGUAAUUACAUUCAUGUCUAUAUCAUUUAUAUUGUACAUAACUUGAGUACAUUAAAAAUUGUACAAAAAAUCCAAAUUACAAGGAAGUUUAUAUAAACUCUCUUAGGAUUAGACACUGUUAGUCAUUGCCUUCUAAAAAGCUUUCAUCUCUUUCUCCCUCAAGAGGUUUGUAGUCACUUUACACAAGUGUCAAAACUCAAAAGAGUGAUCUAAUGAAGAUGACGAGGUGAUUGAGAUCCUUUUCAUAAACUGGAGUUUGAUAUGGGAACAUUCAUAUCGAAGGUAAAAAUUUUUAUCAGCAACUAGACUUACUUUUAUCUUUCCUUAUAAUUAAACCCAAUAAUCCUAGGUUGUUAGAGACCACACACCUAUGAUCCAAGGGUUUUCCCAACAAGGAUAUCAAUAAAUCUUUCUACUCUAUUGAUGGCAUCUUGAAUUCUUUCAAAUUAAUCACUUCAUUGUAAUCGUUAUUCACUAAAUCCCAUAAAUCUUGAGAUCUAAACAUGACAUUCAUAUGAAUGCAUCAAUUAUUAUAAUUCUUACUUAUGAAUUUUGAAAGUUGAGAUUCAAUUGAGUUAUUAUUUACCAUCAUUACUUUAACAACCAAAUUGCAAAUUUCUUUAUACUAUUCACAUUCUCUGGCAGCCUUUGACCUUCCCUAAUCUUUAGCCUCUAGCUAAUACCACUUGUUUGAGCUCCCAUAAUUGGGCAGCAUUGACAAUAAUUUACUAAAAUAACAUUUUAUUCUAUCCUACUCUCUCUUUGUCAACAUAAUAAUAAACCUCUAUUUAAAAUAAGUUGAUCAUAUUUGCAUUAUCACUCUAAUUCAUAAUUAGAUUGGGAAACCUAAUUAAUAUCAAAUAAAUAACCAUUCCUAAUAUUUCUCAAAUUUAUAAAAUUCUUCUAAUUUGACUUUAAAUUGAUUUUUUAUUUUGACUAUAUAGCUUAAAAAGGAUAAUUUUUUAAAUAAUUAUCAAUUUCAUAUAAUCUUUAUAAGCAUUUGUGUUCAUAAAUUCCUUAUUAUGAUAUUAGGUUUUAGACAAUUUGACAAUAUGAUGAUGUUUUGGAAUGAAUGUUAAGUGAAUCCGUUUUACUCAAAACCAUUAAAUAAAAAAAAAAGACAGUUACACAAGUAAAAUAGUAGAUUAUUGAAGGCCAGGAGAAAAGAAGAGGAAAAUGAAAUAUUAUAUCCCUAUAAUGAGUUAGGUGGAUAUUUCAUGUGAAAAGUUUAAUGUGCAAGGUUGUUCAUGUCUAUUGAGUUUUGGGUAAUCAUUUUUUCAUGGAAAUUUUUUAUGGAAUCCUAAUCUUAGAAAGCAAUAGGAAAUUUUUUUACCAAGAUUUCUAAGAAAUAACUACAUCAAAGUGUAAGAAAAGUAUCAAACUAGAAUAUCUAAGAAAUUACUACAUCAAAGUGUAAUAGAAACAUCAAAUUAGAAAGUGAAAUAUAAUACAAUUCAACUAUGAAAAUGAAGGACAAAGGAAUAGACUAAUUGCCAAAGGAAAAUAGUCUUUUAGUUUUAAUCAGAAAUUUCUUAUAUCAUAAUUAUGACCUGUAGAGGCCACAUGGGUUGUUGGCCUUGGAGUGACUAAAAGGUACAACUAAAAAACGUCAAACAUUUGGAGAACUAAAAGAAAACAUGGAUAAAAUUUUUUUACCUAGAACAUUUAUAUAGAAAUAUUUUAUUUUUUAUUUUUAAAAAAUUAGUAAAGGUAGUAAAGUUUUUUAAAGAUUAUUUUGCGCCCUAAAAACAAAUCGUAAAGGCUUGUUAAAGAUUAUUUUGGAUAUGUUUCAUGCAUUAAUUUUUUUUAACAUUUCAAAUUUUUAAAUGAUUUUUAAAAGUUAUUACCUUUUAAAAUGUAAAUCUCAUAGAGUAUUUGCAUUAUAUAGGAAUUACUAUCAUUUUUAUUUUUUUUAAAAAAGAGAAAUGUAUUCAAAUAAUACCUUAAUUUUUCAUUUUCUAGUAUAAGGAAAUGAUUAUAUCUCACACAAACCUUGUUCAGAUACAUAUUUCAAAGUGAGAAAAAAAAAAUUCUUUUAGAGAAAAGAAGUCCUUCAAAAAGAAGAAAAAAAAAGGUUUUUCAAAGAAGAGUUAGAAGGAAAAGUGAAUUCAAUCUUAUAAUCAGCUAACAUGAUGUUGUUUGAUUACAUUUUUUAUUUUCUAUUUUUACAAAUAAAAUAUAAUAAUAACUCCUAUAUGAAAUAUAGAACUCUUUCAAACUUACUUUAAAAACAUAAUAAUAUUUAAAAAUUAAGAUAAAUUGUGAUAUUAAAAAAAAAAUUACUUCUUCAAAUUUUAAAAAUUAUGAAAAUAAAUUUUUAAUGACAUAAGAUAAGUCUAUAAAUUUUACAUAAAAGUUAUUAUAUUUUAUAUAGAAACUAUUACUAUUUUCUAUUUGUAAAAAUACAAAAUAAAAAAUAUAUCCAAGCAAGUACUAUGAGAAAUAGUUUCUAACAUUUCUUAUUAAGAAAAUGAGAAUAUUAAGAAGUAUAUUCCUACUACAUUGUUUUUUUUUUUAAUUUGAUAUCAACCCAUUCUAUUAGCUCUUUUGAGAAAUAUAGAAAAAUAACAUUACAUAAUUGCAUAGAACAAGAAUAUUAUUUAAGUUUGAGGCAAGUGUUAAAAAGAUAUUGUAAUUCUGUUACGUUGUUUAACUUCAAUGUCCUAUAUGUAACUGUUAGGAAUUUGAGGCUAAUCCAAACUAUAGUAAUCACCCUAGAGGGAGGGGGGGGGGGGGGGUAAAUAGGGUGAUGAUCUCUUUUUCACAAAUCUAAACUAUGCAAAAAUAAGAGACAAUUAUAUGUAAAUAUAUAAUAAACACAAUUACAUAUAAUUUAAAAAAUUUGGGAAAAAAAAGUGCAAAACCGAAAACUUAUAAUGGGUCGACACUUCCUUGGCCACCUUCCCUCUCCUUAAACCCCUAAACGAAUGAGGGUUCCCCUAUUUUGAAGCUUCCACCAAGCUUCCAAACCCUUUACAAAUGGAUUAAGGUUUCCAAUCCCCCUUUUGNNNNNNNNNNNNNNNNNNNNNNNNNNNNNNNNNNNNNNNNNNNNNNNNNNNNNNNNNNNNNNNNNNNNNNNNNNNNNNNNNNNNNNNNNNNNNNNNNNNNAGAGAGUGCAAACACGAGAGCUUAUAGUGGUUCGACACUUCCUUGCCUACGUCCACUCUCCUCAACCUCCUAACCGAGUGAGGGUUCCACUAUCUUGAAGCUUCAACCAAGCUUCCAAUCUCUUUACAAUUGGAUUAUGGUUCCAAUUCACCCUUUUGGACUUUUGGCUCCAAGCACCCUUUACACUUCUCAAAAGUUAUCCCACUCUUGAACAACCUCUCAAGUGAUACCCCUCACUUGAGAAAAUUCCUCUCAAAGAUAUACAAAGAUUGAUCUCACAAAAAUUGUAGUAAUAGAACUUUAAGCUCAAAUGAUACAAGAGAAACUAGGAUUGAAUGGUGCACUAAAGAUAUGCAAGUUUUGGAAUAAUGGUGCACUCAAAAAUACUCUUCCAAGGCUCAAAUAUAAUCAAGAAAGAUUUGGGAAGGUUUAGCUUAUCAAACAACGAAGUUUGGAGCCUUUUUAUAGAAGAAAAAAGUCAUACUAGCCGUUGGGGGUUUGAUCGGUCGAGCUAAGGGUCGACUGGUUGACUAACCAUUAGGAAAAGUGACUGUUGAGCCUCAACCGGACCUCAACCGGUUGAGGUUCAACCUUGACCGGGAAGAGAAGGCCACUAGGAGAGAGAGAAAGUUUUUGGCCUCCCUCAACCGGUCCUCGACCGGACGAGCACAACCAAUCGACCAGUUGAACCGGUUGAGCCAUUUUUUUGGCUCAACACUCAACAUUUUUCAACUUAAAACCUUUUAACACAAAUUUGAAAAUCAUUUAACACAAGGUUUUAGUUGAAAACAUUAAAUCAUCCAAUUCUUAAGAUAUUUAAAACAAUAUUACUCUUGGAUAAUUUUGGUGCAUAAAUAAAUAAUGAAAUGCAUGAAAGUCCUAGUGCACCAACAACCUUACAAAGAGAUCCUAAGAAGCUUUGGUCUUGAAAAACUCUUCUCUUUGAGGUGGUCUUCUUUUUCAUGAUUUCUCCUUGACUUGAUUUGUCUUUGGAUUGCCACUUUGGAAGUCGUCUUGCCUAAUCACACUUGAAAUAUGAUCAUUAGUUCUAAACCUUGUUUUGUUAUCAUCAAAAUCAAGAUUAACCAAACCUUGGUUUCACAGUAACGACUUGUUCCCAACCAUAUAGAUAUUGUCCGCUUUGGACCCAAAUGGGCCCUCACGGUUUUUAAAACUCGUCUACUUGGUUAAGAGGAACUUCUACAUAUAUAGCGUCAGACUUUCCCCCCUAUCCGAUGUGGGAUGUCACAAACACCCCCCUCCCCCCCUCCAUGUAGACACAACGUCCUCGUUGUGUCCCAUGGGAUUGUAGGGUUAAAUAGACAAACACCCCUUAUGAGGUCAAACAAACCCCAACACCGGGGUCGGGGAUCGACUCUGAUACCAUUUAUCAGAAUCCGUACUCAAUUAUAUAUAUAUUGUCCGCUUUGGACCCAAAAGGGCCCUCACGACUUUAAAACGCGUAUACUUGGUUAAGAGGAGUCUCUACACAUAUAGCACCAAGAACUUUUCCCCCUAUCCAAUAUGGGAUGUCACACUAUAUAUGUGUAACAAUUUUUCUUUAAAAAAAUUAGAGGACUUAAAAUGGGCUCUUGUCAACCUUAUUGAUAUUUGAUGUCAAAGGGAUACAACCAACCACCACAAAUAAUUGAGAGAAAAGAAAGGAAAUAAUAAUAAGAGGUAGGCCCCGGGCUCUUGUGAACCUUAUUGAUAUUUGAUACCAAAGGGAUACAACCAACUCCCACAUUUAAUUAAGAGAAAAGAUUGGGAUAUCCUCACCACCAUGUCUAGAUUGCUUUAGUAGGACCAAGAGAAGUCAUUCAGCAUCCAAAGAUCCUCUUCUUCUUCUUCUUCUUUUAAUUCUAAAUGGAGGGACAAUGUGUUCUUGAGUUUCAAAGGUGAAAAUACUCACAAAAGCUUUACUAAUCAUUUCUACUGUAUAUCUUUACUUGUAAUAAAUGUAUAAGAUAUUUGUAUUAACUGUAUAAAACAUGUACAGACCUGUAUAUCUUGAAUUUAUUAAUAUGUUUUUCUUCAUUUUCUUUGUUUUCCAUACCAAAAUACUAAAAAAAUUAUUUACAUAAUUUUUUCUUUUCACAUUUUCAUAUGUAUACAAGACACUUAUACUAAAUGUACAAGAUAUUUUCAUAUUUUGACUAAUGCCUAUACAAAUAUGCAAAUAUAUUGACAAUAGGCAAACUCAUACUAGUCUUGUAUAGUUAUGACAAAUGUCUUAUACAUUUAGGGUGUGUAUACAAUGUUUUCUAAUUCUUUGUAUAGUUAAUACAAAUGUCAUAUAUAUUUUUGAAAAUGUAAAAAAAAAAAAAAGAAGUUAUAUUUGACAUUUACACAUUAUAUAUAAACAAUAUUUCAAUUUAAUAUGGAAAAUGAAAAAAAUGCAAAUAGAUAUAUGUGAAGGGUAAAAAGAGUAUUUUUGUUCGUAAAAUUUCAUGUACUUAAACAUGAAGUAUGCAUCUUUUCACAGAUGUUGGCCAAAUUAUGAACCUCAAACACAAUUGUUUUAAAGAGAAAUGUGAAGAAAAAGAAUAUGAAUGGUAGUUGUAAGAAAAUUAAAAAAUAAAAUCAUUGACUCUUCACUCUACCAAACUAGGGAUGACAACGAGGCGAGUUUGGGAUGGGGCCUCGUUCCGUUUAACUUUUUUUUUUAAUUACUUAAAAUUUUUUUAAUUAUAUUAAAAUAAAUAUAUUUUAUAAAUAAUUAAAUUAUUAUAUUUUUAUAACUUAUUUUAUUAAAAAAUAUUUUUUUUAUUAUUUAUAUAUUAAAAAUAGUAAAAUUAAAAUUAAAAUUAAUUUAAUUUUAAAAAUUAAUUUUAUAUAUAAUAGGGGUGGAGCAAGAUAAGGCAAUAGCUGAAUCUGUCCUGGGUUUUAAAAAGAUUCCCAAACCUGUCCAAAACUCAUUUAGUUAAAAUUGAAACUCAUCCAAUUACGAGCGGGUAUCCGAAAAAACUUGUCCUAUUGUCAUCCCUAUACCCAACCACACUAUCAUCCAAUGAAUAAAACGAAAAUAACUAAAAUUAAGGAACAACCCAAGAAUCAAUGACUUCCUAGCAAGCCCAUCCAUAUCCCAACACGGACAAAAAUAUUUUAAUUUUUUUGCCUUAAAAAUCACGCAUGAAGCUUCCUAGAAAUUUCAUACUUCUUUGUCAUUAUCUAUAUUUUCUACUUCUUUUUCAUCGUCAAUAUUUGUGUAUAUAUAUAAAAUAAAACUUGCAAGAAAAUACAAAAAUGAUAGAUGGCAAAAUGGUUUUUAUGUUAAGAAGGUUCUAAAUUUUUCACACCUUUACAGUAUAAAAAAAAAAAAAAAAAAAAACUUUUUAAAUACAGAACUAUUUCGGACUUGAAUCAUUUUGAAAUUCAGAGACUUGAAAAGUGUUUGUUGGACUUGAAGGAGUUUGGAGUUAAUCUUGAACUUAGAUAUGUUUAGAAAUCAAAGUGGAUUUGAAGAAGAUUGAAAUCCACGACAUGACAACACUGUAAUAUGAAUAGUGUUUUGUCAAAAAAAAUUACUAUUUACUAUUUACUAGGGCAUAAAAGAAAAAUACAAAAUAAUACUCUAAAAAUGCGAAGGAAAGAUUGUUGGUCGUUGAAUAAGGGGAAAAAAAAGAAGAAAAGUAAAAUGUGAAAAAAAAAAGCUUCAAGAGUGCAAUUAAUAAUUGUGGUAGGCCCUGACUUUUGUCUUGUGAACCCGCCUAUUAUUGAAUGGAAAAGGGAUAUAGCCAACCAAAAUAAUUGAGAGUAAAGAAAGGAACACCUCACCACUAUGCUCCAAAUUGAGAGAAAAACAAAGUCAGCCGGCAUCCAAGGACAUUUUUAUUAAAAAAGUAAAGAAAAGAAAUGGUGCUUUAGCUAUUAUCAUAUCAACUCCUAGGAAAUAAAUGAAAAGAACAAGUAAAUGAAAAGAAACAAAAAAAAAAGUUCUUAGAAUGCAAAAAGAAGAUAUUGGAUAUUGAAUGCCCAAAAGAGAAAAAAAUAAAAUGGUAAGAUGUAAAGAAAAGAGUCAGAAAAGCUUCACAAUUGCAAUUAAUAAUUGAGGUACGACUUGGACUUUUGUGAACCCUCACUGUUAAUGCUAAAGGGUUACAGCUAAGGAAAGGAUAAAUGGGAGAGAAGAACAGGACAUCCUCACCACCAUCGUCUUAGCAUCAAAGACCCUCUUUUUUCUUCUUCCAAAUUCUGUUCUUGUAAUUUUGUUACAAUCCAACCAUGGCUUCCUCUAGCAAUUCUAAGAGACCCUUUUGUUCUUCUUCUUCUUCUAAUUCUAAAUGGAGGUACGAUGUGUUCUUGAGUUUCAGAGGCGAGGAUACCCGCAACAACUUUACUAGUCAUCUCUACAAGGAUUUGGAUAAGGCCAACAUUAAAACCUUUAAAGAUGAUGAAGAACUUCGAAAGGGAGGAGAGAUUGCACCCGAGCUCCUAAAAGCUAUUGAAGAAUCAAGGAUCGCCAUUAUCGUCUUCUCGAAAACCUAUGCUCAUUCCAAGUGGUGCUUGGAUGAACUCGUCAAGAUCAUGGAGUGCCAGAAAGAAAAGGGACAAAUAGUUUAUCCCGUUUUCUAUCACGUACGGCCGUGUGAAGUCAGGAACCAGUAUGGGACUUAUGGAGAAGAAUUUAAGAAACACGAGAGCAAUGCGGACGAGGAGAAGAAGAAGAAAAUAGGGGAGUGGAGGACUGCCUUAAGGAAAGCCGGUGAUUUGAGUGGAUUUAGUCUGCGGGAUAGGUAAUCCCUACUUCACUUUUUCCAUUUCCAAUUUUCUGUCAGUUUAUUUUCAUUCUUGUUAGUAAAUAAAAUAUUUAUGAUUACAUAUAUCAAUCAAAAUCCAGUUUUUAAGUAGUAGACAUUAAUAUGUUUGAUUUCUUGGAAAGUAAUAAGAAGAGUUAAAAAUAAAUAAAAAUAAAAAUUUAAAAAAUUUGAUUUUCUUAUAUUUAAUGUAUUAUUAAAAAAUAUGAAAGAAAAUAAAAAUAUAAUUAAAAUACAUUGUAAAAAUAUAUAUAAUUAGUUUAUAAUUAAAAUAAUCUUAGAAAAUCUAUAGUAGUUGUUCUGGGCUCAUUCAGGCCCAACAGGUAAUCCCUAUUUCACUUUUUCCAUUACCAAUUUUCUGUCGGUUUAUUUUCAUUCUUGUUAAUAAAUAAAAUAUUUAUGAUUACAUUUAUCAAUCAAAAUCCAUUUUUAAGUAGUAGACAUUAAUAUGUUUGAUUUCUUGGAAAGUAAUAAGAAAGAGUAAAAAAAAAAAUUGACUUUCUCACAUUUAAUUUAUUAUUAAAAUUAUAAAAGGAAAUCAAAUAUAAUUAAAAUAUAUCGAAAAAAAAAAUAUUUGCCUACAAUUGGGAUAAUAUUAGAAAAUCUAUAGUAGGUGUUGUGGGCUCAUUCAGGCCCAGGUAAUACUGGUAAAAAAAUAAAAUAAAAUAAUUAUGCCAAAUGCCAAGUUUUGAAUUGUUAAAAAUCUUUAAGAUUCCAAAAUAUUCUUCCUUUCUAAUCAAUCCAUCUCAGCCAUAAUUUCUAUCAAUUAAAUUGUUCAAAUUGGUUAUUUAUAUGCUUUGUAAAUUUGGAGAUAAUCUGAGAUGAUUAUUUAAAAUAUUGUAAUACUACCCUAAAUUUUUUUGGACCCUCUUAUGGGACAAAAAACUUAGUUAUUGCACCCUUAACCUUUUUCAAUUUUAGAGGAAUUUUCUAUUACUAAAAUAAUUUUCUCAUGUUCUCUGUGCACUACAUGAGUUUACAUUUCUUCUUUACUUAAUAUUGUUUGUUCCUCUAUAUUUGCAAGUUGAUUAUUAAAUUUAUUUACCUUUUAAUCUAAUGUUUGUAUCUCGUUUUAUUCUAAUUAUCCCAUGACAUCUGGAUAAUCUCUUCUUAAGACCUUGACAUGACAUAAUGAAAUUUUAUUUAAACAUGCAAUUCAACACAUUUUUAAUUUACAUUCUAUUUGACCUUAAUUUAAUUGCACCGAACUAAAGAUCAUUCUAUAAUUUCCAUUUACUUCAUCUUUGUUUUCUUUGACAAUUGAUUGUAGCUUACUCCAUGUUUUAUUGUACUUUAUAAUGGACAGAUCUGAGGCAGAGUUUAUUGAAGAAAUCAUUGGUGAGAUUCGAAGAUUAAUUCCUAAGUGGGUACAUGUUGGUGAGAAUAUUGUUGGAAUGGAUGAAAAUUUGAAAAAAGUGAAGUUAUUGAUAGAUGCCCAAUCAAAUAAAGUGAGUAUGGUUGGGAUUUAUGGGACUGGUGGGAUUGGUAAAACUACCAUCGCCAAGGUUGUUUACAAUGAUAUGUUAGAUCAAUUUAAAUGUCACAGCUUUCUUGAAAAUGUGAGAGAGAAAUAUGAAGAUAAAGGUGAUUUGCUUCAAUUACAAAAAGAACUUCUUUGUGAUAUCCUAAUGGAGAAAAAUCUGGUGUUAAGGAAUAUUGAUGAAGGAUUUAAAAAGAUAAAGAGUAAGCGUCACUCUGAAAAGGUUCUUAUUGUUCUUGAUGAUGUAGGUUGUGAAGAACAAUUAAAAUUCUUAGCUCCUAAUUCUGAAUGUUUUCAUCCAGGAAGCAUAAUCAUUGUGACCACGAGAAAUAAGCGUUGCCUAGAUGUAUAUGACUCGUAUUCAUCAUAUGAGGCUAAGAGAAUGGCAGACAAGCAAGCUGAGGAACUCUUUUGUUGGAAUGCCUUCAAGCAAGACCAUCCCAUAGAAAAUUUUGUGGGCCUCUCUAAUCGUAUACUGGAUUAUGCUGACGGCCUUCCAUUGGCUCUUGUAGUUUUGGGUUCUUUUCUCUUUCAAAGGCCUAUGGAUGAAUGGGAAAGCACAUUGGAUGAACUCAAAACAAUCCCUCCCGAGAAUAUUCAAAAGGUACUCCAGAUAAGUUAUGAUGGACUAAGUGAUGAACGCAAGAAGUUGUUUCUUUAUAUUGCAUGCUUCUUCAAAGAUGAGGAUGAAAAAAUGGCAACAAGAAUACUAGAAAGUUGCAAAUUACAUCCCGCUAUUGGACUAAGAGUUCUUCAUGAGAGGUGUCUUAUUUCUAUAGAGGACAACACUAUAAGGAUGCAUGACUUGUUACAAGAAAUGGGUUGGGCAAUUGUUUGCAAUGAUCCAGAACGUCCAGGAAAAUGGAGCAGAUUGUGCGAAUUACAGGAUAUUGAAAGUGUAUUAUCACAAAAUGAGGUAAGAGAAAAAUACAUGAACAUACUUGAGAUCUAAAGACAUAAAAGAUUCAACAAGAUUUAUUUUUAUUAUUAUUAUAGUUUGAGUAUAUUAUCUAUAUAAUUUUAGUGAAUCCCUAUGCAUCUUAUACUGCUCAUUCUCAAUCCUUGUUUUCAGUGGACAAAAAACAUUGAGGGGAUUUUCACAAGUCAGUCUCGCCAUACAGGAAAACAUAUACAACUUACUACUGAAGUUUUCAGAAAUAUGAAUCAACUUAGAUUGCUCAAAGUCGAAUUCAAUCAGAUCGUGCAGCUUUCCCAAGACUUUGAAUUGCCUUGUCAUGAUUUAGUAUAUUUUCAUUGGGAUUACUACCCUUUAGAAUAUUUGCCAUCAAAUUUUCAUACAGACAAUCUUGUUGAACUCAACCUCUGGUGUAGCCGCAUAAAACAUCUUUGGGAAGGAAAUAUGGUAUUGCUAUUAUUUAGUUAUAUUUUUGUUGUAGACUAAUUUUAAAGUCUUUUGAAGUUUACUUCUUGACACAAAUUUUCUUCUGUUACAGCCUGCUAAAAAGUUAAAAGUCAUUGAUCUUAGUUAUUCCAUGCAUCUGGUUGACAUUUCAAGCAUCUCAAGUAUGCCAAAUUUGGAGACUCUAACUCUAAAAGGUUGUACAAGGUUCCUUAAGUGUUUCAUCCAUGCUAAAUGUUAUUAUCAGUCAUGAACUAAUUGUUUUCUUGAAUAUAAUAGGGUGCACGAGACUUAAGAGUCUUCCAAGGAACUUUCCUAAGUUGGAAUGCCUUCAAACACUCUCUUGUUGUGGCUGUUCAAACUUAGAGAGUUUUCCGAAGAUCGAGGAAGAAAUGAGAAGUCUAAGAAAGCUUAAUUUAAGUCAAACAGGUAUAAUGGGAUUACCAUCAUCAAUUAGCAAGCUAAAUGGGCUUAAAGAGUUGGACUUAAGUAGUUGCAAAAAGCUUUCGAGUCUUCCGGACAGUAUUUAUAGUUUGAGCUCUCUUCAAACUCUCAAUCUAUUUGCAUGUUCACGACUAGUGGGCUUUCCGGGUAUCAAUAUUGGAAGUCUAAAAGCUCUUAAAUACUUGGAUUUGUCAUGGUGUGAGAACCUUGAGAGUCUUCCGAAUAGUAUUGGUAGUUUGAGCUCUCUUCAAACUCUUUUAUUGAUAGGGUGUUCAAAACUGAAGGGCUUUCCAGAUAUCAAUUUUGGAAGUCUAAAAGCUCUUGAAUCGUUAGAUUUCUCAGGUUGCAGAAACCUUGAGAGUCUUCCCGUGAGCAUUUACAAUGUAAGCUCUCUCAAAACUUUGGGGAUUACAAAUUGUCCAAAACUCGAGGAAAUGUUAGAGAUGAAACUAGGGGUUGAUCCAUGCCCCUGGCCAUUUUCACCUCUAACCUGUCACAUUUCAAAUUCAGCAAUAAUCUGGGAUGAUCACUGGCAUGACUGCUUUUCCUCAUUAGAAGCAUUAGACUCACAGUGCCCCCUGUCAUCACUGGUAGAAUUAUCUGUAAGAAAGUUUUAUGACAUGGAAGAAGACAUCCCCAUUGGCAGUUCCCACCUAACCUCAUUGGAAAUAUUAUCUCUGGGGAACGUCCCUACAGUAGUAGAAGGAAUCCUCUAUGACAUUUUCCAUCUAUCUUCAUUGGUAAAAUUAUCUCUUACUAAAUGCAAGCCAACAGAAGAAGGAAUCCCCCGUGAUAUUCAGAACCUAUCUCCACUGCAACAAUUAUCUCUACAUGACUGCAAUCUAAUGAAAGGAACGAUCCUCGAUCAUAUUUGCCAUCUAACAUCCUUGGAAGAAUUAUAUCUGGGUUGGAACCAUUUUAGUAGCAUUCCUGCUGGCAUCAGUCGACUUUCCAAUCUAAAAGCCCUUGACUUGAGUCACUGCAAGAAGCUUCAACAAAUUCCAGAGCUUCCAUCUAGUCUACGAUUUUUAGAUGCGCACUGUCCGGAUCGUAUUUCAUCAAGCCCCUUGCUUCUACCUAUUCAUUCUAUGGUCAAUUGCUUCAAAUCAAAAAUUGAGGUAUGAUUCUCAUGCCACGUUCCUUUUUCUUUUGUACCCAUUGGAUUUACAUGGUGCUUUCGUGCAGGGGCGCAAGGUUAUUAAUAGGUAUUCUUCCUUCUAUGGCAAUGGGAUUGGUAUUGUUAUUCCUAGUAGUGGAAUUCUAGAGUGGAUAACGUAUCGGAAUAUGGGAAGGCAAGUAACAAUAGAGCUCCCUCCGAAUUGGUAUAAAAAUGAUGACUUGUGGGGAUUUGCUUUAUGCUGUGUUUAUGUUGCACCUGCCUGUAAAUCUGAGGAUGAAUCUCAGUAUGAAUCAGGUCUUAUAUCUGAGGAUGACAGUGACCUUAAAGAUGAAGAAGCAAGCUUUUAUUGUGAAUUGACAAUCGAAGGAAAUAAUCAAUCAGAAGACGUGGGUCAUUUCUUUCUUCAUUCUCGCUGUAUUAAGGAUGAUGUAUCAGAUAUGCAGUGGGUGAUAUGUUAUCCCAAGUUAGCUAUUGAGAAAAGUUAUCACACCAAUCAAUGGACACACUUCAAGGCUUCAUUUGGUGGUGCCCAAGUGGAAGAGUGCGGAAUCCGUCUUGUAUACAGAAAAGAUUAUGAACAGAAGCAUCCAAGAAUGGCACAAGGCAGUACUUCUCAUGGGAAUUUUGGUGAGCAUGGAUCAGUAAGAGAAGAUACUGAUAGUAAAGCUCACAAUAAAAGGAAUCCCACAGAACAGAGCCCAGGAGAGGAGUCACACCAUAAAAGAUCCAGAGAAACCCAAGACUGAUCUCAAGUAUUAGGCUCAACCACACUUGCAUCACUAAUGCUCUCUUUACUGGUAAUUCAUCUUCCUUUCUCUUUCUAAUUCAAAGGUCAGAAUUUUUUUUUUAUCGUGUUUCUCCUUUUUAUUUGUUUUUUUUUUCCCCAAGACAAACAAAACUUUGAGGCUAUCACCCAUGGGCGCAAACUUCAAUGGUACACCUCCCAAGUUUGUUUUUCUCUCUCUCCAACCGUCUCUCCCUAGAUUUUUCUGCAUUUUCUUCAAACUCAUAUUUCCAUAUGAAAUUCAAUUACAUUCGAGCAUUUCAAUCUCUGUAGCUACUGUCUGAAUCAAUUAUAGGGUUUCUUUUUUCUGGAAGUUUGUAAUGUUAUUGAUUUAAGACUUCAUGUUUGGGGAUGUUUUGGGUGGCUUGUUCACUGGUAUUACUUGUGAUAAUUGCAGCUCUGGUGCUUUCAAUGACUGACAAUAGUUGAAACUAUGUUGAAUGCUUGUACUAAGGGAAUGGACUUCAGCUGCUCCAGGGUUAGUGCUAUAACAUCAGUAUUCACUCUUCAAGAAUGUAUAUAGUUGUUGUUUUGGAAUUUUGAAAUUACUUAGCAUCAGACAAUUUCUAACUCGGGAUUUGGAUUGGGAACCAUAAGUUAUCUCACCCUAGUGUUCUUUGGAAUAAUUAUAGGAUUUUGUAAGUAACUUUGGACUUGUUAGCAAUGUUCUGGAUUUGUGAAUAAUUUAUAGAAUACAUUGGGUGUUUUUUUUUUUUGGUCCAUCAAAAACUUCAAGAACUUUGAGGGUGAAUAAUGUAUGACUGUACUCUUCUCUAUCUCUGUGGUCAUAGCACACGUAUGAUUUGGUGCUUUUUUGCAGGCCUUCAACAGCAGCAAAGCAUCUGGUGGCUUGCAGUACUAAUCUUGCAUUAUAUUCUCUGUUUUGCAAUCAUUUGGUACUUUUUGUCCCAACCAAGGAUAGCUCUGUGCAAGCAGUCUCGACUGUGGAACAAGUAAAACAAAUGGUACCUGCUGAAGCUGAGAGUGCAGAUGAUAAACUGGUGCGGAAGGUGGUCAACCAAAAGAAUCAGACAGCAAAAACUAAAAAGCCCAUGAAGCCUGCUACUGAAGCAGUCUCAGCACCUGUUUCUAGGAGGGGUGAGAUUGAAGUGACUGAAGAAAAGGAGCAUCAGCAAACAAAGAAGGAAGAGGAGUUGGCCAGGAAGGUAGAGGAAUUGAGAAGUGAAGAAGAAGCAGCCAUGUUGAAGGAGCAAAGUCUGUUGGAGGAGAGAAAGCCAACGUUAAGGAGGCACUGGAAAGGCAACAAGGAACUGCAGAAAAGGCCAAUUUCUCUGUGAGUGCUGCCACCUUUUCAUGAUACAGCCAUCAUAAUGGAUGUUAAAAGCAGUCUAACUCUACAUACUUCCUUGCAUUAUACUAGUCAUUGAUGGGCUUAAAUUUUAAUUUAAAUGUAGUAUAAAUAUAUAAGUAGAUUGAUUGGGUCUGAAUUUGAACCUGGUUCGAGUCAUACUCCCAUCCAAUCCAAACUUGUGAUUGGGCUUGAAUUUCUUGGCCCAACCAGCGAAAUCAUUGACCAACGGCCCUUAGUUUGGGCUGGGCUUGAUGGUCCUCAGGUUAUGUAGGCUUAAUACUGAUUGGGUUUGGGCUUCCAUGCAGUUGUACUUGGAUUCUAUGUUUCCUAAUAUUAACACUAAAUUAGGUUUAAUUUAUAAUUAAAUAUAAUUAGUUUGAGACUAACUCCAAUCUUUAGUUAAACCAACUAAGUUUUAUGCAAAGGUUUAUAUUCCUAAUACCAUCAGGUAUUAUAGUAAAUACCAUUGAAAAACUAAAUUCAUGUGGAAGUUUCACUAGGUGAUACGACAUUAAAUUAUUAAGAUAAAAUUAAAAAAAGAUCAUGCUCGUAUGUCCCGUUGUUUGUCAUAAGAGAAUUUCUUUCUAGAUUUUUUUUUUUUUGCUCUUUUCAAUUCUAGAUAUUUUAAUAUAUCUUUACUUUUUCAAAAACAAUCCAUAGGAUUGUUCCCAAACAUAUAUCAUAUAAAUAUAUAUUUUUAAGAUUGAUUUUUAAGAAUGUUAUCAAAUAAACUCAUAAUAGCAUUUUUUUCUUUACAAUUACCAAUUCGUAUGAUGAAUUAAUUACUUUCAAUAACCGACAUCAUCUAAUCAAAAUUAUAAUUAAGUAUCAUAUUAAAAGAGUGUUUAAAAAAUCAAAUUUAAUAACUUAAAGUGAUUUAAUAAUUUAAUUUAAAUUAUUAAAAUAACUUGAUGUCACAAUUUAAAGUUAGAAAUGACUUAAUUUAUUUUUAUUUAAAUUUAAAACUAAGUUUACAAAAAAGGUUUAAAAUUCAUAUCAAUUAAGAAAUUAAGUCAUUAAGUUACUUUAAGCCAUUAAAUUGAUCUACCAAUUAAACACCCUUGAAGAUAUUACAUAAAGUUCACCUUCUACAUAUCAUGAAAAUUUAAAAUUAAUUACAACAUCAAGAAUCUUUAGUUCCUAAUCGAUAUCAUAUUUAAUCCUUGGUUGUAAAUUUCUUUACAUAUGUAGAUAUAUUUUUAUAUUGCAAGUGGGUUGCCGACUUUUCAUUUUAUACUAGUUUUGAAAUUAAGAUUGUAGUUUUUAUUUUGUCCAAAUCUAAUUUGGAGGGAGAAUCUUUAGAGGCUAUUUUAUAUUCAAAUAGGAAAAUUUUAAAUUUAAUAGUCCCACCUUAUAAAGGCAAAUAUCUUGGACCCUACAUGGGUGCCUCUUACAUGCAAAAGGACAAAGACUUAUUGAAAGCCUCUCUCAUUCACAUGGAUGCCAUCAUUCAUCAAAGUUGAAACAUGAAACCCACACAAAAGCAAUUUCAAUAUUUUUUUUCAUAACUAUAGCUGAGAAUCUCAAUAUUAUUAAAUAGUGACAAAAUUAAUUUCAAUAUUUUUUUUUCUUAUUUUUUGCUCCUUGUGGUUAUAUUUUCAUCUGGAAAGUAUUAAAUAUAUUAAAAAAGAAAAAAAUUAUAAAAAAAUUUUUUUCCUAGUUAAUUAUACUAUGAAAAAUAUAGAGUAAAAUAAAAUAUAAUUAAAAUUAGUUAAAAAAUUAUAUUUUUAUAAAAUUAUUUGACUUUUUUAUAAAAAUUUAAAAUAAGUGACAUGAGUUUGAAAUAGUAUAUAUAUUGACUUUAAUUCUUUCAAAUUAAUCACUAGGUUGUUAGAGACAUACACCUAUGAUCCAAAGGUUUUCCCAACAAAGAUAUCAAUAAAUCUUUCUACUCCAUUGAUUGCAUCUUGAAUUCUUUCAAAUUAAUCACUUCAUUGUAAUCAUUAUUCACUUCAUUGUGAUUUGUCAGACAACAAUUCAUUUCUGCUUCAUGGUUGGACCUUGAGGUAAGGCUUUAGAGGCAUAAGCCUCAAAAGCCUCUUAAAAUUGGUUCUACACUUCUUGCAUGAUGAAUGCAAGUUCCAAAUUUUGAUGACUUGGUAAUGUUGGAGUAAUUGGGUUGAAAGCAGUCAAACACAAAUAUUUAUUAAAGAAGAUAAAAAUUUGGAAGAAUUAAAAUUUUAUUGUAUUCUACCACUCUUUUUUUUAUUCAAAUAUUACAUAAUCCUUUAUUAACUAAAAAUGACAUAAUUAAAAGUAAAUUAUCAUUUGAUUGCAAUGGAUUUAAUAGAAUAUGGUGGAUAUGCUAAAUUUUUGUCUGAUAAUAAAAUUUGAUUUGAGUGAAUAUAAUUAGAGUAAAAUAGUCUUUUUAACUAUCACUUUUACAAUAAAAAGUGUUUUAUUUAAACAAAUAUUUAAUAAAAUUUUAAAAACAUUUGAUAAAUAAUUAUUAUAAAAACUCUUCCUCGAAAAUACUUCAAAGUUCGUCGGAUGGUAAAUUAUACAUCAAGAUCUUAAUGAUGGUCCAUGCAACCAUCACCAUUGAUUGUUUUUGAAAACACAACUUCAAUUUAAAUAAUAUUUUAAGGUAACUCCUAGUUAUCAUAUUUUACAAGAUAUUUUUUAAAAUUAUUGUUUUUUUUCUUUCAAAAUCCUAAGAGAGAGGUCACCAAUAUCAAAAUAAUGUGACCCAUCUCUAUACUAUUGUCUCCAUUAUUUGGACUAUAUCAUAGUUUCCUUAUUGACAACAUGGUAGCCAUGUUAAAUACCUACAACUUUGAAAACAAGAUCUCAAAACUAUGCCUAUUUGAUUAUAAGGCUUAAUUAUUAUAGUUUAUCAUUUCCUAGCAUAUAUAGUUCUUAGCAUCUAAGUAUUUGUUAUAUAAGAAUUUUUCUCAUUUUUCAAGCUUGCAUUUUGUUUAGAAAUUUUUUGAGUUUUUUACAAUCAUUUUGAAAAUGUCAACUCAUAAUUAUAUACAUUUUAGUUCUAUAAGGACUAAAAUCACUUAACAUCAUGGUAAUACUAUUUAAGGUAAUUUGCUUUGAAUCAGAAUGAACUUAUAUACAACUUACGAUUUAUGGUAAUAAUAGAGAUCGAAUUUAAAAAUACAUAAGUUUUCAAUUAAAUAUUAAUAUAUUUAUGUUUCCUUCUUAUUUUUAAUCCUAAAACACAUUAAAUGUAUGCUCUUGAAUUCCUCCAUGUAAUGCGAUUUGAUAUAAUGAUAAAUCAACAAUUAUGAUUUAAUAAUAUGGUGCUUUGACUUUUGACAUUUAAGUAACACCGUCAAUAAAAGCUCCAUAUCUUUGCUUCAUGGAAGAACGUACAAAUGAUGUGAUUGAAUUACAUUUCAAUUAUGUUUGAUUCUUUGAAAAUACUCAAGAAAAAUAAAUAUUUAAAAAAAUAAUUUUCUCAUAUUUGAUUUUACUAUAAAAAAAAUACAUAAUUAAAAUUAGUAAUAAAUUUAAAUAAUUUUAAAUUACUUAAUCUUUAUAUAAAAAAGUUAAAUUAGUAAAACGAGUUUAAAACAUGAUAUAAAGGUAAUUUAUUGACUUUAAUUUUUUUUUUUUACUUCACUUUUUCUUUCCUUCUCUUUGAUGAGAUCAUCUUAGAUAAAUUGUUAAUUGAUUGCAGCAUAUUCAAUUGAAUUCGAUAGUCUAGGUAUCAUAAAUCAUACAUGUUGUGCACCAUUUACAGUAAAUGAACCGUCACAAACCAUACAUAGAGGAGAUGUUGAUUUCAUUAUAAAUCAUACGAUAAUUACAAAAGAUAUGAUAUUAACUUGCAGUAAAUUGCAACAUCGGCACUCUAAUGCUAGACAAAGUAACUAGACAAAGUAAGUCUAAUUAUUGCUAACUUUCCUCAUCUUUCUUGGGCCUUUUGGGUGCUUUUUGUGCAAAAGAGAAAAAGCUAUAACUAAAUUGCCAAUCCAUCACCGACGUUAUAGACUGAUGAAGAAUACCAAAGGGAGUGUUACGAAAUAAUGAGAAUAAAUAAUAAGAAAAAUAGAAUAAGAACACAUAGAUAUACGUGAAAAACUUUAGAUGGGAAAAAUCAUGAGAAAACGAGAAAAAGAUCCGUUAUGUCAAAAAUUGGUACAAAAUGGGAGAGUUGAAAGCGACUACAACAAAAGUAUAAUCAUCGUAACCCUAAAACUAUACAUCAUUAUUAUAUAUAUAUAUAUAUGUAUAUAUAUAUAUAUGCGAGAGUUGAGAACAACUAUGGGAUGAGGUCUAUCGACUCGAUCCCUUCACUACCCCCACAAAUCUCUCAAAAAAUCUCAUAAUUUUAACUUUACUACAUAUAUUGCAUCGCGAGCUUUUCGAAUUGAAUAAAAAAGAAUUUGGAAUCAUCAAACAGUAACAAAGGGAGUGAGAUCAUAACUUUGGAAGGAUUUUUUUUUUUUUUAAAUGUAGACUUGAAUGGUAAAUACUAAAAUGUGUUUGAGAGUGAUACUUGAAAGUAUUUUUAAUAUUUUUAAUAUUCGAAAAAUAAAAAAUUUUCAAAUAUUAAAAAUAUUUCCUAAAAUCAAUAUCAAAAACCAUUUUACAAAAUCAGUAUCAAACUAUCAAACAUAAUUUGAAUUUAAAUAGAGACAAGAACAACAUUGACUCUUGACUCACCAAACCAGUCCUAGUUCACUUAUUGAAUGAAAAGAAAAUAAUUAAAAAUAAAUAACAGCAUCCAUUCUACCAUGUUAUGAAGAGUAAAAGACAAUGGAGAUUUUAACUUUGUUGCCUUAAAAGUCAUGCCCCCUUUCAUGAGUAUAUAUAAUAAAAUAUAUUCGUUUGCAUCUCUUGAAUGCAAAUAAUUUGAUAAUUUUUUUAUAAUUAAUUUAUGAAGAUAACAAUUUGAUAAUUAGACAAUUAUGUUGAUAUUUUGACAUUAUUAUCAAUUUACCAAAUAAGAUUGUUUUUCACCCAACAAUAAUUUACUUAGAAUAAUAAAUAAAUUAAAUUAGCUAACGUAACCAAAGCAUUUGAUUAAAAAUUGGUUUUCAUUUACAAAGAUAAGUUGAAAAUUAAUUUUAAUUUGAUUUAAUUAGGAAAUUAAUUUUUUGCUUGUUAAGUUUGUUUUAAUUUGUAAAUUCAUGUAAAUAAAAAAAAGGAUAAAAAGAUAAUUUUCAUGUGAAAAUUCAUUUAAUUUGAAAAUAAAUGAUGUAAUGUGUUUCAUUGUCGGUUAGCAUUUUUCUUUUUUUCUUGUUUGUAUAACUUUUUAAAAUGUAAAAGAUAAUAAUAAAAUAAGAAAUAAUCAAUAAAUUAAAAAAAUAAAAUAAAUGAUCUCACUAAAAAUGUUUUUUUACCUUAUGUCAUAUGACUUGGAUUAUUUUUUUUCUCUUUUCAGUAAAACAAACUUUUAAUAUAAAUAAAAAAAUAAAAUAGGACAUAGAGGAAAAUAGCUAAAGAGUAUAAAAAAAAUUCAAAAUAAUGCACUAAAAAUGGAAAGAGAAUAUGGUGAGUAGUUGAAUAAUAAUAAAUAAAAAAAAGUCAAAAAAGCUUCAAUACUCUUUGAAUCCACUGUUAGUGAAUGCCAAAAGGCAUACAUCAUACACGCAACUAGAAAUAAAAUGGUAAAAUAUAAAGAAAAGAGUCAGAAAAAGCACGAAGACUACAAUUAAUAAUCGUGGCAGGACUUCGACUCUCGUGAACCCCCCACUGUCACUCAAUGCUAUAGGGUUACAGGCUUGGAGCCAAUCAAAGAUAAUUGAGACAGAAGAACCAGACAUCCUCAACACCAUCGUCUCAGACUCUCAGCAUUCAAAGACCCCUUUGUAUUUUCUUCUUCCAAAUUCUGUUCUUGUAAUUUUGUUACAAUCCAACCAUGGCUUCCACUAGCAAUCCCAAGAGACCCUCUUCUUCUUCUAAUUCUAAAUGGAGGUACGAUGUGGUCUUGAGUUUCAGAGGCGAGGAUACCCGCAACAACUUUACUAGUCAUCUCUACAAGGCUUUGGAUCAUGCCAACAUUGAAACCUUUAUAGAUGAUGAAGGACUUCCAAGGGGAGAAGAGAUUGCGCCCGAGCUCCUAAAAGCUAUUGAAGGAUCAAGGAUUGCCCUUAUUGUCUUCUCGAAAACCUAUGCUCAUUCCAAGUGGUGCUUGGAUGAACUCGUCAAGAUCAUGGAGUGCGAGAAAGAAAAGGGACAACAGGUUUUUCCUAUUUUCUAUCAUGUAGAGCCGUCUGAAGUCAGGAACCAGACUGGGAUUUAUGGAGAAGCAUUUAACAAUCACGAAAGAAAUGCAGACGAGGAGAAGAAGAAGAAGAAGAUAGAGCAGUGGCGGACUGCCUUAAGGAAAGCUGGUAAUUUGAGUGGAUUUCCUCUGCAGGAUAGGUAAUCCCUACUUCACUUUUUCCAUUCCCAAUUUUCUGUCAGUUUAUUUUCAUUCUUGUUAAUAAAUAAAAUAUUUAUGAUUACAUUUAUCAAUCAAAAUCCAUUUUUAAGUAGUAGACAUUAAUAUGUUCGAUUUCUUGGAAAGUAAUAAGAAAGAGUAAAAAAAAAAAAAAAAAAGAUUUUCUCACAUUUAAUUUAUUAUUAAAAUUAUAAAAGGAAAUCAAAUAUAAUUAAAAUAUAUCAGAAAAAAUUAUAUUUGCCCAGCAGGUGGAAAUGCCAAGUUUUGAAUUGUUAAAAAUCUUUAAGAUUCCAAAAUAUUCUUCCUUUCUAAUCGAUCCAUCUUAGCCAUAAUUUCUAUCAGUUAAAAAAAAUGGUAGUCUGUCAAAUAAAUUGUUAAAAUUGGUUAUUUAUAUGCCUUGUAAAUUUGGAGAUAAUCUGAGAUGAUUAUUUAAAAUAUUGUAAUACUACCCUAAAUUUUUUUGGACCCUCUUAUGGGACAAAAAACUUAGUUAUUGCACCCUUAACCUUUUUCAAUUUUAGAGGAAUUUUCCAUUACUUAAAUAAUUUUCUCUUCUUCUCUGUGCACUACAUGAGUUUACAUUUCUUCUUUACUUAAUAUUGUUUGUUCCUCUAUAUUUGCAAGUUGAUUAUUAAAUUUAUUUACCUUUUAAUCUAAUGUUUGUAUCUCGUUUUAUUCUAAUUAUCCCAUGACUCUUCUUAAGACCUUGUCUUUCACGUUGAAUCAUCUAAUGCUAAACUUAUUCCCUUACUAUUCUACUUUGUGUACUCAUGGGAUUAAUGUAUUGCAAUCAAAAUUAUUUUUUUUAAUCUCUUUUUCUCUUGUAUGUUCUACAUUCCUCUAUACCUCACAAAUAAAAGCAAGUAACCUUACAGCUUGUUUGACAAUAUAUUUGCAACUAAUGUUCAAAAAAUAGUUUUCCCCAACACAAUGUUGAAAAUAAUGAACAAAAUUUUAUUUGAAAAUUCAAAUAUGAAGAACGACUUUCUCGACUUAUUAACUAUGAAGGUGCUAUAAAUUUUUGUACAACAUAACAAUUCUCUAAGUAUUAUCUAUAUUUUCAAUUCUUUAUCACAAUACUCUAUAAGAAAAUACCUAAAAACAUUUCAAAUAUGCUCUUAAAAAUGAACUUGUUUACCAAACAAAUUUUUGAAAAUUAUUUUUAAUAAAAGAAAAAAUUAAAAAUAUAAUCAAGUGACAUGAAAUAUGGGAUGAAAAAUAAUAAGUUCUGUAUAUUAGAUUGACUAUACACACAGUUUAUAUUGGAUAUUACAAGAGAAGAAAUAAGAAACAAGAGACAUAAUAGAAAACUAACUUAUUCAUAAACUAACUUAUUCCUAAAUCAUAAAACUAUCUAUUUACAAAAAUAAAAAACUAAUAUAAUAUGAAAAUAAUUCUCCUAUUCUAUUUACAGCUCAAUUACAACCUAUUUACAGCUCAACACUCCCCCUCAAGCUAAGGAAUAGAUGUCUUCCAUUCCAAGCUUGAAUACAAGAUCGUGAAACAUUGAACUGUUCAGCCCUUUUGUUAGGAUAUCAACUAAUUGAUGUUUUGAUGGAACAUAGGACAUACACACUACUCCUUCCUCCAAUUUUUCUUUGAUAAAAUGCCUAUUAAUCUCAAUAUGUUUUGUCCUAUUGUGUUGUAUAGGGUUAUGAGCAAUAUUGAUAGCUGACUUGUUGUCACAAUAGAGCUUCAUAUGACCAUCCCACUUGAUUCUCAAAUCAUCUAGAAUAAUCUUCAGUCAAAGUAGUUCAUACAACCCUUGAGCAAUGUCCCUAAACUCUGAUUUUGCAGACGACCUUGCUACCACAUUCUGCUUUUUACUUUUCCAUGUUACCAGAUUACCUCGAGGAAAAGUACAAUACCCUAUAGUUGAUCUUCGAUCCACUAGGGAACCUGCAUAGUCAACGUCAGUAUAUGCUUCUAGAGUAAGAGUAUUGUUCUUUUUGAACAAAAUUCCUUUCCCGGGGUUGCCUUUCAAGUAAUGCAGCACCCUGUAAGCAACUUGAAGAUGAGGUUCUCUUGGAUCAUGCAUGAAUUGACUGAUCACGCUCACCGAGUAGGCGAUGUCUGGCAAGUGUGAGCAAGGUAUAUGAGCCUACCAACUAGCCUUUGGUACAUUCUUUUAUCCACCACUGGUUCUUCUUUAGCUUCUCCCAACUUGUGAUUUGGAUCCAUUGGGGUAGAGACUAGUUUACACCCAAUCUUCCUUGUUUCUGUCAAUAAAUUAGUCACAUACUUUUGUUGAUAGAUGAAGAUCUCUUGUGUGGAAUAUGCCACCUCAAUAUUGAGGAAGUGCUUUACUUUCCCUAGUUCCUUUAUCUCAAACUCUGUUGCUAAUCUUUGCUUCACUUCAUGCUUUUCUCUCUCAUCAUUUCCAGUCAUUAUGAUGUCGUCAACAUAGACUAGAAAAGCAAUUACUCCCCCUGUAGCCGAGUGCUUAAUGAAGAGAGUGUGGUCACCUUGGCUUUGCUUGUACCCAUACUCUUUCAUGACUUUUUCAAAUCUCUCAAACCAAGCCCUAGGAGAUUGUUUUAGCCUAUAAAGGGCCUUUUUCAGCCUACACACCUUGUUACCUAUGUUUCCCUCAAAUCUUGGUGGGAUGUUCAUGUAAAUCUCUUCAUCUAAAUCACCAUGAAGAAAUGCAUUCUUAACAUCAUACUAUAGGAGUUGCCAAUUGUAGUGGGUAGCCAAGGACAGUAGGAUUCUUAUAGUAUUCAUUUUUGCAACUGGAGCAAAAGCCUCCUGAUAAUCAACUCCAUAAGUUUGAGUGUACCAUUUGGCUACCAAUCUUGCUUUAUGUCUCUCAAGAGAUCCAUCAGUCUUAUAUUUCAGCGUGAAAAUCCACUUGCAAUUAACAAUGUUUUUCCCUUUCGUCUUUCAACAAUCUCCCAUGUUUUAUUAUUUUCUAAUGCAUUCAUCUCCUCUCUCAUAGCAUCCUUCCAUUCCCUUUUUGUCAAUACCUCAGAAACAGUGUUAGAGAUGAUAGUGGUGUUUAAACUCACAAUGAAAUUCUUGUGGGCUAGUGAUAGGUGCUUAAGAGACACAUAGUGUGAUAGUGGAUAGAGUGGUUAAUUAGUGCAUUAUCCGGUGCCUUUUCUGACAGCAAUGAGAAGGUCUAGGUCUAGGUUGUCUGUUGAGUCAAUGGAAGUUUCACCAAGUUGUGUAUGUAAAGGUGGGUCUAAUCUUACCGUGAUUUCAUUCCUAGGAUUUGAGUUGGAUUCUUGGACCUGCUAUUGUUCUGGAAUGACCUUUUCCCUUUAAUACAUCUUAGGAAACUGUGGAAAAUUACAAGUGACACUGGUUGGAAUAGGGAAUGACACGGGUUUAGUGGUAAAAUUGGGUGACUCAGGUGUGAUUAGUUCGGAUGACUCAAGUUCUUCAUCACCAUGGGUUGAGACAUGAGGAAGGUUAAGAGGUUCAAAGGAGUCACAAGGACUAUCCUCCAUCAUUGAAAUCUCCCCCUAAAUAGAGGACUUGGGAAAAAAGGUUUAUUUUCUGUGAAGGUGACAACUGCAGAGAUGUAAAAUUUUCUGGCUAAGGGAUUGUAACACUUGUAUCCUUUUUGAGUAGAUGAGUAAACCAAGGAAGACACAUUUUAUGGCUCGGGGGUCUAGCUUGUCUCUAUGAUGGUUGUGGACAUGAACAAAUGCAAUGCAUCAAAAUACACUAGGAGUGAGCCCAUAUGAGGUUCUAAAGUGUGGAUAGAAACUCUUAAGUAUCUCUACGGGGCUUUUGUUGUCUAACACUUGUGAGAGAAUUCUAUUUAUCAUGUAUGUGGCAGUAAGAACAGCUUCCCCCCAAUAGGACUUAGGAACAUUCCCUUGAAAGAGUAAGGCUCGGGUUGUGUUGAGUAAAUGCCCAUUUUUUCUCUCGGGUAUCCCAUUUUGUUGGGGUGUGUUAACACAUGAUGAGUCAUGGAGAAUGCCCUGUGAUUGAAAAUUGGGUGACAAAGUAUGGUUAAAGUAAUCUCUAGCAUUGUCUGUCUUAAAACUUUUUAUUUUAACCCCAAAUUGGUUUUGAACCAUUGAGUGGAAAUUAGGUAUAACAAUGCUAACAUCAGAUUUUUGUUUAAGAAGAAAGAUCCAUGUAAUCUGAGUGCAGUCAUCAAUUAAGGAUACAAACCAACGAGCCCCAUAAACAUUAGGUAUAGUCGAAGGACCCCAUAUGUCACUAAGAAUCAAAUGAAAAGGAUGAGAACUUCUUUUAUUGCUAAUAGGAAAAAAUUCACGAGUAUGUUUUGUCAAUUCACAAGUUUUGUAAUGAAACUUAGAAAUAUCUAAUCCUUGAAACAAAUGAGGAAACAUGACCUUUAAAACCCUAAAAGAUGGAUGACCUAGACGUAGGUGAUACAACCAAAUGGUAUCUUUAUUUAAGGAACUCUAAAAAGACACACAAAUUAUUACUAGUUUUCUGAGAUGAUUCAAGGUGAUAAAGACCGCUCAUUUCCUUAGCAAGUCCAAUCCUCCUUCCCGAGCCUUGUUCCUGAAAAACACAAUAAGAAUGGAAAAAAAUAGCAGAACAUUUAAGAUCAUGGGUAAGCUUUUGAAUGGAAACAAGGUUGGCCGACAAUUUUGGUACAUGGAGGACAUUUUUAAGAAUAAGGGUAGGUGUGAUAUAUAUGUCUCUGAAACCUGCAACGGUAACUAAAAAGCCAUUGGCCAUUGCAAUUUUCUUGUUACUUGGGUUUGAGGUAUAGGUAUGGAAAAGUUGAGAUUUGGAGGUCAUAUGGUCUGUGGCACCGAAGUCUAUUAUCCAAUAGUCAUUAUAAACCUUGUGUGAGGCAUUUAUGCAAAAUGAGAGUGAAGGUGUACCUGAAUUUUCCAACAUCUUCCACGAAAAAAAAAACCUGAUCUCUUGGGAAUUAAGGUAGAUCGCGAAACAAAAAAACCAGCAACAAUGAAGGUUGGUAAAAGAACACGUGAAUAAAAAAAAUCUAACUAUGAAGGCCAGAAAAAUGGCGAUGAAGGCCAGAAUGAUGCCCAGGUCUUAAAAACCUACUGCUCUGAUACCAUGACACGAAAUGUGGGAUGAAAAAUAAUAAGUUUUGUAUAUUAGAUUGACUAUAUACAUAGUUUAUAUUGGAUAUUAUAAGAGAAGAAAUAGGAAACAAGAGACAUAAUAGGAAACUAACUUAUUCCUAAAUCAUAAAACUAUCUAUUUACAAAAAUAGGAAACUAACAUAAUAGGAAAAUAAUUCUCCUAUUCUAUUUACAGCUCAAUUACAACCUAUUUAUAGCUCAACAUUAAGUUAUAAAACUAUUUUAUAUUCUAAAGAAAAAAAAAAUCUAUUUUCAAAAACAAUAUCUAUAUAAGCAUUUUUCUUUUAAGUAUGAUUUUAAAAUGUUUUUCCAUGAGUCUAAUUGUUGCUAGGAUUUUGACCAAUAAACAAAUAUGUGUGACUUUCCUCGUCAUUGUAAUUUAUAUUUGGGAAAAAAAUGGGGAUUUCAUCAAAAUAUGAAACUUAUGUAACAAUUAUUAGCAACCUAAAUAUAAAUAAAACUAAAACGGAGAAUUUACUUGUUUAUGGAAUAAAUAGUUGAAAAUUUUAUAAGCAUUGAGGAUGGUCAUAAAUCAUGUUGUAAUUAAUAAAAGCAUUUCUAGGUUAUGGAACUUGGGUGGCAAAUUGGUAGAUUUCUAGCCAAACUAGUAUUUGUCUCUAUAAUAAAAUCUCUUAUCAUAAAGGGUAAUGAUACUUUAGAAAGGUCAACUUCAAAUUGGGCCUUUAGAAGCAAUUAAGAUAUUUACAUUAUUUUAUUGCAUGUAUACUUGACAUGACAUAAUGAAAUUUUAUUUAAACAUGCAAUUCAACACAUUUUUAAUUUACAUUCUAUUUGACCUUAAUUUAAUGGCACCGAACGAAACUAAGAAUCAUUCUAUAAUUUCCAUUUACUUCAUCUUUGUUUUCUUUGACAAUUGAUUGUAGCUCACUGCAUGUUUUAUUGUACUUUAUAAUGGACAGAUUUGAGUCAGAGUUUAUUCAAGAAAUCAUUGGUGAGAUUCGAAGAUUAACUCCUAAGUUGGUACAUGUUGGUGAGAACAUAGUUGGAAUGGAUGAAAAUUUGAAAGAGGUGGAGUUAUUGAUAAACGCCCAAUCAAAUGGAGUGAGCAUGGUUGGGAUUUAUGGGAUUGGUGGGAUUGGUAAAACUACCAUUGCCAAGGUUGUUUACAAUGAUAUGUUAGAUCAAUUUCAACGUCACAGCUUUCUUGAAAAUGUGAGGGAGAAAUCUAAAGAUGAUCAUGGUUUGCUUGAAUUACAAAAAAAACUUCUUUGUGAUAUCCUAAUGGAGAAAAAUCUGAAGUUAAGAAAUAUUAAUGACGGUAUCAAAAUGGUAAAGAGGAAGUGUCGCAUUGAAAAGGUUCUCAUUGUUCUUGAUGAUGUAGAUUGUCAAAAACAAUUAAAAUUCUUAGCUCCUAAUUCUGAAUGUUUUCAUCAAGGAAGCAUAAUCAUCGUGACCACGAGAAAUAAACGUUGCCUAGAUGUACAUAAGUCAUAUUCAUCAUAUGAGGCUAAGGGAUUAGCACACACGCAAGCUAAGGAACUCUUUUGUUGGAAUGCCUUUCAGCAAGACCAUCCCGAGUAUGAGGACCUCUCUAAUUGUAUACUAGAUUAUGCUAAAGGCCUUCCAUUGGCUCUUGUAGUUUUGGGUUCUUUUCUCUAUCAAAGGGAUGUGGAUUACUGGGAAAGCACACUGCAUAAACUAAAAACAAACCCUCUUGAGGAUAUUCAAAAGGUACUCCAGAUAAGUUAUGAUGGACUAGAUAAUAAAUGGAAGGAGUUGUUUCUUGAUAUUGCAUGUUUCUUCAGAAAUGAGGAUAAAAAAGUUGUUACAAGAAUACUAGAAGGUUGCAAAUUCCAUCCUAAGUCUGGACUAACGGUUCUUCAUGAGAGGUGUCUUAUUUCUAUAACAGACGACACCAUAAGGAUGCAUGACUUGUUACAAGAAAUGGGUUGGGCAAUUGUUCGCCAAAAUUUUCCAGAACAUCCUGAAGAAUGGAGCAGAUUGUGGGAAUUACAGGAUAUUAAAAGUGUUUUACCACAAAAUAAGGUAGGAGAAAAAUACAUGAACUUACUUGAGAUCUAAAGACAUAUAAAAGAUUCAACAAGAAUUAUUUUUAUUAUUAUUAUAGUUUUGAGUAUCUUAUCUAUAUAAUUUUAGUGAAUCCCUAUGCAUCUUAUAUUGCUUAUUCUCAAUGCUUGUUUUCAGGGGACAAAAAACAUAGAGGGGAUAUCCAUAAAUCGGUCUUGGGAUAGUAAAAAACGUAUACAACUUACUGCUGAAGCUUUCAGAAAGAUGAAUCGACUUAGAUUGCUCAAAGUUAAAGGCGAUAUGGUGCAGCUUUCCUAAGACUUUGAAUUGCCUUGUCAUGAUUUAGUAUAUUUUCAUUGGGAUAACUACCCUUUGGAAUAUUUGCCAUCAAAUUUUCAUGUAGAAAAUCCUGUUGAACUUAACCUCUGGUACAGCAACAUAGAACAUCUUUGGGAAGGAAACAUGGUAUUGCUAUUAUUUAGUUAUAUUUUUGCUCUAGACUAAUUUUAAAGUCUUUUGAAGUUUACUUAUUGAAACGAAUUUUCUUCUGUUACAGCCUGCUAAAAAGUUAAAAGUCACUGAUCUUAGUUAUUCCAGGCAUCUGGUUGACAUUUCAAACAUCUCAAGUAUGCAAAAUUUGGAGACUCUAAUUCUAAAAGGUUGUACAAGGUUACUUAAGUGUUUCACCCAUGCUUAAUGUUAUUAUUAGUCAUGAACUAACUGUUUUCUUGAAUAUAAUAGGAUGCAAGAGACUUGAGAGUCUUCCAAGGAACUUUCAUAAGCUGGAAUGCCUUCAAACACUCUCUUGUGAUGGCUGUUCAAACUUAAAAGUUUUCCGAAGAUCAAGGAAGAAAUGAGAAGUCUAAGAAAGCUUAAUUUAAGUCAUACAAGUAUAAUGGAAUUAACAUCAUCAAUUAGGCAUCUAAAUGGGCUUGAAGAGUUGGACUUAAGUAAUUGCAAAAACCUUUUGAGUCUUCCGGACAGUAUUGGUAGUUUGAACUCUCUUCAAACUCUCGAUCUAGUUGAGUGUUCAAAACUAGUGGGUUUUACAAAUAUCAAUAUUGGAAGUCUAAAAGCUCUUGAAUAUUUGGAUUUGUCAUGGUGUGAGAACCUUGAGAGUCUUCCAAAUAGUAUUGGUAGUUUGAGCUCUCUUCAAACUCUUUUAUUGAUAGGGUGUUCAAAAUUGAAGGGCUUUCCAGAUAUCAAUUUUGGAAGUCUAAAAGCUCUUGAAUUGUUAGAUUUCUCACACUGCAGAAACCUUGAGAGUCUUCCUGUGAGCAUUUACAAUUUGAGCUCUCUCAAAACUUUGGGGAUUACAAAUUGUCCAAAACUCGAGGAAAUGUUAGAGAUUAAAUUAGGGGUUGAUUGGCCAUUUUCACCUCUAACCUGUCACAUUUCAAAUUCAGCAAUAACCUGGUAUGAUGACUGGCAUGACUGCUUUUCCUCAUUAGAAGCAUUAAACCCACAGUGCCCCCUGUCAUCACUGGUAGAAUUAUCUGUAAGAAAGUUUUAUGGCAUGGAAGAAGACAUCCUCAGUGGCAGUUUCCACCUAUCCUCAUUGCAAAUAUUAUCUCUAGGGAACUUCCCUAGCGUGGCAGAAGGAAUCCUCGAUAAGAUUUUCCAUCUAUCCUCGUUGGUAAAAUUAUCUCUUACUAAAUGCAAGCCAACGGAAGAAGGAAUCCCUGGUGAUAUUUGGAACCUAUCUCCACUGCAACAAUUAUCUCUACGUGACUGCAAUCUAAUGGAAGGAAAGAUCCUCAAUCAUAUUUGCCAUCUAACAUCCUUGGAAGAAUUAUAUCUGGGUUGGAACCAUUUUAGUAGCAUACCUGCUGGCAUCAGUCGACUUUCUAAUCUAAAGGCCCUUGACUUGAGUCAUUGCAAGAACCUUCAACAAAUUCCAGAGCUUCCAUCAAGUCUACGAUUUUUAGAUGCGCACUGUUCGGAUGGUAUUUCAUCAAGCCCCUCGCUUCUACCUAUUCAUUCUAUGGUCAAUUGCUUCAAAUCAGAAAUUGAGGUAUGAUUCUCAUGCCACGUUCCUCUUUCUUUUGUACCCAUUGAAUUUACAUGGUGCUUUUGUGCAGGACCGCAAGGUUAUUAAUCAUUAUUCUUACUUCUGGGGCAAUGGAAUUGGUAUUGUUAUUCCUAGAAGUAGUGGAAUUCUAGAGUGGAUAACAUAUCGGAAUAUGGGAAGGAAUGAAGUAACAGUAGAGCUCCCUCCGAAUUGGUAUAAAAAUGAUGACUUGUGGGGAUUUGCUUUAUGCUGUGUUUAUGUUGCACCUGCCUAUGAAUCUCAGUAUGAAUUAGGUCAUAUAUCUAAGGAUGACGCUGAACUUGAAGAUGAAGGACCAGGGUUCUGUUGUGAUUUGAGUAUCGAAGGAAAUAAUCAAUCAGGAGACGUGGGUUUUUUCCUUCUUUAUUCUUGCUGUGUUAAAUAUGAUGUGUCAGAUAUGCAGUGGGUGAUAUGUUAUCCCAAGUUAGCUAUUGAGGAAAGUUAUCACACCAAUCAAUGGACACACUUCAAGGCUUCAUUUGGUGGUGCCCAAGUGGAAGAGUGCGGAAUCCGUCUUGUAUACACAGAAGAUUAUGAACAGAAGCAUCCAGCAAUGGCACAAGGCAGUACUUCUCAUGGGAAUUUUGGUGAGCAUGGAUCGGUAAGAGAAGAUACUGAUAGUAAGCUCACAAUAAAAGGAAUCCCACAGAACAGAGCCCAAGAGAGGAGUCACACCAUAAAAGAUCCAUAGAAACCCAAGACUGAUCCCAAGUAUUAGGCUCAACCACACUUGCAUCACUAAUGCUAUCUUUACUGGUAAUUCAUCUUCCUUUCUCUUUCUAAUUCAAAGGUCAGAAUUUUUUUUUAUCGUGUUUCUCCUUUUUAUUUGUCUUUUUCCCCAAGACAAACAAAACUUUGAGGCUAUCACCCAUGGGCGCAAACUUCAAUGGUACACCUCCCAAGUUUGUUUUUCUCUCUCUCCAACCGUCUUUCCCUAGAUUUUUCUGCAUUUUCUUCAAACCCAUAUUUCCAUAUGAAAUUCAAUUACAUUCGAGCAUUUCAAUCUCUGUAGCUACUGUCUGAAUCAUUUAUAGGGUUUCUUUUUUCUGGAAGUUUGUAAUGUUAUUGAUUUAAGACUUCAUGUUUGGGGAUGUUUUGGGUGGCUUGUUCACUGGUAUUAAUUGUGAUAAUUGCAGCUCUGGUGCUUUCAAUGACUUUGACAAUAGUCGAAACUAUGUUGAAUGCUUGUACCAAGGGAAUGGACUUCAGUUGCUCUAGGGUUAGUGCUAUAACAUCAGUAUUCACUCUUCAAGAAUGUAUAUAGUUGUUGUUUUGGAAUUUUGAAAUUACUUAGCAUCAGACAAUUUCUAACUCGGGAUUUGGAUUGGGAACCAUAAGUUAUCAUUAGAGAGUGUAUGAGAAGGAAUUUUAGAGUGAGAUGGGUGAUGCAUGUUGAGGGAUGAAAGAGGGAUGUAUCUCACCCUAGAGUUCUUUGGAAUAAUUAUAGGAUUUUGUAAGUAACUUUGGACUUACUUGCAAUGUUCUGGAUUUGUGAAUAAUUUAUAGAAUGCAUUGGGUUUUUUUUUUUUGUUUUUUUUUUUGGUCCAUAAGAAACUAAAAGAACUUUGAGAGUGAAUAAUGUAUGACUGUACUCUUCUCUAUCUCUCUGGUCAUAGCACACGUAUGAUUUGGUACUUUUUUGCAGGCUUCAACAGCAGCAAAGCAUCUGGUGGCUUGCAGUACUAAUCUUACAUUAUAUUCUCUGUUUUGCAAUCAUUUGGUACUUUUUGUCCCAACCAAGGAUAGCUCUGUGCAACAGUCUCGACUGUGGAACAAGUAAAACAAAUGGUACCUGCUGAAGCUGAGAGGGCAGAUAAUAAAUUGGUGCGGAAGGUGGUCAACCAAAAGAAUCAGACAGCAAAAACUAAAAAAGCCGAUGAAGCCUGCUACUGAAGCAGUCUCAGCACCUGUUUCUAGGAGGGGUGAGAUUGAAGUGACUGAAGAAAAGGAGCGUGAGCAAACAAAGAAGGAAGAGGAGUUGGCCAGGAAGGUAGAGGAAUUGAGAAGUGAAGAGGAAGCAGCCAUGUUGAAGGAGAAAAGUCUGUUGGAGGAGAAAGCCAACGUUAAGAAGGCAUUGGAAAGGAAACAAGGAACUGCAGAAAAGGCCAAUUUCUCUGUGAGUGCUGCCACCUUUUCGUGAUACAGCCAUAAUAAUGGAUGUUAAAAGCAGUCUAACUCUACAUGGCGUUUAUUUUCCCCAGCCAUAGAUUGGAAUCUGCCAGUCUGACUCUCAUAAGAAAGAAAAUUUUCCAUCGAUCCUCGUAUGGAUUAUUGGAGAAGAUUUUAACAUGGAGUUCACAAGAGAGUUUCUAACACCCACUUAAAAGGACAUUUUAGAAAACUUAUUGAAAAAUAACAUGAGAGUACAUAAAUUUUUAGAUAUUUUUAAAAAUAUUUGAAAAUUUAAAUUAACUAAAAGUAUUUGAAAAAUAUUUGAUUGAAUUAACAAAUAUCAAGUAUUUGCAUAUGAAAAAAUAAUAAACAUUGUGAAGAAUUUUUUUAUUAAUUAGUGCAUAAUAAUUUUAUUUUCCUUUUAAUCACAAAUUAAUCUAUGGCAAAAUCUCAUAUUUGUUGUAGGGACAAUGUUGUCUUACAUUUUUCUUUCAUGAUGGACUCAAAUUUUAAUUUAAAUGUAGUAUAAAUAUAUAAUUAGAUUGAAAUUUCGUCCACUAAGAUUGAUUGGGUAUGAAUUUGAACCCUCGUUCGGGUCAUACUUCCAUCCAAUCCAAGCUUGUGGUUGGGCUUGAAUUUCUUGGCCCAACCAGUAAUGUCAUUGACCAAUAGCCCUUAGUUUGGGCUGGGCUUGAUGGUCCUCAGGCUAUGCAGACUUAAUACUCAUUGGGUUUGGGAUUCCAUGUAGUUGUAAUUAGAUUCUAUGUUUCCUAAUAUUAACACUAAAUUAGGUUUAAUUUAUAAUUAAAUAUAAUUAGAAGAGGAAAAUGAAAUAUCAUAUCCUUGCAAUGAGUUAUGUGGAUAUUUCAUUUAAAAAGUCUAAUGUGAAAGGUUGUUAUGGGUAGUCGUUUUUUGAUGCAAAUUUUCUAUGGAGUCCUAAUCUUAGAAGGCAAUAGAAAAUUCACAACCAAGAUUUCUUAAAAAUAACUACAUUAAAGUGUAAACAAAAUAUCAAACUAGAAUUUCUUAGAAAUAUCAAACUAGAAAGUGAAAUAUAAUACAAUUCAAGUAUGAAAAUGAAGGACAAAAGAAUAGACCAAAUUUGAAAGACCGUUCAAAGACUCGUUUCUUGUUACAAUCCAAUCAUGACUUCCACUAGUAGAGAUCCUCUUCUUCUUCUUCUUCUUCUAAUUCCAAAUUGAGGGACCAUGCGUUCUUGAGUACCCUCAAAAGCUUUUUUGAUCAUUUAUACUGUAUAACCUUACUUGUAAUAACUGUAUAAGAUAUUUGUGCUAAUUGAUAAGAUAUUUGUGCUAAUUGUAUAAAACAUGUCCUUAUACAUCUUGAAUUUAUAAAUUUAUGAAUUUAUGAAUAACCCAAUAAUCAAUGACUUCUUAAUAAAAUUUUUUUAAUUUUGUUGCCUUAAAAGUCAUGUCCCUCCUUUACAAAGCUUCUUAGAAAUUUCAUAUAUUUUUUUUUGUCAUCAUCUAUAUUUCAUAUUUCUUUUUCGUCUUCAAUAUUUGUGUAUAUAUCUAAAAUAAAACCUAUAAGAAAAUGAAAAAUUUACACUUAAAAAGUGUUUAUUUGAAAUUUAGGCAAUGAACUUAAAGGAGUUUGGAAUUACUCCUCGAAGUUGAUAUGUUUGUUUUAAAAUCAAAGUGGAUUUCAAUUUUCUUUAAAUCCACGUUAUGAUAUUACGGUAAUAUGUAGUGUCUUUAAAACCAUGGCUUCCUCUAGCAAUUCUAAGAGACCCUUUUACUCUUCUUCUUCUUCUAAUUCUAAAUGGAGGUACGAUGUGUUCUUGAGUUUCAGAGGCGAGGAUACCCGCAACAACUUUACUAGUCAUCUCUACAAGGCUUUGGAUCAUGCCAACAUUGAAACCUUCAAAGAUGAUAAAGAACUUCGAAGGGGAGACGAGAUUGCACCCGAGCUCCUAAAAGCUAUUGAAGGAUCAAGGAUUGCCCUUAUUAUCUUCUCGAAAACCUAUGCUCAUUCCAAGUGGUGCUUGGAUGAACUCGUCAAGAUCAUGGAGUGCAAGGAAGAAAAGGGACAAAAGGUUUUUCCUAUUUUCUAUCAUGUAGAGCCGUCUGAAGUCAGGAAACAGACUGGGAUUUAUGGAGAAGCAUUUAACAAUCACGAGAGCAAUGCAGACGAGGAGAAGAAGAAGAAGAUAGAGAAGUGGAGGACUGCCUUAUGGAAAGCCGGUAAUUUGAGUGGAUUUCCUCUGCAGGAUAGGUAAUCCCUACAUCGCUUUUUCCAUUUCCCAUUUUCUGUCAGUUUAUUUUCAUUCUUCUUAAUAAAUAAAAUAUUUAUGAUUACAUAUAUCAAUCAAAAUCCAUUUUUAAGUAGUAGACAUUGAUUAAUAUGUUUGAUUUCUUGGAAAGUAAUAAGAAGAGUUAAAAAAAAAUGAUUUUCUUAUAUUUAAUUUAUUAUUAAAAAUAUGAAAGAAAAUAAAAUAUAAUUUAAAUACAUUGGAAAACUAUAAUAGGAAUAAUAUUAGAUAAUGUAUGAUAGCUGUUGUGGGCUCAUUCAGUCACAGCAGGUGAUAACAGUCAAUAAAAUAAAAUAAUUAUCCCAAAUGCCAAGUUUUGAAUUGUUAAAAAUUCUUAAGAUUCCAAAAUGUUCUUAGUUUCUAAUCAAUCCAUUUCAGCCAUAAUUUCUAUCAAUUUAAAAAGAUGGUAGUUUGUCAAAUAAAUUGUUAAAAUUGCUUAUUUAUAUGCUUUGUAAAUUUGGAGGUAAUCUAGGAUGAUUAUUUAGAAAAUUGUAAUACUGCCUUAAAUUUUUCUAGACCCCUCUUAUGGGACAAAAAACUUAGUUAUUAAACCCUUUACCUUUUUCAAUUUUUGAGGAAUUUUCUAUUACUAAAAUAAUUUUCUCAUAUUCUCUAUGAACUACAUGAGUUUACAUUUCUUCUUUCCUUAAUAUUGUUUCUUCCUUUAUAUUUGCAAGUUGAUAAUCAAAUUUAUUUGCCUUUUAAUCUAUUGUUUGUAUCUCGUUUUAUUCUAAUUUUCCAUGACAUCAAGAUAAUUAAUCUCAUCUUAAGACCUUGUCUUUCACAUUGAAUCAUCUAAUGCUAAAAUUAUUCUCUUGCUAUUCUACUUUGUGUACUCAUGGGAUUGAUAUAUUGCAAUCGAAAUUGCAUUUUUUUUUCUCUUUUUCUCUAGUAUGUUCUACAUUCCUCUAUGCCUCAAUUACAAAUAAAAGCAAGUAACCUUAGAGCUUGUUUGACAGUAUUUUUGAAAAUAAUGUUCAAAAAAUAGUUUUCCCCUAGCCAAUUUUGAAAAUAAUGAACAAAAUUUUACUUGAAAAUUCAAAUAUGAAAAAUGUCUUUCUCGACUUAUUAACUAUGAAGGUACUAUAAAUUUAUGUACAAUUUAACAAUUCUCUAAUUAUUAUCUACAUUUUCAAUUUUUGAUCACAAUACUCUAUAAGAAAAUACCUUAAAACAUCUCAAAUGUGCUCUUAAAGAUGAACUUGUUUACCGAACAAAUUUUUGAAAAUAAUUUUUAGUAAAAAUGAAAAUUAAAUAUAUAUUUAAGUUAUAAAACUAUUUUAUAUUCUAAAGAAAAAAAUCUAUUUUCAAAAACAAUAUCUAUACAAGCAUUUUUCUUUUAAGUAUCAUUUUAAAAUCUUUUUCCAUGACUCUUAUUAUUGCUAGGCUUUUGACCAACAAACAAACAUGUGUCACUUUCCUUGUCAUUCUAAUUUAUAUUUGGGAAAAAAAUGGGGAUUUCAUCAAAAUAUGAAACUUAUGUAGCAAUUAUUAGCAACCUAAAUAUAAAUAGAACUAAAGUGAAAAUUUACUUGUUUACAAAAUAAAUAGUUGAAAGUCUUAUAAGCAUAGAGGAUGGUCAUAAGUCAUGGUGUAAUUAAUAAAAGCAUUGCUAGGUUAUGGAACUUGGGUGACAAAUUGGUAGAUUUCUAGCCAAACUAGUACUGGUCUCUAUAAUAAAAUCUCUUAUCAUAAAGGAUAAUGAUACUUUAGAAAGGUCAACUUCAAUUUGGACCUUUAGAAGCAAUUGAGAUAUUUUCAUUAUUUUAUUGAACAUAUACUUGACAUAACAUAAUGAAAUUUUAUUUAAACAUGCGACUCAACACAUUUUUAAUUUACAUUCUAUUUGACCUUAAUUUAGUUGCAUUGAAUGAAACAAAACACCAUUCUAUUAUUUCCAUUUACUUCAUCUUUGUUUUCUUUGGCAAUUCAUUCUAACUCACUGCAUGUUUUAUUAUACUUUAUAAUGGACAGCCCUGAGUCAGAGUUUAUUGAAGAAAUCAUUGGUGAGAUUCGAAGAUUAAUUCCUAAGUUGGUACAUGUUGGUGAGAACAUAGUUGGAAUGGAUGAAAAUUCGAAAGAAGUGAAGUUAUUGAUAGACUCCCAAUCAAAUAAAGUGAGUAUGGUUGGGAUUUAUGGGACUGGUGGGAUUGGUAAAACUACCAUCGCCAAGGUUGUUUACAAUGGUCUGUUAGAUCAAUUUAAGCGUCACAGCUUUCUUGAAAAUGUGAGAGAGAAAUCUAAAGAUGAUCCUGGUUUGCUUGAAUUACAAAAAAAACUUCUUUAUGAUAUCCUCAUGGAGAAAGAUUCGAAGAUAAGUAAUAUUGGUGAAGGAAUAAAAGAGAUAAAGAGUAAGUGUUGCUUUGAAAAGGUUCUUAUUAUUCUUGAUGAUGUAGAUUGUCUAAGACAGUUAGAAUUCUUAGCUCCUAAUUCUGAAUGUUUUCAUCGAGGAAGCAUAAUCAUCGUGACCACAAGAAAUAAACGUUGCCUAGAUGUACAUAAGUCAUAUUCAUCAUAUGAGGCUAAGGGAUUAGCACAUGAGCAAGCUAAGGAGCUCUUUUGUUGGAAUGCCUUUAAGCAACACCAUCCAAAAGACAAUUAUGUGGACCUCUCUAAUCGUAUACUGGAUUAUGCUAAAGGCCUUCCAUUGGCUCUUGUAGUUUUGGGUUCUUUUCUUUAUAAAAGGGGUGUGGAUGAAUGGGAAAGCACAUUGCAUAAACUAAAAACAACCCCUUUCAAGGAUAUUCAAAAUGUGCUCCAGAUAAGUUAUGAUGGACUAGAUGAUAUAUGCAAGAAGUUGUUCCUUGAUAUUGCGUGCUUCUUCAAAGAUCACAAUAAAGAAUUUGUUACAAGUAUACUAGAAGGUUGUGAUCUCCAUCCCAAGAUUGGACUAAAAGUUCUUGAUGAGAGGUGUCUCAUUUCUAUAUUGGGUGGCACUAUAAGGAUGCAUGACUUGUUACAAGAAAUGGGUUGGGCAACAGAUUGUGGGAAUAUGAGGAUAUUAAAAGUGUCUUUACAAAAAAUAUGGUAAGAGAAAAAUAUAUGAAUAUACUUGAGAUCUAGAUCUAAAGACAAAAGAUUCAACAGUCUUUAUUUUUAUUAUUAUUAUAGUUUGAGUACCUUAUCUAUAUAAUUUUAAUGAAUCCCUAUGCAUCUUAUACUGCUUAUUCUCAAUGCGUGUUUUCAGGGGACAAAAAACAUUGAGGGGAUAUUCAUAAAUUGUACUAAAGCAAAACCUAUACAAUUUACUGCUGAAGCUUUCAAAAAGAUGAAUCGACUUAGAUUACUCAAAGUUGAAGAGGAUAUGGUGCAGCUUUCCCAAGACUUUGAAUUGUCUUGUCAUGAUUUAGUAUAUUUUCAUUGGGUUGCAUACCCUUUAGAAUCUUUGCCAUCAAAUUUUCAUGCUGACAGUCUCGUUGAACUCAACCUCCAGUACAGCAACAUAAAACAUCUUUGGGAAGGAAACAUGGUAUUGCUAUUAUUUAGUUAUACUUUUGCUCUAGACUAAUUUUAAGGUCUUUUGAAGUUUACUUAUUGAAACAAACUAUCUUCUGUUACAGCCUGCUAAAAAGUUAAAAGUCAUUAAUCUUCGGCAUUCCAAGCAUCUGGUUGAUAUUUCAAGCAUCUCAAGUGCGCCAAAUUUGGAGAUUUUAAUUCUAGAAGGUUGUACAAGGUUACUCAAGUGUUUCACCCAUGCCUAAUGUUACUAUUAGUCAUUAACUAACUGUUUUCUUGGAUAUAAUAGGGUGCAUAAGACUUGAGAGUCUUCCAAGGAACCUUCAUACAUUGUGAAGAAUUUCUGAACUCCUUUAUUGAUAUUUUAUCGGUACACACCAUACACAUAUAUAUACACAUAUAUAUACACAAAUGACUGAAUAAGAAAGAAUCAAUCUAGCUUAAUUCUCUCCUAAAAUUAGGAAACUAAAUCAUAAGGAAAUAUCCUAAAUGAUCUCUCAUUUUUUAUUCCUAAAUUAAAGUCCUAACUUUGGCAUUAUUUCAACACUCCCCCUCAAGCUGGAGAAUAUAUAUCAUAUAAUCCCAGCUUGCAAGUUAAGUCUUCGAAGUUAGGCCUAGGUAAAGCUUUGGUGAGGAUGUCUGCGGUUUGGUGCUUGGUAGGAACAUAGUUCAAUUUGACCGUCUCACUAGUCACCUUCUCUGUGAUAAAGUGUCUGUCAAUCUCAACAUGCUUGGUCCUGUCAUGAUGCACGGGGUUCUUUGCUAUGCUUAUAGCUGCCUGAUUAUCACACAUCAUCUGAAUUGGAGAUGAACUCGUUUGUCCCAGUUCACUAAGAACCCUUUUUAUCCAAAUCCCUUCACAGAUUCCCUGUGCAAGAGCUCUGUACUCAGCUUCUGCACUACUUCUGGCUACAACUGAUUGCUUCUUACUCCUCCAGGUAACAAGAUUUCCCCAGACAAAAGAACAAUAUCCGGAAGUGGACCGCCUGUCAAUGAUGUUUCCUGCCCAAUCCGCAUCUGAGUAUACUUCAGUGUCACGGUUCUCUGUCUUUCUGAAGAAUAGGCCUUUCCCUGGUGUCAUUUUUAAAUAUCUAAGAAUCCUGUAGACUGCUUCCAUGUGUUCCUCAGUGGGGCUGUGCAUGAAUUGACUUACAACACUCACUGCAAAGCCAAUAUCUGGCCGAGUGUGUGAGAGAUAAAUCAAGCGCCCGACAAGCCGCUGAUAUCUCCCCCUGUCUACUGGUGUACUUUCUUUCUCGAUACCAAGUUUCUUCUGACUAUCCAUAGGAGUAUCAAUUGGUUUGCAUCCAAGCAUACCGGUCUCCUUAAGAAGAUCGAGUAUGUAUUUUCUUUGAGAGACUACGAUUCCCUUCCUUGAUCUAGCCACUUCCAUACCAAGGAAAUAUUUCAAAUUUCCAAGGUCUUUAACUUCAAACUCUUCUGACAAAUACUUCUUCAAAUUCUGUAACUCCCCCAUAUCAUUCCCAGAUAGAAUAAUAUCAUCGACAUAGACUAUCAAUAUGGCCAAUUUCCCGGCAUGAGACUUCUUGACAAAUAGAGUAUGAUCAGCCUGACCUUGUUUGUAGCCCAGCUUCAGGACUGCUUUUGUGAAUCUAUCAAACCAGGCUCGAGGAGAUUGUUUAAGGCCGUACAAGGAUUUUUGGAGUUUGCAAACCUGAUUCUUUGCCAUACUUUCUUCGAAACCAGGUGGUAUUUCCAUGUAGACUUCCUCUUCUAGGUCCCCAUUUAGAAACGCAUUUUUUAUGUCCAGUUGUUGCAAGCACCAAUCUUGAUUGACAGCCAAUGAGAGAAGGAUCCUGAUAGUGUUCAGUUUUGCAACAGGAGCAAAAGUUUCCUGAUAGUCUAUCCCAUAGGAUUGUGUAAACCCUCUAGCUACCAAACGAGCCUUGAAUCUUUCGAAUGAUCCAUCUGCUUUGUAUUUUAUGGUGAAAAUCCACUUGCACCCCACAGGCCUCUUCCCAACCGGCAAAUCUGUGAUAGUCCACGUCCCAUUCUUCUCAAGUGCAUCAAUCUCAUCUUGUACUGCCUUCUUCCAUUCUGAAAUUUUUAAUGCCUCUUGUAUUGUGUUGGGAACCUGAGUAUCAUCAAGAGAAGUAGCAAAUGCUCUGUAAGAUGGUGAUAAUCCUUCAUACGUAACAUAAUUCCCAAUUGGAUGAUCUGUACAUCUCCUAACACCCUUCCUCAAUGCAAUUGGCAAAGUAGAAUCAUCAAUGCUGGGAAUUAACACCUCUCCAUCCCUAUCCUCACCUAUGUUCUCUUCAGGAAGACUUGAAUUGGAGUCAAUAUAUUGGCCACAUGUUGACUGUGAUCCGUGCUCUAAUUCCUGUCUUUUCCUCCUCCUGAUGUAAACUUGUAAGUUCUCAUUAGCAAGUUGUGGGCUAUAGGUUGAAUAGGCAUGGGAGACUGGAUGGUCACGGGAGAAGGAACAUUUGUGUGCUGGGCUGGCUGAACUGAUGGCGGCAUGGGUGUGGACAACUCAGUGGGCGUGAAUUGGGAAGGAUUUGGUGACUCUGAGUGAAAAGAAGGUACACCCUCAAGAAAAGACUCCCAAACUUGAUGUUCAUUCAUGCUCUCCCCCUGAACAUGAGAUUUGGGAUAGAAGAAGACAUGUUCAAAGAAAGAGACGUCCAUGGUGGUGUAAAAUCUUUUGUUGGUUGGAGAAUAGCAUUUGUACCCUUUUUUGGUUGGAGAAUACCCUAGAAAAAUGCACUUAUUUGCUCGAGGAGCAAAUUUGCUACAAUUUUGAGGAUACACAUGAACGAAUGCUGUGCAACCAAAUACUUUGAGUGGUAAAUCAGAAGAGGCGGCAUGGGUGUGAGGAAACUGUUUUAAGAAAAGUUGACGUGGGGAUUGAAAGGUAAGCACUCUGGAUGGCAUACGGUUAAUCAAAUAGGUAGCUGUGAGAAUAGCUUCCCCCCAGAAAUAGUUUGGAACCUUAGAGGAAAACAUAAGGCACCGGGCAACCUCCAAGAGAUGUCUAUUCUUGUGUUCAGCCACCCCAUUUUGUUGUGGGGUGUCAACGCAAGAACUUAUGUGGAUAAUGCCAUGAUUUUGAAGAUAAGUACUGAGACUACUAGUAAAGUAUUCCUUUGCAUUAUCUGACUUGAGGACUUGUAUUUUGGAAUUGAAUUGAUUUUGAACCAUAAGAUUGAAGGUUUGAAAAAUGUGCCCGACCUCUGACUUUUCUUUCAUAAGGAAAACCCAUGUUACCCGAGUAUGAUCAUCAACGAAUGUCACAAACCAUCGAGUGCCAGAAAUAUUUUUUAUCCGGGAGGGACCCCACACAUCACUAUGUACUAGAGAGAAAACAGUCGAAGGUUUGUAUGGGAUUUGAGGAUAUACUGUUCGAGUAUGCUUUGCAAACUGACAAAUUUCACAGUGAUAAGAUGCUGGAUUUUUAUUGAUAAAUAAUUUGGGAAACAAUUUCGCAAGGUAAACAAAGCUAGGAUGACCAAGGCGAUAGUGUAACAUUAUAAUCUUACUAUCUUUAUUGACCUUAGAAUUUGACACAGAAUUGAAAGACUCUGACAUACUCUGAGACUGUACGCAACUUGCUUGAGAGACUUGGUUUGAGAAUUGGCCACAUGAAAGGAGGUAGAGCCCGGAACACAGUUCAGCACUGCCAAUCAUCUUCCCCGAUUUCAAGUCCUGAAAAACACACAAGUUUGGAUAGAAUUUAGUAACACAUUGGAGAUCACGAGCCAAUUGGCUAAUGGACAAAAGAUUACAAUCCAAGUUUGGAACAUGGAGGACAGAGUCAAGAUAUAAGUCUUUAGUAAGUUUUAUAGAACCUGUCCCGGCAAUUUUUGACUUUGAACCAUCAGCAAUAUGGACGGAUGAAUGACCAUUACUUGGCUUGUAAUUUUGAAGAAUGGCAGCAUCUCCUGUCAUGUGAUCAGAAGCACCUGUGUCUACUAUCCACGGCCUCAUUCCUCCUCGAUUAGCAGUGAAGGCUACACCGGUAGUACUGCCGCUGCCAACUUGGCUUAAUAAUUUCUGUAGCCUCUCCAUCUGCUCUUUGUUGAAUGGACUCGGCUCGGGAACAGAUGUGCUCUCAGAGUUGGCAGCCACGUGUGCUCUGCCAUCUCUGUCAAACCGUGGCUUUGGUUUCCAAUCAGCCGGUUUGCCAUGAAGCUUCCAGCAAGUCUCCUUAUAAUGGCCUGGUUUCUUACAAUAAUCACACCAAGGCCUAUCCCGUUUCUGACGAUCUCCACCACUACUAUUAAAUGACCGAGCAGCAAGGGCAGAGGCAUCCAAUGUUGGGGCAGGUUGCUCUUUUGAUCCCAUCAUCACUUUCUUUCUACUUUCUUCACGCCUAACCUCUGAAAAAGCCUCCCUGAGACUUGGCAGGGGUUUAAUGCCCAUGAUUCGGCCUCUAACAUCAUCCAAUUCCCUGUUUAGUCCUAGGAAGAACUUGAACAGUCUCUUUUGUUCCACAAUUUGCCUGUAUGUUGCUGCAUCAUCCGAACAUUUCCAUGAGUGAGUCUCAAAUAAGUCAAGUUGCUGCCAAUACCUUGUGAGUGUGUUGUAAUACUGAGUAACUGACUGCUCUCCUUGGCGGAAGUCAUGUAGAGCUGAUUCAACCUGAAACAGUUCUGAAGUAUUUUCAGAACUUGAGUAAGUUUCUUUGGCUGCAUCCCAUAUGUCCUUUGCAGUCCCAAACAACAAGAAAUUUUCGCCUAUGUCAUUGUUCAUGGAAUUGAUAAGCCAUGACAUGAUCAUGCUGUUUUCAAUCUUCCACUUCCUAAAACCCGGUUCUGUAGUUUCUGGCAUGACUGCUUCUCCAGUGAGGUACUCAUCCUUUCCUUUACCGCAAAUGAACAGCAACACAGAUUGUGACCACUGUAAAUAGUUAUGGCCAUUUAAUUUGUGUCCUGUGAUGAGAAUAGGAGAGGAAUCAUUGCCACCAAGGUUUGGAAUUUCAGAUCUGCCCCCUGAUUCUGGUGACGUGACGCUGGAUACUUGUGAUGAUGCCAUUCUGUAUUUUGUCAUGGACCGGAAAGGUAGAAGAACACUUCCCAAGGCACGUGCAGGGACUGGAGUUGAGAAAAAAUAGCCGGAGGACGCCGGAAAAUCUUAUCAGAGGGCCCGCGGAAGCAAAAGAACCCCAAAAGAGGCACGUGCAGGGCUCGGAUUGCACAAACAGGUAGGAAGGGUGGCUGGUCGGCGUCAGGCGAGCCUGGAGGAGGAAGCGCGUCGCCGGAAAGUGGCUCACGUGCCCUCACGCGCCGGCGCGUGAGAUGCAGUCGCCGGCCGGAAAAACGCGCGUGGGCGGCGCGUGGAUGGGUUUCUGGUUCCGGUGCUUUGGGACAAAUUGGAGAUCUCCUCCAGGCGCUCCUUGCGGUGUAGAAAAAAAACCGUCGCCGGAAAGUUCGCCGGAAAAUUUUGCCGACGGUGAGUGUUUUCUGACGACGAUUCGACUGAUCGGAAAGCUUUUUCUCCCUUGGCUCUGAGAACAGGGACUGAUGACCGGAAUGAGAGAGAGAGAGAGAGAGAGAGAGAGAGAGAGAGAGAGAGAGAGAGAGAGAGAGAGAGAGAUGAUCGGAUUGAGAUAUGGCCAGAGAGAUUUGGCCGGAAUGAGUGAUGGCCUGAAUAAGAGGUGGCCAGAAGGGAUUAGGGUUUCAGAAAACUGGCUCUGAUACCAUGAAGAAUUUCUGAACUCCUUUAUUGAUAUUUUAUCGGUACACACCAUACACAUAUAUAUACACAAAUGACUGAAUAAGAAAGAAUCAAUCUAGCUUAAUUCUCUCCUAAAAUUAGGAAACUAAAUCAUAAGGAAAUAUCCUAAAUGAUCUCUCCUUUUUUAUUCCUAAAUUAAAGUCCUAACUUUGACAUUAUUUCAACACAUUGGAAUGCCUUCAAACACUCUCUUGUUAUGGUUGUUCGAAGAUGAAGAGUUUUCCGGAAAUCAAGGGUAAUAUGGGAAGUCUAAGAGAACUUGAUUUAAGUGAAACAGAUAUAAUAGAAGUACCAUCAUCAAUCAGGCAUCUACAUGGGCUUAAAACCUUGAAGUUAAGUGAUUGCUUAAACCUUGUGAGUCUUCAGGUCGGUAUUUGUAGUUUGAGCUCUCUUCAAACUCUUUUGAUGGAUGGGAGUUUAGAACUAAAGGCCUUUCUAGAUAUCAAUAUUGGAAGUCUAAAAGCCCUUGAAUGGUUAGAUUUGUCAUAUUGCGAAAACCUUGAGAGUCUUCCGGAUAGUAUUUGUAGUUUGACCUCUCUUCAAACUCUUUUGCUGAAUGGGUGUUCAAAACUGAAAGCCUUUCCAUACAUCAAUAUUGGAAGCCUCAAAGCUCUUGAAUUGUUAGCUUUGUCAUAUUGCGAAAACCUUGAGAGUCUUCCGGACAGUAUUUGUAAUUUGACAUCUCUUCAAACUCUCAUGUUAAAAGAGUGUUCAAAAUUGAAGGGCUUUCCAGAUAUCAAUAUUGGAAGUCUAAAAGCUCUUAAAUUGUUAGAUUUGUCAUAUUGCGAAAACCUGACAGUAUUUGUAGUUUGACCUCUCUUCAAACUCUUUUGCUGAAUGGGUGUUCAAAAUUGAAGGCUUUUCCGGAUAUUAAUAUUGCAAAUCUAAAAGCUCUUGAAUUGUUAGAUUUUUCAUAUUGUGAAAACUUUGGGAGUCUUCCAGAUAGGAUUUGUAGCUUAACCUCUCUUCAAACUCUUUUGUUGAAAAAGUGUUCAAAAUUGAAGGCCUUUCCAGAUAUCAAUAUUGGAAGUCUAAAAGCUCUUAAAUUGUUAGAUUUGUCAUAUUGCGAAAACCUUAAGAGUCUUCCAGACAGUAUUUGUAGUUUGACCUCUCUUCAAACUCUUUUUUUGAAUGGGUGUUCAAAAUUGAAGGCCUUUCCAGAUAUCAAUAUUGGAAGUCUAAAAGCUCUUGAAUUGUUAGAUUUGUCAUAUUGCAAAAACCUUGAGAGUCUUCCGCAUAGUAUUUGUAGUUUGACCUCUCUCCAAACACUUUUGUUGAAUGGGUGUUCAAAACUGAAGGCCUUUCCAGAUAUCAAUAUUGGAAGUCUAAAAGCUCUUAAAUUGUUAGAUUUGUCUUAUUGCAUAUACCUUGAGAGUCUUCCGCACAGUAUUUGUAGUUUGACCUCUCUUCAAACUCUUUUGUUGAAUGGGUGUUCAAAAUUGAAGGCCUUUCCAUGUAUCAAUAUUGGAAGUCUAAAAGCUCUUAAAUUGUUAAAUUUGUCAUAUUGCGAAAACCUUGAGAGUCUUCCGGAUAGUAUUUGUAAUUUGACCUCUCUUCAAACUCUUUUGCUGAAUGGGUGUUCAAAACUGAAGGCCUUUCCAGAUAUCAAUAUUGGAUGUCUAAAAGCCCUUGAAUUGUUAGACUUCUCAUAUUGCAAAAACCUUGAGAGUCUUCCGCACAGUAUUUGUAGUUUGACCUCUCUUCAAACUCUUUUGCUGAAUGGGUGUUCAAAACUAAAGGCUUUUCCAGAUAUCAAUGUUGGAAGUCUAAAAGUUCUAGAAUUGUUAGAUUUGUCAUAUUGCGAAAGCCUUGAGAGUUUUCCGGACAGUAUUUGUAGUUUGACCUCUCUUCAAACUCUUUGGCUGAAUGGGUGUUCAAAACUGAAGGUCUUUCCAGAUGUCAAUAUUGGAAGUCUAAAAGCUCUUGAAUUGUUAGAUUUGUCAUGUUGUAAAAAGCUUGAGAGUCUUCCGAUGAGCAUUUGCAAUUUGAGCUCUCUCAAAACUCUGCGGAUUAAAGAUUGUCCAAAACUCAAGGGAAUAUUAAAGAUGAACCUAGGGGUUGAUUUAUGCUCCUCGAGAUCUUUGAAUCUGACUUGUCACAUUUCAAAUUCAGGAGUAAUCUGGGAUAAUGACUGCUUUUCCUCAUUAAAAGCAUUAAAUCCAUGGUGCCCCCUGUCAUCACUGGUAGAAUUAUCUGUAAGAAACUCUAAUCUCAUGGAACGAGACAUCCUCAGUGCUAGUUUUCGCUUAUCCUCAAUGCAAAUAUUAUCUCUAAGGAACUUCCCUUUGAUGGUAGGAGGAAUCCUUGAUGACAUUUUCCAUCUAUCUUCAUUGGUAGAAUUAUCUCUUAGUGAAUGCAAUCUGAUGGAAGUAGGAACCCUCCAUUAUGUUUGGAACCUAUCUUCACUGCUAAGAUUAUAUCUAAGAAACUGUAAUCUAAUGGAAGGAGAGAUCCCCAAUCAUAUUUGGCACCUAUCAUCAUUGUGUAGACCCUCAAUUUUGUCCCUUUAGCACAUGUCUUUAAAAUUCGUUUUCAAUGCUCCACAAUAGUUCCUUGGUGGCCCAUGGCUACUCAUACCACUUACCUUUUUCUGAGUCACCUCGGAGAUUUUGGUUGAGGGAUUAUUUGAUCCCUUAUUGUGACCCUUGGCAGCCCUAACUUAGACUUAGGCUUUUCUUGUUUUUUUAGGAUAGCUUUUAGAUACACUUGGCCCAUUAGGCACUACCCUAGGCCCACUUAGUCUCACCUUAGGCCCGUUUAGGCACACUAGGCCUACGAAGACUUUUAUUUUAUUUUAUUUUAUUUUAUUUAUUUAUUUAUUUAUUUUGUUUUUAGUUUUAAUUUUAUGAUUAUCAUUCACUUUUUAUUGGUUAUCUUCCUCUUUAUAUCAUUUUCCUUAACUUAUUUAUUUAUUUAUUAUUUUUACCAUUUUUUAAUUUAUUUACUUAUUUAUCUAUUCAUGCAAUUAUUUAACUUCAAAAAUUUCAUGUUUUUGCAAGGAAACUUACCAUUGGAGUUUAAGGAAGGCGGGACUCUCCUUGGAAGGUUUUGGAGGGGAAUUUGAAAUUGGGAAGAUUGCUUUUGAUUGGAGGAUUUAAAAAAAGAAGAGAAGAAGAAAGGAAAGAGGAGAAUUUUCCUUUUUGGAAACAAAUUUAGGUCUUGAGGGGUGAUAUAUAUAGGUGAGAAAAGGAAAAGAAUAGGGGGAUUUUUCUAGGGGGGCAGGGCACACGGAAUUUUGAAAAAAAAGCAAGGGACUUCGAACGGAGAUCGGGCUGUCAUUUAAUCAUCAAGAGAGGAUUUUCUCUCACUUCAAAGGUUAGUUUUCUAUAUAGUACUUUUAUUUAGCCUAGAUUUUUUUUUUUUUUUUUUUUUUGGAAAUUUUAGUUUUUGAUUAAUUCUUUGUGUUAAAGUUUAUAUUAUUUUCUUUUUAAAUCCCCAAUUAGUUUAAUUCUAAUCUAUCUUUUAGUUUAAGUUUGUUAAUGAUUUUAAUUCUUAAGUUUAAAUAAUCCUAUCGAAUAAAGUUUGUAUUUUUAAUCCCAAUUAGUUUGAUUUUAAUUUGUUUUUUAGUUUAAAUGUAUUUUGUUGAUCUUAAUUCUUGACUUUAAAUAAUCAUGUUAAAUAAAGUUUGUGUUUUUAAUCUCAAUUAGUUUGAUUUCAAUUCGUUUUUAGUUUAAAUACAUUUUGCUGAUCUUAAUUCUUUAGUUUAAAUAAUCAUAUCGAAUAAAGUUUGUAUUUUUAAUCCCAAUUAGUUUGAUUUUAAUUUGUUUUUUAGUUUAAAUGUAUUUUGUUGAUCUUAAUUCUUUACUUUAAAUAAUCACGUUAAAUAAAGUUUAUGUUUUUAAUCUCAAUUAGUUUGAUUUCAAUUCGUUUUUAGUUUAAAUACAUUUUAUUGAUCUUAAUUCUUAAGUUUAAAUAAUCAUAUCGAAUAAAGUUUGUAUUUUUAAUCCCAAUUAGUUUGAUUUUAACUUGUUUUUUAGUUUAAAUGUAUUUUGUUGAUUUUAAUUCUUANNNNNNNNNNNNNNNNNNNNNNNNNNNNNNNNNNNNNNNNNNNNNNNNNNNNNNNNNNNNNNNNNNNNNNNNNNNNNNNNNNNNNNNNNNNNNNNNNNNNNNNNNNNNNNNNNNNNNNNNNNNNNNNNNNNNNNNNNNNNNNNNNNNNNNNNNNNNNNNNNNNNNNNNNNNNNNNNNNNNNNNNNNNNNNNNNNNNNNNNNNNNNNNNNNNNNNNNNNNNNNNNNNNNNNNNNNNNNNNNNNNNNNNNNNNNNNNNNNNNNNNNNNNNNNNNNNNNNNNNNNNNNNNNNNNNNNNNNNNNNNNNNNNNNNNNNNNNNNNNNNNNNNNNNNNNNNNNNNNNNNNNNNNNNNNNNNNNNNNNNNNNNNNNNNNNNNNNNNNNNNNNNNNNNNNNNNNNNNNNNNNNNNNNNNNNNNNNNNNNNNNNNNNNNNNNNNNNNNNNNNNNNNNNNNNNNNNNNNNNNNNNNNNNNNNNNNNNNNNNNNNNNNNNNNNNNNNNNNNNNNNNNNNNNNNNNNNNNNNNNNNNNNNNNNNNNNNNNNNNNNNNNNNNNNNNNNNNNNNNNNNNNNNNNNNNNNNNNNNNNNNNNNNNNNNNNNNNNNNNNNNNNNNNNNNNNNNNNNNNNNNNNNNNNNNUGAUGGAUAUUUCAUUAGCUUAUUUGAUCUAAAUAUUAAUAAUUUAUUGCUUUGAUAGUUUCCUUUUUGUUCAAAGGCCAUUGGAAAAUCAUGAAGAUUGGCCUCUACCAUCACCAUUAUCAUUUUUGUUAAUUACUAAAAAAAUUUUACUUUGAGGUUUCAUUUUUGUUUUGUUGGGUAUUUUAUUUCUUAUAUUUUAUUUUUUCCAAAUUAAUUCCUUUUAUUUUAAAAUAAAAUACUUUUCUCAAAAAAAUCAUUUUAAAAAUCUAUUUCAAAAACUCAUUUAGAGUCCUCAGGAUCAAAAUCUUUUUUUUUAUUAUUUAAAAAUAAUAUGCAACCAUAUCUUGUUCGGUUUGCAUCCUUCUCGGUUUUCAACAAAAAUUUUGGUUUUGAACAAAAACACGAAUCAAAGCUUGUGGUCCCAAAUAAUGGGAUAAUUCUGGGCUAAAUUUGUGUAUAUUAAUUUGGGGAAUUGGUGAAACCCCUACAUAAGAAAAUCUUUUCAAAAAUUAUUUUUGUUGCCAUCUUUGUCACUUGUUGAAAUUAUGUCUAUUUUUUUUAAGAAUUGUAUACAUGAUGAGUGUGAUAAUUAAUGUUUUCAUAUGCUUUGAUAAUUUUUGUUAUGCUAAUUAGAUAACAAGCAUGCUAGGGUUUCUUUAUUUUAUUAUUAUCUAAUCCCUCAUGUCUUAUGGAAGCGCAUUGUAAGUUAUCUAUGCUAUCCAGGUAUGCCCCCUAAUGACCUACUUUCUAAAUUUCGUAAACAAUCAUGUCACUGUGAAGUAUGCAUAUGUUUGAUAAUCCUUAGGUGUUUAGAUGUAUGCUUGAUUCACUAUGAUUAAAUACAUGUUGUGUGUUAUACUUCUAUAUUAACUCUGAUGUUUUAUGAUAGCGCUUGAAGAGCGGUUCAGGUACGCACCCUAACUCUCAGUUUUUGUGAUUUGAUCUUGUUUAGCAUGCAAAUCUUUUGAAAUCACCUAGUCUACCUAGGUCCAUAAUUAACCGAUUAAUUGCCAUAUUCCCCUUAACUUAAUUAGUAGAGACCUUUUUAGGGCUUAGAAGGGUGCUACCUCUUAGAGGUACCUUCCCAAUAAGUAACCUGAUCCCCGGACCAAGACUUGGGUUUUCAAAGACACGCUUUUCCAAAAAUUAUGGAGUCAUUUUUUUUAGGGUUUUAUUUCUUGUUUUAUUUUCCCUUCAAAAAUAAAAAUAAAAUAAGUGGCGACUCCAACUUUUUUUUUUCAAAAAUCAAUUUUUCACAAAAUAAUAAAAAGCGAGUCUCACCGAUCGAGUGGGGGCGCACGUGAAAAAUGCGGGUCCACAAAUUGGCGACUUCGCUGGGGAUUUUGAGGAUCAAGCUUGAACACUAGUUAGGAAAAUGUGGCGUUUAAUUGGUCGAUUAGUGGGUACCUCUUUUUUUAGGCAAGGUGAUUCGAUUUGCUUGCUUGUUUGGUUUGCUAUCUUAACAUGUUUGAUUGCCUUGGAUGAUCACUUAACUGUUUGCUCACUUUAGCAUGAUUCACUCUCACAUAUGUUAGAUAGGACUUUGUUUGUUUGAUAUUUAUCUGCUCAGCAUGACUGUUUGUUGUGUUUGCCUUGGAUGAUCACUUGAUUGUUUUGCUCACUUUAGCAUGAUUCACUCUCACAUAUGCUAGAUAGGACUUUGAUUGUUUGAUAUUUAUCUGCUUCACAUGACUGCUUGUUGCAUGACAACCCUUGCUCUUGCAUGUUCGUAUGAUUGCUUGUCUUCAUUCACUAUCUCACUUUAGACCUUAGGUUUUUCGGAUGCACCCACAUCCUUCAUUGUGCACUUUAGAUUAUCCUUGAGUGUUGAGAGAUGGGAGAGCCUUCACCAUUAAGAAACCCCCUGGGAACGCGAGGAAGUGCAUGUGUGGAGGUGAUGACCACCUUGCAUGGAAGCACCCCGUCUUCUUGGAGGCGUGCAGAGGGUUGCGUACCGCCGGAGGGUACGAUCGCUUCUGCUAGGGAUCCUUUGACCCGCUCAUUUUAUCUUAUAGAGCCACCUUAACCUUGUAGGUUAGCCUAGACCCAAUUAAGAUUUCAUUCCUACACGUGGGUGCAUCUGUGGACCUUCAGAGCUGCCUUGGUCACAAUUGGAAUUGGUUAUCCCUUCCUUAGUCUCCUUUUGGUGUAAUCAGAAGAGGGUAUCAGAUUGAGUAUAUUUGGGCUUUGCUUCUACGCCUUUGAUUCAUACAGAGUCACCUUCGAGUUACACCUUAUUCAGUGUUUCCAUAUUUGUAGGAGGGUUUACCGUGACCGAUCUGGAUUCACCUUUGUGGAUUAGAGUUGGAGGUAGAUUGAGCAGAGUAUCAGACCAGUCAGAUCAGAGAUCAGAUCAGAGGGAUAUGGACUCACAGGUAGUUACCGUUGACCAGUUUGCCGCAGCCAUGGCUUCUAUCCAGGAGGCUAUAGCUAACCUUGGUCAGAGGAUAGAUGGACAGCAGACCCAGCAGGUCCCAGUUCAGGAGAGUACCCAGUUCGAUACCAUAGUACCGCCACCACCUCUGCCUAGUCAGUCAGUACCACAGGUUAUACCUUUCACUCUGCAUAGUCAGAUCGAGGUUGCCCCGCCUCCUAUCACAUCGCCUAUCCCGGCUUCAGAGGACCCACAUGCUCGUAUGGAUAAACUUGAGCAGAAGUUGAGACAGAUGAGGACUUCAGAGGGAGCUAUUACUUGGGAGGAUUUUGAUGGAGCACCAGUGGCCAGUCUACCGGCCAAAUUUAGGAUGCCUGAGAUUGAGAGAUACACAGGCAUAGGAUGCCCUCGCAUCCAUUUGAGACUUUAUAGUACUGUUAUGAGGGCCCAUGGACUGGAUGAUGCCCAGAUGGUUAUGCUCUUUCCUAUGUCAUUGAGUGGUGCUGCACAGCGUUGGUUCGCUUCAUUGGAGGUAUCACGCCGUAGGACUUGGGAUGACUUAGCCCAGGAGUUUUUGAGACAGUUUGCAUUUAACACUGUCAUUGAUGUUUCGAGGAGAGAGUUGGAGGCUUUGAGACAGAGGCCGGAGGAGUCAGUCACUUCAUUUAUCUCCCGCUGGAGGGAGAAGAUUUCACAGAUUAUAGACCGUCCUUCAGAUAGAGAUCAUAUUAGCAUGAUCAUGAGGAGCUUGCAGCCUAGAUUUGCUAGACACUUGAUGGGAUUUCCCCAUACGGAUUUUGGAUCUUUGGUACAGGCUUUGUACGGUAUAGAGGAGGGCAUUGCUAGAGGAUUAUGGUCUGAGUCUUCCCCUACUGAUUCUAAGGGGAAGAGGCCUUCAGGAGGACAGAGAUCAGGAGAUGUUGGUGCUAUCAGUUUAGCAGGGAUGAGACCUUCUAGACACUAUCAGACAGUUGGGCAGACUCCUGGGUACUACUAUCCACCUUCACCUCAUGCGCAUUACAGACCACCCGCUCCUUCCAGACCCAUGACUCCUACCUAUCUACAUCCAGUCUCACAACCUAUUUUCGCUGCACACGUCGUAGAGAGGCCUCCUGCCCCAUAUAUUCGACCCCGAGCUCCACAGACCACUACUUAUGUGCAGAGGCCACCACGUCAGUUUGCUCAGUUGGGUAUGCCUUUGAGUCGAGCUUUUCAGAAGCUCACAGAGGGUGGAUUACUGAUUCCAUUAGCAUCCAGGCCUUUACCCCAACCCAUACCACCUCGCUUCAGGAUGGACUUACAUUGUUCCUACCAUCAGGGACCAGGGCAUGACACGGACCAUUGCACUGCUUUGAGACAUGCUAUUCAGGACUUGAUAGACCAGGGUUUGGUCAACUUGGGGCAGCCAAGUGUGACUACGAACCCUCUUCCUGCUCAUUCUACACACGCAGUGCAUCCAUCUUUAGGAGAUAUUCGUCACAUGGACCUUAUAGAGGAUGACAGUAUACACAUGUUGAGUUGGGAUGAUGGAUUACUUGAGCCGAUUGUUCUGCAUGACAGCUAUGAGAUUGAUGGGGUUUCAUUGGUCCCUCAGGCUCCUGCACCAUUCAGUUUGAUCCCGGACGAGGCACUAUUCCAAUUGACUCAUCCUACACCCUUAGUUAUCGGAUGUCAGGAUACUUUUGUCCCAUUCACUUUAUGGCCAGAGGAUGAUGAUUCAGCAGGAAGAGAGAUACAGAUUGUGACUCGCAGUGGGAGGAUAGCUCAGCCACCACCACCAGCAGUUAGACCAUUUGAGGGUACAACCUCUCAUGAGGAGGUUAGGAGAGAGGAUGAUGAGGUUUUGAGGCAGCUACAGAGCACUCAGGCUCGCAUUUCCAUCUGGAGUUUAUUAGCAUCAUCCAGUACUCAUAGAGAUGCUUUGAUUCGAGCCUUGAGUCAGAUCAGAGUAGAGACUACCACCACUCCAGAGGGAUUGAUUCAUAUGAUGACGGCUGGCAGGGCCACUUGCAUUGUAUUUUCAGAUGAUGACUUGCCACCUGAUGGUUUAGACCACAUGCGCCCUCUAUAUAUCACAGUUGGAUGUUUAGGCCGUAGAGUCUCGUCAGUCCUACUGGACAACGGCUCAGCCCUGAAUGUUUGCCCUUUAGCCACUGCUAUAGCCCUUGGUUUCGCACCUUCAGAUUUUGGUCCUUCUACUCAGACAGUCAGAGCGUAUGAUAGCACCAAGAGGGAGGUUAUGGGUACCUUGAUGAUCGAUUUGCAGAUUGGUCCAGCCACAUUUUCCACUUUGUUCCAGGUUUUGAGGAUUCCUGCAUCCUUUAGCCUGCUACUAGGCCGACCAUGGAUUCAUGUAGCUGGAGCUAUUCCUUCUUCCCUUCAUCAGAAGGUGAAGUUUAUUCAUGAUGGGCAGGUCAUCACAGUGCGUUCUACCAGGGAUAUAUUUGCGUCUUCUGAGCCAGUACUUCAGAUCAGUCACAGUGAGGACGACCUACUUCUGACUGGGUUUACUUUUGAUGAGAUACAGACUCUCGAGAUUGAGGAUUUUUGUAGAGACUUUGUGGCUAUGUCAUUUGAUCAGCACAGUAGCACAGUGGUCCUUGAUAUGAUGAGGGGUAUGACCUUUCUACCUGGCAUGGGGUUAGGAUGACGUCAACAGGGACCGAGCGAGUUCAUAGCUGCCAUUGACCAUGAUACGACAUUUGGACUUGGAUUCAUCCCUAUUGAGGCCGAUUACCGUCACAUGGCGCGGCUGCGCAAGGAGAAGGUGAGAGCCCGUUUAUCCCACACACCAUUUGAUUAUCCUAUUCGACCCUAUAGGAUGAGUUUGGCUGACUACUUUGUCAGAGGAUCAGAGACUCGACCUCGUCUAGAGGAGAUUGAUAGUGUGGUUCAUACAGAUAGAGAGACCGAGCUUCAUGACUCAUGCCCAAUUGGUGUCUCAGCUGAUUUGUAUUCAGCUGGUGCUCCUUGAUUGAGGAAGUGAUCAACAAAAUUUAUACCUAUAACACCAUACACUAGGGUAGCAAAUACAAAGCUACUAUAGUAUAGUGGCUCUAAGGAUCGUUCACUGGGAAUGAUUUGCAAGCAAUCAAGGAUACCAAUUCCAAGUGAAUUGGUCUUGUUUCAUUUCACGGUUAGCUUAAGAAGUAAAACACAAAGUUUGAUUGGUAAAGGUUUAGACUUAAACUAACUAACUUAACAGAAGUUUGGAAUAAUUUAGGAAGAAAAGCAUUCCUUGGAGAUUUAGGUUCACUGGGGUGGUUCCUCAUGCAAAAGACAUAGCUCCGGUCAGAUGGUUCAUUUCCUCGCAUUAGAGAUUCAACUUAGAGUCAAUUCUCUAACCGGUGAUGUACAGAGACUCCUUCAAUUAGAUUUCACUUUAAUUCUCUCACUGAUGCAACUUGCAAUGGUUCAUGCCUCUCACGAGCACUUACCAUUCAAGGUGAUCUUUAACCUUGGAUUCCCUUCACAAACUCGCAAGAGAUAACUAAUGGAUGUCUCCUAAGAGUCCAAAAGCUUACCAAGUGUUGGUAAUUCCAGAAAAUCCUACCUUGAAGUCACCUACCAAAGGCUCGCAAGGGGUAAACUAGUGCAUUUCCACGGUUGGAAAUCACUUGCCUUACCAAGUGUUGGCCCAGGUGACUCCAAAGUGUUUUAAGUUAACUAAAAACAUUGAAAUCACUAAAGGAUUUCACUUCCUCUUCAUUUCUAGCUAAAACCACAGAGCUUUGCAUUUUUGCACUUGGAACCUUCCCCGGCAACCUUAGCUCCAAGGAAUUGGAGGUUUAGUUACUCAUUCUCUGGGGAAAACUCCUCAGAGAAUUCAUAACUUAGAAAUAAAAUGAAAAUACAAAGUGAGAAGGUGAGGCAAUAGAAGGAAAAGACUUUACUUGCUUACCAAAAUGGUUACAGAAGGAACUCCUCUCUGAGAACAGGCUCCCGAGAGGUAUAUAUAUCAAAGCAAUAUAAAACUAAUUGUUACACUGAUAUUUGGUCUUUUUACUAACUUUAAAACUAAGGAAUCAUGUAAUUGGUGGUUUACAAGGAGUAUUUUGGGAUUUAGACAACAAAAAUCUAAUGGAAAAUAUCUCCCAAUGUCGGUAGCAAGCUUCGGGAGGCUUCAGGAGCCAUUUCGCAGGAGAAAAGUGGUGCCUGCGAAAUUUCGCAGACACCCAAUAGGGCUGCGAAAUUAUUUCGCAAGACCGAGCUAUCUUCACCAGGCUGCAAAGUUGGCUUCCAUCUUGAAGUUUCCAGCUUCCCUCUCGCGGCAUGGUUCGUGCAUCGUCAGAAGAAGAAACACCUUACUGUACAAAAGUGUUGCAAAAUUCUCGCAACAAAAGGCUGAUUCCGCAGCACUUUAGAGUGACUGGCUUGUAAUGGCUGCAACUUCUUCGUUUCAACUCCAAAUUGCACACCGUUUGAAGCAUUGGAUUGUUGACUUCCUGAGCUUUGAAAUGGUAUAUAGCAUGCAUCAUUUGGACUUCAGAAAGUGCUCCAAAAGUGGCUGCUACGACUGUCAUCAAGAAUAAGCUUCAUGACUGAUCCUCUUUGCUUUUUCUCCUUGCAAUCCGGAUUCACUCUUGGCAAUUGAAUUCUAAGCUUUGCCCAAGAUUCCUCAUAGCUCUCCUCAUUCUUGACUUGCUUUGGUGAUCAAAAUACUAACAAAAACACCAAAACUUACACAAAGUGAUCAAAAUUGCUUUAAAGGAUCCUUAACAUGCCAAUUGAGUUAAAAGGCCUAAACUACUACUCAAAAGUGGUAAAAAGGAUUAAUUAAAGGCUAUCAAAUAGCACUUUUUGAGUAGUAAUCACUCCCCCCAACCGACAUAUUGCUAGUCCCUUAGCAAUAUAGGAGAGAAAAAUGAAAAUAAAUAGCUAAUUAUACUAAAAUUUACAACAUCAUGCUAAAGGAAAAUAAUUCUCAAGUGGCAUGAUGAUCUAAUUCUCACAUGAAUCAUUAAAGAAAUACAAACCCAAAUCUCAACAAGAGUCAUAACAAACUAUGUUAAGCACUGUCAAUCAAGGGAGUGCAUUAUGCAAACUGAAGUUUUAAAAUCAUUUCAACUUUCAAAGAACUAAACUUCAAUCUUCCACAAAAAUCUAUGUGUAUUGGUUCCUUAGGUUCCGAGAAUAAUAUGCUACUAAUCUCACCCCCCAACCUAUCUCUUUUCAACACUUUAGCAAACUGACCAAAAUCAAUAAGAAAAGAACACACUUUCAUCUUUUUUUUUUUUUUUUUUUUUUUUUUUCAAGGUAGCUUUAUGGGGUACUCUUUCUGACUUGUCCAUGUAAUGGGGGUCCAUCGAUGACUCCCAACCAAUUAAGGUUUAGGGCACCAAGUUUUAAGGAUCUUUCAACCACUAACUCCUCGGAUUUUUCCCCGGACUUUUAAGAAUGAGAUUCUAAUACCCAAGCAUCUACCAUAUGCUAACUCUACCUAUUCACCCUUGUAACGAGCAUUGAGGUCGGUGACUCCCAACCAAUUAAGGCUUAGGGCACCAGGCUUUAAAGGCUUUCACCAUAUGCCCCUCAGACCUUGCUCGGGUUUCAAGGCAAGCAAACAAAUUUCUUUAUUUCAAAGGCUCAUUGGCCUUUUGCAGAGUGUUUCAAUUUUUAUUAAAUGAGGUCAAAUAUACCAAGUCUCAAAAUUAUCCUAAGUCAAGAGGGAAAUAGCUUUUCAUCUUAUAAUCGGAAACUAAUGUGCACAGUGUGUGGAUAGCUUAAAGUGGAAGAACUUAAUUCAAUUUCAGUAGAAGUUUCAACAAUUGAACCACUUUAGUAAGCAUAAUCCAUACUCUAAGUCAAGUGAAAAACAACAGUUCAAUUUCUCUUGGUUUAAUUUGAAAAUUUUUCCUCAAAAUUCAUGGAGAAUAGAGUAACACUAAUAAAAAGUAAAAACUACAACUAAUUAACCAAUAUAAUUAAAAUACCAAAAAGGUUUAGAAUACUUCCUUCCUCAUACCCCCCAACCGAAUUGAGCAUUGUCCUCAAUGUGAUUUGAGUGACUGUAAUAAAAGGGAGGAAGUUGUAUCUCCAUGCUGAUAUCAAAUUCGAAUAUUGAUUGGGGAAAACCACAUGUUUCAAAAAGAAUAGAAUAUGUGAGAAAAGGAAAUAAUAAUAACUUAAUGCUAACUUUUAACAAGAAAUAGUCAACUUGUAUUACUUUGAGUUCAUUUAAUUACAAUGCUAAAAACAAGUAACACAAGGAAUCCCAUAUAUAGUACCAAAAUACUGGGAUUUCAUUUCAACUAAAACAAAACAAACAUGCAUAAAAACAUAAACAGAAAAUAUAUAUAAUGUCUGAUGAGUGGGGUGAUGGUGCUAAGCAGAAGGAUCUGCCUUCUCAGUAGGUGGAUCAGCUGGUGCUUCUGGCUCUGGAGCUUGAGACUCUGAAGGCUGAGAGUGUGGCUCUGGUGGAGUCUCAGUGGAGGGCUCUACAGCUUGUGGCAGGUCGAAAUGGACUUGAAGCUGCCUUAGGAUGGCAGCUUGUUGAGCCUGAGAGGCUAACAUCUGCUCCUGGCAUGCUUUGAUGGCUGCCAACUCCUGAGCAAGAUUGCUCUGGGUAGCUGUAAGAGUCUCCAAUGCACGACACAGCUCUCGAUAUUCGGAUAUAGGGAUGGCCAUCCUCGGCUCAGCUGAUGUGGAUGGCUGUGAUGGAGCAGGUGCAGGUGCAGGUGCAGCUGGUGGAGCUCGAGGGAUGGCAGGAGUAGCAAGUGUGAUAUCCUCUGGUCUGUGCCUUGGGGAGGCUCUCCUUGCUGCUAGCUGAGGCUGCCCAGGCUGAUCAAUUUUGUAGGCCGUCAUAUUAUUCCAUUUAUCAAGGGUAAAUGGCUCACGGCAAAUUCUCUUUCUUUCCUGCUGAGGCUCAGAGGGGUAUCCGAGAUGCUCCAAAACUUGGCAUAGCAGCCUUGGGAAGAGGAGUGGAAUGCAAUCUGCUCUUUGAAGCUUCUUCUUGUAAACCUUCUCCUCAAAGUAGAGAAGGGCUGCCAUGAUCAGAUGAUGAGGCCCAAAGAAGAAUCCUUCUGGCAUUUUGUACAGGGCUUCCAGGAGAAUUCCCCUUCUUUGGGUCCAAUGCUGUAGGGGAUAGAUAUUAUGCCUCAAAAAGGCAUCAAUCAAAAACAUCACUGGAGGUAGCUCCCCCCUCAACAGGUGUGACCGAUUUGCAGCUCCUCUAGACAAGGUGCUAACCAUCUCUAGCUCAGCUGGAUUUACCCAAGCCUUAAAAUUGUCAAAUUGGGUUGGCUCAAAAGGAAUUUGCAGAGCUUCAGCAAUAUGUCUUGCUCCCAAAAUACCAUGUCUACCAUCAAUAAUAAAAUGAAUCAAGGUUGGAUUUCUUACUUCUUUGGUUGUCAUGGUCUGGUAGAAAUCAGUGACUACCCGGGGAUAGAAAAAAUCCCUUGGAGCUAGCAGAUGCUCCAUAUGAUACUUCCUCAGCAGCUGGAAGGAUUGGGCAAGCUCUGGCCUCACUCUAAAUGUUGCUAAAUCGAAGCACAAUUCAGAAUGGAAUGCCCGAGUUCGACAAUCCAAGUUUCCUUCGAUUGGGGGCUGGGGCAGCAUUGGCCUUCGGAUCACUUCUUCCAGAGGUGCUUCAGCUGCAAUUUGGGGCUCUGGAAUUGGCGCUUGAGACUCCUGAGCUUUUUCUUGGGGUGCCGGAGAUGGUACCGGCGAUGGAAUUGGAGUUGCUUCUGGUGAGGGAACCGGUGACGGCAUUGGAAUUUGUACCGGUGAAGGAUUUGGUGAAGAUACCGGAGAUUGAACCGGUGUUGGCUUUGGGGAUUUCUCAGGGGAUUGCUCAGUCAAAUUGAUUGGUUCAGAGCUCUCAACCCUGGCUUUCUUCUUCAACGGUCGACCGCCUGACCUGGUUAAAUAUCGCCUUGCCGGCGGCUUUGGUGGCGCCGGCUUCACUGGAGAAGGUUGUGGUCUCGACGGCGAAGGCUUUGGAGCAGGUUCUGGAACAGAGCCUGGACUUGGCUCCUUUCGCAGACUCCUUUUACGGUUCGAAGGGGAUGAAGACUUUGCCCCUCGCGUUCGUGCCAUUUUGGGCUAUCGAUCUUUGGCCGGCGCUGCUAAACGGAGAAGAUGACCGGAGAAGCGAACGGCGUGGCUUGGCGAAGAAGAUGAAGGGGCCGCGAGAAUGGUGCUCUGAUUUUUGAAACCCUUUUCGCAACACUUUUGACCGGUAUAAAUAGGAAAAACGGAAGCCCAGGGGUCAGUUUAAGUUUCGCAACAAAACGCCAAUUUCGCAGCAACUUGCCAUUUUCGCAGCAACUUCGCAGUGAGUUUCGCAGCUGCGAAAUCGAUGUCACUGUGCUGCGAAGUGGCACUCGUGUGCCAAAACCACUUUCGCAAUUGCGAAAUGCCCUGCGGAAUGGGACUUUUGGUGCGAAAUCACGCUUUUCCAUUUCGCAAUGAGUUUCGCAGCUGCGAAAUGGAUGCUACUGUUCUGCGAAGUGGCACUCGUGUGCCAAAACCACUUUCGCAAUUGCGAAAUACACUCGCAGGGACUUCUACAGUGCUGCGGAAUGGUUUGGCAACAAAAAUCACAUUUCGCAGAAGUUUCCUUCACUCUGCGAAAUUUCGCAGAGCUCUGUUUUUCCCCUGUUUUUGCUCUGUUUCUGUUUUGUUUCGGCUCCAAUUUCGACCCGAUUUUUUUCUUUUCAAUUUCCUUGAAAUUUCUUCCACCUGGGAUCAUAUAAAACGAUUAAAACACACCUAAAAACAUGAUUUAAGAUAAAAAAACUAAGAUCAAAAGUAUGGAAACAACUUGAAAAUUUACAAAAUUUACAAAAAAUUUGGACUGUGGUAAAACCACGUCCAGCAAACCCAUUUCACUUAGGCUUUUUGAGGUUCAAGGAGGUUGAUUGCCUCCUUUUCUGAUUUGAACGACUCCAUGAAUGGCUUAAGAUGAUAUCCAUUGACUCGAAAACUAUCCUUGCCAUUGGAAUUCAAUAAGUCCACCACUCCAUUGGAAUAUACUCGGUGAAUAACAAAUGGACCAAUCCACUUUGACUUGAGCUUCCCAGGAAAGAUAUGGAGUCUUGUGUCAUACAUCAAAACUUUUUGCCCUUCUUGAAAUUCCUUGUUGGAGAUGAGUUGGUCAUGCCACUUCUUCAUCCUCUGUUUUGCAACUUUGGAAUUGAUAUAAGCAUUAUUUCUUAAUUCCUCCAUCUCAUUAAGGUCUAGAAAUCUCUUUUCUCCGGCCUUGAUCAAAUCCAUAUUCAGCUUCUUUAUUGCCCACCAAGCUUUGUAUUCAACUUCCACAGGGAGAUGGCAUGCUUUACCAUAGACAAGACGAUAGGGAGACAUCCCUAGAAUAGUCUUAUAAGCUGUUCUAUAUGCCCACAGUGAAUCAUGAAGCCUAAUAGACCAAUCUUUUCUGUUGGAAUUCACCACUUUCAUCAAAAUGUUCUUUAUUUCUCUGUUAGCUAGCUCAACUUGCCCGGAAGUCUGAGGAUGAUAAGGUGUGGCCACCUUAUGCUUCACUCCAUACUUGGAUAACAGAGCUUCAAAAGGUUUGUUACAAAAAUGAGCACCUCCAUCACUGAUUAUGGCCUUGGGCACCCCAAAUCUUGAGAAAAUGUUCUCUUUAAGAAACUUGAGAACCACCCUAUGAUCAUUUUGCUUACAGGGGAUUGCCUCAACCCAUUUAGAAACAUAAUCUACCCCUACCAAGAUGUAAGAAUUACCAAAAGACAUUGGGAAAGGUCCCAUGAAGUCAAUGCCCCAUACAUCAAAUAUCUCUACUAUCAGAAUGGGGUUCAUAGGCAUUUGAUUUCUUUUUGUUAGCUUUCCAAGCCUUUGGCAUCUAUCACAACUCCUACACAUGAUAUGGGCAUCUUUAAAAAGAGAGGGCCAAGUAAACCCUGACUGUAAUACCUUCAUGGCUGUUUUCUGAGAGGCAAAGUGACCUCCACAUGCAUUCUCAUGACAAUGAGAUAGAAUCCCUUGCUGCUCAUCUUCAGGGACACACUUUCUAAUAAUCUGAUCUGCACAAUACUUAAAGAGAAAGGGCUCUUCCCAAUAAUAAGAAUGAAUUUUGGCGAAGAAGUGCUUCCUGUCCUGUGCAUUCCACUCACUUGGAAUUUCUCCAGUUACUAAAUAAUUAGCAAUAUGAGCAUACCAAGGAGUUUUCACUAGGAACAUGAGUGAUUCUUCAGGAAAAUCAUCAUUGAUAGGCAAGGGAUGGGAAUUAUGUGCUAUAACUAACCUUGACAAGUGGUCAGCUACUACAUUCUCCACUCCUUUCUUAUCUUUGAUUUGAAGAUCGAAUUCUUGUAACAAUAGAAUCCAUCUAAUCAACCUUGCUUUUGCAUCUUGCUUUGUCAAUAAAUACUUCAAGGCUGAAUGGUUAGUAAACACAAUGAUGAAAGACCCCACUAAAUAAGCUCGAAAUUUGUCCAAAGCAAAUACCACAACUAACAAUUCUUUCUCUGUAGUUGUGUAGUUCCUUUGAGCUUCAUUUAGUGUUUUACUUGCAUAGUAAAUCACAUAAGGCUUCCCAUCUUCUCUUUGGCCAAGCACAGCUCCUAUAGCAAAGUCACUGACAUCACACAUCAAUUCAAAAGGUAACUGCCAGUUAGGGGCUCUUACUAUUGGAGUUGUUGUUAAAAAUUUCUUCAGUUGAUCAAAGCUAUGCUGACACCUUUCAUCCCAUAUAAACUUAGCAUCCUUAGCUAACAGCUCACAAAGAGGUUUUGAAAGACUUGAAAAACCUUUUAUAAACCUCCUAUAGAACCCUGCAUGGCCAAGGAACUGCCUUACUCCUUUCACAGUUGUUGGAGAUGGUAAUUUGGCAAUAAGCUCCACCUUUGCUUUAUCAACUUCAAUGCCUCUUUCAGAGAUGAUAUGGCCAAGGACAAUUCCUUGACGUACCAUAAAAUGGCAUUUUUCCCAAUUCAGCACCAAAUCUUUUUCAAUGCAUCUUUGAAGAACUGCUUCCAAAUUAACCAAGCACUCCUCAUAUGUACCUCCAUAUACGGUGAUGUCAUCCAUGAAAACCUCCAUAAUUCUCUCCACCAUAUCACUGAAAAUACUCAACAUACAUCUUUGAAAUGUAGCAGGUGCAUUGCAUAAACCAAAAGGCAUUCUUCUAUAAGCAAAUGUUCCAAAUGGACAUGUAAAAGUGGUUUUUUCCUGAUCUGCCAAAUCAAUUUCAAUCUGAAAAUACCCUGAAUACCCAUCCAAGAAACAAUAGAAUGGAUGUCCAAAGACUCUCUCCAGCACUUGGUCAAUAAAUGGCAAUGGAAAAUGAUCUUUCCUGGUGACAGCAUUCAGCUUUCUAUAAUCAAUACACACCCUCCAACCUGAAGUGAGGCGUGUAGUAAUUUCUUCCCCUUUUUCAUUUUGAACCACUGUGAUCCCUGACUUCUUUGGUACCACUUGAAUAGGACUCACCCAAGGGCUAUCAGAUAUAGGGUAAAUGAUUCCUGCUUGAAGUAGCUUCAGCACCUCAGCUCGCACCACCUCUUGUAGAUGAGGAUUCAACCUUCUUUGAAAUUGACGAAUUGGCUUUGCUUCCUCCUCCAUAUAUAUAUGAUGAGUACAAACUAAAGGACUAAUGCCUUUCAAAUCAGAUAUUUGCCAUCCUAUUGCUUUCUUACACCUCCUGAGAACUUCCAUUAAACCAUCCUCUUGAUGACUGGUCAGAGAUGAAGAUAUUACAACAGGACAUUGAUUAUUUGCUUCAAGGUAUGUAUAUUUCAGCUCCACAGGUAAAGGCUUCAAAUUGAGUUUUGGAAUUUCUUUUUCAACAGCUGCCUCCUCUUCUUCAUUGAACAAAGGUAGAAUUCCUUCUAUCUUUCUCCAACUUUGUAGAGUAGCAAGCCCACUAGGAGAUUCAGAAAAACCUUCCUCAAUAUCCUCAAGACUUUCAUUCAACUUGUCUUGCAUAUGUUGAUUGCAGUGCUCCUCCACCAAAGUAUCAAUUAUACAUAGCUCUUCUGGACCUUCUUCUUCUUCAGGAGUGAUUUGCUUUUUAGACAUAUAGAAAAUAUUGAGAUCCAGGGUCAUAUUACCAAAAGUGAGUUGCAUCAGCCCAUUUCUACAGUUGAUGAUUGCAUUUGAAGUUGCAAGAAAUGGCCUUCCAAGGAUGAUAGGAACUAAAUUAGCUUCCUUUACAGUAGGAUCUGUAUCAAGAACAACAAAAUCUACCGGAUAGUAGAAAUUAUCUACUUGAACUAAUACAUCCUCAAUUACUUCUCUUGGAAUUUUCACUGAUCUAUCUGCCAAAGAUAAAGUGAUUGCUGUUGGCUUUAACUCUCCAAGUCCCAGUUGCUUGUAGACUGAGUAUGGAAGCAAAUUCACACUUGCUCCCAAGUCUAGCAAGGCUUUCUCCACUACCUUUCCUCCAAUCAUGACUGAAAUGGUAGGACUUCCAGGGUCUUUGUACUUCAAAGGGGACUUACACUGUAAGAUUGCACUUACUUGCUCAGUCAAGAAGGCUUUCUUGUUUACAGUCAACCCUCUUUUGAUAGUACACAAGUCCUUUAGGAAUUUUGCAUACGUUGGAACUUGUUUGAUCAUAUCCAGCAGUGGAAUAUUAACUUUCACUUGUCUCAAUACUUCAAGGAUUUCAGCUGCAUUUCUAACCCCCUUUUUCCCCUGUAAUGCUUGAGGAAAAGGUGGAAAAGUUGAUUUCUUCAGCUUUUCUUCCUUCAGAAGCUCCUUCUUUUCUUCAUUGAUCUCACUCUCUUUAUCUUCCAUUUCCUUCCCUUUCUUUAUCUCUUCUUCUUUCUCAACAUGUGGCUUGGGUGUUGGCUGCUCAAUUUUCUUACCACUCCUUAGAGUGAUCAAAGCUUUCACUUCUUUCACCUGUGAUGAUUCUCCCUCAUGGCUUUCCACUUCAUGGACACCUUUGGGAUUUUGAUGAGGUUGAGAAGGAAAUCUUCCUUUUUCUUGCAGUGUAUUCAAAUUUGUAAGCCUUGAAAUUGAAUAUUGGAUGUUAUCAAACUUUUGGUUCAUAUCAUUUUGCAUUCCAUCCAUUCUUUUGUUCAACACACUCUCCAUUCUAUCCAUUCUUUGAUCCACUCUGUCCAUUCUUUGAUCAACUCGAGCAUUGGUGGCUUCUUGCUUUCCCACAAAAUCUCCCACUACCUUGCUGAGAUUAGCUAUUAUUUGUUCAAUACUUGAAGAUUGCUGAGAUGGUGGAUCCGGCUGUUGGUAUUGAGUUGCUCUGGCCUUCCAUGAGAAAUUUGGAUGAUUCCUCCAACUUGAAUUGUAGGUAUUUCCAUAUGGUGCAUUGUUAUUGGGCCUGAAUUGUCCAACAACAUUUGCUUGAUCUCUAUACAUUUCCCUUUCAGCUGAAAUUGCAGGGCACUCCUCUACCAAAUGUUCAAACGAUUGACAAUUGGGACACAACUUCACUUGCACUGGUGCUUCAGCAACAGCUUGCACUUCAUGCAUUCUUUUCAGCUCCAGCUCCUUCAAUCUUCUUGUCAUAGCUGCCAACUUUGCUUUCAUGUCAUCAUCUUCUUUUAAAUUAUACAUCCCAGCCUUUGCAUUGUAAGCAUUCAACUGAGACUUCAUCUUUCCCACUUCUCCUUUAGUUGGUUCAUCCCAUCCCCUUGAAACAUCAGCUACAUAGCUCAAGAAAUCCAUAGCUUCCUCUGGAUUUUUGCUCAUGAAAUCUCCUCCACACAUUGUCUCGAGGAGUUGCUUCAUUGAGGAUGACAUACCAUCAUAGAAAUAACUCACCAAUAGCCAAGUAUCAAAGCCAUGGUGAGGACAAGCAUUUAUAGCUUCCAUGUAUCUUUCCCAACACUCAUAGAAUUUCUCAUUCUCUUUAGCUGAAAAAUUUGAAAUUUGCCUUUUCAAGCCAUUUGUUCUAUGAGUAGGAAACAAUUUCUUAAGGAACUCAGCUUGUAAAUCAGUCCAAGAGCGGAUACUCCUUGGCCUUAAAGAAUUAAGCCAAAUUUUGGCCUUAUCCUUUAAAGUAAAAGGAAAUAACUUAAGCCUUAUCAAGUCAAUUGAAGCUCCUCCCUCUUGGAAUGUAUUACAAACAUCUUCAAAUUCCUUGAUGUGUGCAUACGGAUUCUCACUUUCCAUCCCAUGGAAAGUUGGUAGAAGUGGAACAAGGUAUGGUCUGAUCACUAGCUGCUCUGUAGGGGGCACUAUACAUGAUGGUGCACUCAUACGAGGUGGAUGCAUACGGUCCCUCAUUGAUCUGAAUUCAUUGAGAUUGUCUUGACGACCUUGGUGACUAUGCUGAUCUUCAGGUGCAGCCUCCAUGAUAUUCAAGAUUACUUCAAAUUCUCCUUUCUGAGGUGUAUCACACUUAACAAGCCUACCUCUAAUGUCUCGUAUCCACUUGGGCAUACACAACUAGUAUUCAGCUGCAACUAAAAUGAAAAUAGAGGACAACAAGAACAGAGGACUACAAUAGCAAAAUUAAACUAGACUAAAAUUUAAAAAGAUAAACUUAGAUUGUAAAAUAAACAAAGAAAGAAUGAAAAUUAGUAAAGUGAAAGAAACUUUACCAACUUGUGAUGAAAAUCACAAGUACUCAAAAAUGGUAUCACAAUGAACUUGACACUCAUUCCCCGGCAACGGCGCCAUUUGACUCAUGCCCAAUUGGUGUCUCAGCUGAUUUGUAUUCAGCUGGUGCUCCUUGAUUGAGGAAGUGAUCAACAAAAUUUAUACCUAUAACACCAUACACUAGGGUAGCAAAUACAAAGCUACUAUAGUAUAGUGGCUCUAAGGAUCGUUCACUGGGAAUGAUUUGCAAGCAAUCAAGGAUACCAAUUCCAAGUGAAUUGGUCUUGUUUCAUUUCACGGUUAGCUUAAGAAGUAAAACACAAAGUUUGAUUGGUAAAGGUUUAGACUUAAACUAACUAACUUAACAGAAGUUUGGAAUAAUUUAGGAAGAAAAGCAUUCCUUGGAGAUUUAGGUUCACUGGGGUGGUUCCUCAUGCAAAAGACAUAGCUCCGGUCAGAUGGUUCAUUUCCUCGCAUUAGAGAUUCAACUUAGAGUCAAUUCUCUAACCGGUGAUGUNNNNNNNNNNNNNNNNNNNNNNNNNNNNNNNNNNNNNNNNNNNNNNNNNNNNNNNNNNNNNNNNNNNNNNNNNNNNNNNNNNNNNNNNNNNNNNNNNNNNNNNNNNNNNNNNNNNNNNNNNNNNNNNNNNNNNNNNNNNNNNNNNNNNNNNNNNNNNNNNNNNNNNNNNNNNNNNNNNNNNNNNNNNNNNNNNNNNNNNNNNNNNNNNNNNNNNNNNNNNNNNNNNNNNNNNNNNNNNNNNNNNNNNNNNNNNNNNNNNNNNNNNNNNNNNNNNNNNNNNNNNNNNNNNNNNNNNNNNNNNNNNNNNNNNNNNNNNNNNNNNNNNNNNNNNNNNNNNNNNNNNNNNNNNNNNNNNNNNNNNNNNNNNNNNNNNNNNNNNNNNNNNNNNNNNNNNNNNNNNNNNNNNNNNNNNNNNNNNNNNNNNNNNNNNNNNNNNNNNNNNNNNNNNNNNNNNNNNNNNNNNNNNNNNNNNNNNNNNNNNNNNNNNNNNNNNNNNNNNNNNNNNNNNNNNNNNNNNNNNNNNNNNNNNNNNNNNNNNNNNNUGGCUUGUAAUGGCUGCAACUUUUUCGUUUCAACUCCAAAUUGCACACCGUUUGAAGCAUUGGAUUGUUGACUUCCUGAGCUUUGAAAUGGUAUAUAGCAUGCAUCAUUUGGACUUCAGAAAGUGCUCCAAAAGUGGCUGCUACGACUGUCAUCAAGAAUAAGCUUCAUGACUGAUCCUCUUUGCUUUUUCUCCUUGCAAUCCGGAUUCACUCUUGGCAAUUGAAUUCUAAGCUUUGCCCAAGAUUCCUCAUAGCUCUCCUCAUUCUUGACUUGCUUUGGUGAUCAAAAUACUAACAAAAACACCAAAACUUACACAAAGUGAUCAAAAUUGCUUUAAAGGAUCCUUAACAUGCCAAUUGAGUUAAAAGGCCUAAACUACUACUCAAAAGUGGUAAAAAGGAUUAAUUAAAGGCUAUCAAAUAGCACUUUUUGAGUAGUAAUCACUUCAGCAUCUAUUUCACCAGCUACAGUUGAGUGAUGGGGCUCCCGACACUUCUUUCCCUGUGGCGAUUACUCCUACGUCUCCAGAUCGAGCUAGCAUGUUGUCUCUAUGCUUUCCAGAGGAGAUCAUGAGUGAUGGGAUGAUUCUUGAUCCUAUUGAGGUGAUUGAUGGAGUUGUUCCCCAUGAUGAGUACCGUGAUGAGAUGGACAUGAUGACCGUGAGCCAGAUUGCCGGCAUUGUUCAGCUUCAGCCUGUUUCAGCAUUUGAUAUGUUUGGGGUAUCUACCAUUGAGGUUUUUGAGGGGACUCAGACUCUUCCUGUUCCAGAGCUUCCAGAGGAUGAUAGUAGUUUGUUUGAGGGCAUUGUUAGCCCAGUUGAGGGAGCGUCCGACCUUGUGGACCCACCUCUUUCUUUUGAUGUUUUAUCGGGAUUUGUCUCCCGCUCUGACGAUGUUUCUGUUGCUUCAUUUAUGGAUUUGAGCAUUUUUGAGUAUUCGCCUGUCUUUUGUGAUAGUAUCUCUACGUCUGCACCCCACUCACCCAUUACACAGAUAUUUGAUAUAGAUGAUGAGAUUGCACAGCCCAAUUCGGAUAGGGACUCUUUUGAUCAUGACUCUGGUCCCAUAGAUGAGAGAGUUUCACCUGCUGCAGGGGGCGUUGAGACUGUUGAUUUUGGCACAGAGGAUCAGCCUAGAGAGCUGAAGAUUGGUUCACCCCUAUCUACAGAUGAGAGAGAUAGACUCAUCCAUUUACUCAGGACAUACUUGGAUGUCUUUGCAUGGUCUUAUGAGGACAUGCCAGGUCUUGAUCCCUCUAUAGUCCAGCACCAUUUACCUACCCUACCACAUGCUAGACCAGUUAAGAAAAAAUUGAGAUGGUUGCAUCCACGUUGGAGUCUACAGGUAAAAGAGAAGAUUCAGAAACAACUCAGUGUUGGGUUCAUAUCAGUAGUUGAGUAUCCAGAGUGGUUGGCUAAUGUCGUCCCUGUUCCUAAAAAGGAUGGCAAAGUUAGGGUUUGUGUUGACUUCAGAGAUCUCAAUAAAGCCAGCCCUAAAGAUGACUUUCCCCUUCCACACAUUGAUUUGUUGGUUGAUGGCACCGCAGGCCAUUCGAUGUUGUCUUUCAUGGAUGGGUUUUCAGGGUAUAAUCAGAUUUUGAUGGCUCCAGAGGAUAUGGAGAAGACAACCUUUAUUACUGAGUGGGGUACCUACUGUUAUAGAGUUAUGCCAUUUGGGUUGAAGAACGCAGGAGCCACUUAUCAGAGAGCCGCUACCACUUUGUUUCAUGACAUGAUGCAUAGGGAUGUCGAGGUUUACGUGGAUGAUAUGAUUUUGAAAUCCCGAGGUAGAGCAGAUCACCUAAAUGCUUUAGAGAGAUUCUUUGAGAGGAUCCGGAAGUUUAGAUUGAGGUUGAAUCCCAAGAAGUGUACCUUUGGAGUGACUUCUGGGAAGUUAUUGGGACAUAUAGUCAGUGAGCGGGGCAUAGAGGUCGACCCAGAUAAAAUCAAAGCCAUACUUGACAUGCCUGCACCAAAGACUGAGAAAGAGAUUAGAGGUUUUCUGGGCAGAUUACAGUACAUUAGUCGGUUCAUAGCCAGAUUGACAGACAUAUGUGAGCCUAUCUUUCGUCUUUUGAGGAAGAACCAGCCAACAGUUUGGAAUGAUGACUGUCAGUUUGCAUUUGAGAAGAUCAAGGAGUAUUUGCUUUCUCCUCCUGUUUUAGUGCCUCCUACGCCAGGACGUCCACUUCUUCUAUAUUUGUCAGUUUCAGACAUGGCAUUGGGAUGUAUGUUAGCUCAGAUUGAUGACUUAGGAAAGGAGCGAGCUAUUUACUACCUAAGUAAGAGGAUGUUGGAGUAUGAGAUGAAAUAUGUUAUGAUUGAGCGCCUAUGCUUAGCACUAGUUUGGGCUACCAGGAGAUUGAGGCAUUACAUGACGGAGUACUCAGUACAUUUGAUAUCCCGCUUGGACCCGUUGAGAUACUUGUUUGAUAGACCUGCAUUGACUGGUAGAUUGAUGAGAUGGCUUGUACUUUUGACAAAGUUCGAUAUUCAGUAUGUUUCUCAGAAGUCUAUUAAGGGAAGUAUUGUUGCCGAUCACUUAGCCUCACUACCGACAUCUGAGGACAGACCAGUUGAUGAUGAUUUUCCAGAUGAGGAGUUUGUUGCUAUGACCAGCUUAUCGGGAUGGUGCAUGUACUUCGAUGGUGCAGCCAAUCAGUCAGGGUAUGGGAUUGGUGUUCUAUUGGUAUCCCCUCAGGACGAUCACAUUCCGAGGUCCGCUCGUUUGACAUUCUCUGAUCGACAUCCUGCCACGAAUAACAUAGUUGAGUAUGAGGCUUGUAUCCUUGGUUUAGAGACUGCAUUGGAGCUUAACAUUAGACAGAUGGAGGUGUUUGGUGACUCCAAUCUGGUACUCAGGCAGAUUUAGGGGGAUUGGAAGACUAGGGACGUGAAGCUUAGGCCAUAUCAUGCUUAUUUAGAGUUGUUGGUUGCGAGAUUUGACGAUUUGAGAUAUGUUCAUCUGCCUAGAGCGCAGAACCGAUUUGCUGACGCCUUAGCUACUUUAGCUUCCUCCGUGGACAUUCCGAUUGAUGUAGUCAUACGUCCAUUACUGAUUGAGUCCAGGUCUGCACCCGCCUAUUGUUGUCUGAUUGGAGAGACAGAGGUCCAGGAUGACCUACCUUGGUAUCAUGACAUUUAUCAGUUCCUUAGAUCUAGCACAUACCCUGAGGUAGCCACUACCAAGGAUCGGAGAGCACUGAGGCAUUUGGCUACUAGAUUUGUGAUUUCCGGAGAUACCUUGUACAGACGAUCAGCUGAUGGUAUGCUUCUGUUGUGUUUAGAUCGAGCCUCUGCAGAUCGAGUGAUGAGAGAGGUUCAUUCAGGAGUUUGUGGUCCGCAUAUGGGAGGACACAUGCUAGCUCGUAAGAUUAUGAGGACGGGUUACUUCUGGUUGACUAUGGAGACAGAUUGUUGUCAGUUUGUCCAGAAAUGCCCAGAGUGUCAGAUUCAUGGUGAUCUCAUACAUGCACCACCAUCAGAGUUACACGCCUUGACUUCGCCAUGGCCAUUUUCAGUAUGGGGUAUUGAUAUUAUUGGGAAAGUUUCACCAAAAUCUUCCAGUGGUCAUGAGUUCAUCCUAGUUGCCAUAGACUAUUUCACCAAGUGGGUGGAAGCCGCAUCAUAUGCGAGGUUGACAUCUGCUAGGGUUGCCAGUUUUAUCAGAUCACACAUCAUUUGCCGCUAUGGGGUUCCUCAUGAGUUGAUUUUCGACAGAGGGGCGCACUUCCGAGCUGAGGUAGACACUUUGUUGCAGGAGUAUGACAUCCGACAUCAUAGAUCUUCAGCAUAUAGGCCACAGACCAAUGGGGCAGUAGAGGCUGCAAACAAGAAUAUUAAGAGGAUUUUGAGGAAGAUGGUUGAGACCUCUCGAGAUUGGUCAGAAAAGCUUCCUUUUGCAUUGUGGGCAUACCGCACCUCUUUUCGCACUUCUACAGGAGCUACGCCUUACUCCCUAGUGUAUGGUAUGGAGGCUGUUUUGCCAGUCGAGACAGAGAUGGGCUCAUUGAGAGUAGCCCUUGAGCAGCAGAUUUCUGAGACAGAGUGGGCUCAGGCUCGAUUUGAUCAGCUUAACCUUUUAGAUGAGAGGAGAUUGAGAGCAAUAGAUCAUGUUCAGGCCUAUCAGAGAAAGAUGGCUCGUGCCUUCAAGAAACGAGUCAAGCCUAGACCAUUGCAAAAAGGGGACUUAGUUUUGAGGAUUCUCAGAGGUUUGAUUGGAGACCCUAGAGGAAAGUUUAGACCUAGUUGGAGUGGGCCUUAUGUUAUCCGGGAGUUGACUCCAAAAGGGGCUGCAUGGUUGACAGACUUAGAUGGAAACCAAUUUUCAGAGCCUACCAAUGUGGAUCAGCUGAAGAAGUAUUAUGUUUGAGACUGUGGUCGUAGGAUGGGUGGCCACCAUUUCGGUUAGCCUCAUACUUUAUCACCUCUAUAUAUUAGACCGUUGCUAGCCCAUUGAGCUUCGCAUGGUAUGUUAUAGCCUUAUUUCUUUCUUAUAGCUUUGAUUACCAUUUCUAUACCCGGGUUGGGGCCCUUUGAUGUAUAUGUAUGCUUUGCUAGGAAAGUCUCAUGAGCUUUAGACUUAUAGGUCUAUCUUCUCAUUUUGUUACCAUCCUCUUAUCACCCUAUUUGUUCUAUUUUAUUAUCACCACAUAUUCAUUCUCUUUCUUGUCCCUAUCAUUAUUUGCUUCAUCUUAUCUAUUCUCUUCCUUGGGUUGAUGAUUCUUCACGUCUUAGUGCAAGGAGGGUUGUCAUAUCACUCUAUUCAUUCCAUCAUUUGACAUUGAUUCGGAGAUUUUAGUUUGAGAGGUUAUCUCAGGGGUUGGGGUUCAUGUAUCCAUCAGUGGUCAGAGAGAGUUUGUUCAUUCCUUAUAUUUUUCCAUUGGAGUUUGAUUUAUUGAUGAUCAGAGCAUGCGCAAAAAAAAUCAAAAAAAAAAAAAAAAAAAAAAAAAAAAAAAAAAGCGCAAGGAUAUGCUCAUGUAUGGUAUCUCAUUCCAUUGGGUAUUUAUGCCACCUUUUGAGGUUCAUUUAUUGGGUAUAUUUGUCAUUAUGGGUUUUUGUGAGUUUUUAUGAGUUUUUUCAGUCCUUGAGCCACUCCUGUUAUGCAUUUGGAGUGUCGAGGGUUCAUAUGAGAGUUCUAUGAGAUCCUAUGCUUCUUAGAUCAUGAUUGAUAUAUUUUAGGUAUGAGAGAUGAGUGACCUUUUUACUAGGGUCUCCGGAUCAUUGUCUUAUACCCACCAUUCCAUCAUUGGUGAUAUGACUUUCCUUUAUUGUACUAACAUGGGUUGAUCAUCACUCAUUCCACUUUCCCAUUGUUUUCUUUUGUAUCCCAUUACCUCUUUCCAGAUCUUUGUUCCACCUUUUAUUCAUUCCUUACAUAUUGAUACCCAUUACUGAUUUGAUACCUUCUUGACAUCAUUCACAUAUUUCAUUGAUGGCUUGACCAUUCAUCCUUUCNNNNNNNNNNNNNNNNNNNNNNNNNNNNNNNNNNNNNNNNNNNNNNNNNNNNNNNNNNNNNNNNNNNNNNNNNNNNNNNNNNNNNNNNNNNNNNNNNNNNCCAUUCAUCAUUUCUCUCAUUCGUUAUCGACAUUCCCUUUGGUANUCUAAGUCCAUGACUCAUGAGAUUUUCUAUGCAUACAUCUGUGCACGAGGGUACGGGUUUGAUCAUUGGGUAUUUGAGCNUAGUUUCCCUUUCAUUUCUUUCACCCUAUCACCUUGACNUAUGUUACGUCCCGUGUCUUAAGACCACCCUGAGGCCAUGAGAUCAGACAUUAUCUUUGACAGUCUUCACUUGGACAGACUUUUGUAGAUUGGUUGAAGUAUGGUCGUUACUAUGUUAUCUUUUAUGGAAGAUACUUUUGGAAGCAUUUGGUCUCUCUCUUGCUUGGCAUAUUGAUGUUUGAUGGAUUUUUGGGUUUGGAGACAGUUCAUUGAGGAUAUUAGAUUCAUCAUUUGGUUGUACAUCAGAUAUCCAUACUAGGGCAUAUUCCCCUUUCAUUUGGUUGAGAUGAGCCCCUAGUGGAGCACUUUCUUUGAGUCUGGGUAUUUUCACCGAUCAGAGAUCCCUAGUGAGGUAUGUUGAGACUAUAUCAGUUCUAGUGGAGCAUCGUUGAGCCCCUAGUGAUUCCAUUCCCGGAAUACUUCUGAGAUAGACUAGUGGAUUAUUACUGAGUUGGAGGCAGUUUUCAGUGCAGUGUAUAGACCAGGCAUACUGGGGCAUAUUUCCCCAUUUUGAGGUUACCAGAUUCCUAUCAGAUUCAGUCAGGGAUUCAUCAGAGACAUGUUUCUAUUUUUGAGAUUACCACAUUUCUCAUCAUUUUGGCUAUUCAUUUGAGAUUAGAUUUAGAGUGUCUCCCUUGAGGCAUUGGUCGAUACAUCAUUCUGACUUCUUAGCGGAUUAUUGUUGAGCUGAGGAUAGUUGAUUGAUGAUGUCGGAUUCAUCCUUUGGUUGUGCAUCAUAUAUUCACACUGGGGCAUAUUCCCCCAUUCCUCCGAGAUUCUUAUCUGUUAUUGUAUACGGUACGAGGAUGGAUGAUCAUUGUUAGUUUGUUUACCUCACGACUUCGACAUUAGAUUAUCCACACUGAGGCAUAUUCCACUCUCCUUGAUGAGAUUGUGUUUGGACAGCGAUACGAGGAUGGAUGAUCAUUGUUAAUUUGUUUGCCUCACGACUUCGACAUCCGAUAUCCAUACUGGGGCAUAUUCCCCUCUCCAUUACGAGAUUUAUUUGGGCAGUGAUAUGAGGAUGGAUGACUGGUGUCGGUUGUUUAGCUUAUGACUUUGACGUUAGAUCUUAUACUGGGGCAUAUUUCCCCCAUUUUCUUUGAGUAUCCUUGAGAUUGAGACAGUGGCCAGCUUGGUUUUAGAUUGAGCACUAGCCUAGAGCUUCCGACGAUCGACUGUAUCAGGGCCUCCCUACAUGGAUUUGUUGAGAUAGAGACGGAUCGCAUCAGGUUUCACCCGAGGAGUGUGGGUGGAUCCUUUAGCCAGAUGUUCAUGAGACAGAUUUAUUUUCGUCAUUGUUACCUUGUAGAUUGGAUUAUCCAGAUGAGCAGUAUUUUACACACUUUGAGGUUUACUUUUAGAUGAGCCAUGAUAUACACUCUUUGAGAUUUACCUUUUGAGAUUCAUCGACAGAGCAGCUUUUCAGACAUAGAGGGUUUCUUCAGUUUAGACUUUUCAGAGGUUUGUCACGAUGCAUCAGUUUCUGACCUAUUGAUUUCAGCGGAUGAUUGAUUUACUGGUUGUUUCGGCAGUGUGAGCACCCUGGAUACUGGGGCAUAUUUCCCUUCUUAGUUUCAGUAGUCCGACCCUUGACAUUUUGAGUAUGUGGCUUUGAGCCAAUUUAUUUCAUGUCCACUUUCAAGUUGGUCUUCUCUAUUAUUCCCUUCUAGGCCCUGAGCCUCAUAGCUUUGAGUUAUUCAUUCCUUCUAGACCCCGAGUCUUAUAGCCUUGAGCAUCCUUUUUCCCUUAGGCCCUGAGCCCGCUAGCCCUGAGCUAUCAUUUCCUAUAGACCCAGAGUCUUUCCAGCUCUUAGCUGAGCUUUCAUCACUUGGUCGCCCAUGAGUGGUUUGACCUGGAGUUUGCGUAUCGCAUUCUCCUUCUAGCCGAUCAGUCAUAGAGCCCUGAGCUAUUCAUCGACCCAGAGUCAUUUUCCAUCUUGACCCAGAGUCAUUCAUAGCACCUCGAGCCCUGAGCUCACGACCCGGAGUCAUUUGCAUUAUUCACAUCCCUAAGAUGUUUCGUUUUCAUCAUUCUAGCCACUUGUGAGUGGCCUCGACCCGACAUCUUGAGUCGGAAAGUAUCCUGAUCGGCUAUCUAUUUAGAGCCCGGAGCUCUCGACCCAGAGUCACUUUCCAUUUCGACCCAGAGUCAUUGUUUCCUAUUUUAGAGCCCGGAGCUCUCGACCCAGAGUCACUUUCCAUUUCGACCCAGAGUCAUUCUUUCCUAUUUUAGAGCUUAGAGCUCUCGACCCAGAGUCACUUUCCAUUUCGACCCAGAGUCAUUGUUUCCUAUUUUAGAGCCCGGAGCUCUCGACCCAGAGUCACUUUCCAUUUCGACCCAGAGUCAUUAUUUCCUAUUUUAGAGCCCGGAGCUCUCGACCCAGAGUCACUUUCCAUUUCGAACCAGAGUCAUUCUUUNNNNNNNNNNNNNNNNNNNNNNNNNNNNNNNNNNNNNNNNNNNNNNNNNNNNNNNNNNNNNNNNNNNNNNNNNNNNNNNNNNNNNNNNNNNNNNNNNNNNAGCUUUUAGAAUACACUUGGCCCAUUAGGCACUACCCUAGGCCCACUUAGUCUCACUUUAGACCCGUUUAGGCACACUAGGCCUACGAAGACUUUAUUUAUUUAUUUAUUUAUUAUUUAUUUAUUUAUUUGGUUUUUAGUUUUAAUUUUAUGAUUAUCAUUCACUUUUUAUUGGUUAUCUUCCUCUUUAUAUCAUUUUCCUUAACUUAUUUAUUUAUUUAUUAUUUUUACCAUUUUUUAAUUUAUUUACUUAUUUAUCUAUUCAUGCAAUUAUUUAACUUCAAAAAUUUCAUGUUUUUGCAAGGAAACUUACCAUUGGAGUUUAAGGAAGGCGGGACUCUCCUUGGAAGGUUUUGGAGGGGAAUUUGAAAUUGGGAAGAUUGCUUUUGAUUGGAGGAUUUAAAAAAAGAAGAGAAGAAGAAAGGAAAGAGGAUAAUUUUCCUUUUUGGAAACAAAUUUAGGUCUUGAGGGGUGAUAUAUAUAGGUGAGAAAAGGAAAAGAAUAGGGGGAUUUUUCUAGGGGGGCAGGGCACACGGAAUUUUGAAAAAAAAGCAAGGGACUUCGAACGGAGCUCGGGCUGUCAUUUAAUCAUCAAGAGAGGAUUUUCUCUUUCACUUCAAAGGUUAGUUUUCUAUAUAGUACUUUUAUUUAGCCUAGAUUUUUUUUUUUUUUUUUUUUUUUGGAAGUUUUAGUUUUUGAUUAAUUCUUUGUGUUAAAGUUUAUAUUAUUUUCUUUUUAAAUCCCCAAUUAGUUUAAUUCUAAUCUAUCUUUUAGUUUAAGUUUGUUAAUGAUUUUAAUUCUUAAGUUUAAAUAAUCCUAUCGAAUAAAGUUUGUAUUUUUAAUCCCAAUUAGUUUGAUUUUAAUUUGUUUUUUAGUUUAAAUAUAUUUUGUUGAUCUUAAUUCUUGACUUUAAAUAAUCACGUUAAAUAAAGUUUGUGUUUUUAAUCUCAAUUAGUUUGAUUUCAAUUCGUUUUUAGUUUAAAUACAUUUUGCUGAUCUUAAUUCUUUAGUUUAAAUAAUCAUAUCGAAUAAAGUUUGUAUUUUUAAUCCCAAUUAGUUUGAUUUUAAUUUGUUUUUUAGUUUAAAUGUAUUUUGUUGAUCUUAAUUCUUUACUUUAAAUAAUCACGUUAAAUAAAGUUUAUGUUUUUAAUCUCAAUUAGUUUGAUUUCAAUUCGUUUUUAGUUUAAAUACAUUUUAUUGAUCUUAAUUCUUAAGUUUAAAUAAUCAUAUCGAAUAAAGUUUGUAUUUUUAAUCCCAAUUAGUUUGAUUUUAACUUGUUUUUUAGUUUAAAUGUAUUUUGUUGAUUUUAAUUCUUAAGUUUAAAUAAUUGUAUUGAAUAAAGUUUGUAUUUUUAAUCCCAAUUAGUUUGAUUUCAAUUCAUUUUUAAUUUAAAUGCAUUAGUUGAUCUUAAUUCUUUGUUUUAAAUAAUCACGUUAAAUAAAGCUUGUAUUUUUAAUCCCAAUUAAUUUGAUUUCAAUUCGUUUUUUAGUUUAAAUAUAUUUUGUUGAUCUUAAUUCUUGACUUUUAAUAAUCACGUUAAAUAAAGUUUGUGUUUUUAAUCUCAAUUAGUUUGAUUUCAAUUCGUUUUUAGUUUAAAUACAUUUUGUUGAUCUUAAUUCUUAAGUUUAAAUAAUCAUAUCGAAUAAAUUUUGUAUUUUUAAUCCCAAUUAAUUUGAUUUUAAUUCGUUUUUAGUUUAAAUGUAUUUUGUUGAUUUUAAUUCUUUACUUUAAAUAAUCACGUUAAAUAAAGUUUGUGUUUUUAAUCUCAAUUAGUUUGAUUUCAAUUCGUUUUUAGUUUAAAUGCAUUAGUUGAUCUUAAUUCUUAAGUUUAAAUAAUUAUGUUAGAUAAAGUUCAUGUUUUUAAUCCCAAAAUAGUUUAUUUUUAAUUUAUUUGUUAGUUUAAAUAUGUAUGUGAUUUUAAUUUAUUAGUUUAAAUAAUCAUGUUAGAUAAAGUUUAUAUUUUUUUUAAUUCUAAAUUAGUUCAGUUUUAACCUAUCUUUUAGUUUAAGUAUAUUUGUGAUUUUAAUUCAUUAGUUUAAAUAAUCUUGUUAGAUAAAGUUCAUAUUUGAAAUUCCGAUUUAGUUUAGCUUUUAUUUAUUUUUAAUUUGGAUGUGUUUGUAAUUGUAAUUUAGUAGUUUAAUUAAUCUUAUUAAAUAAAGUUCAUGUUUUUAAUUACAAUUUAAUUUAGUUUUAAUUUGUUCUUCACUUGUAUGUGUUUGUGAUUUGAAUACAUUAGUUUAAUUAAUCCCGUUAGAUAAAGUUUAAUCUUGAUUUAAUUUAUUUUUUUAGUCUAGAGGCAUUUAUGUGUUUAGUUAAUCUUAUGUUAAUUAUGGAUUGUUAUUCUCAAUUUAUGCGCUUCUUGAAUCCUUGUUGCUAAUUCUUGAUGGAUAUUUCAUUAGCUUAUUUGAUCUAAAUAUUAAUAAUUUAUUGCUUUGAUAGUUUCCUUUUUGUUCAAAGGCCAUUGGAAAAUCAUGAAGAUUGGCCUCUACCAUCACCAUUAUCAUUUUUGUUAAUUACUAAAAAAAUUUUACUUUGAGGUUUCAUUUUUGUUUUGUUGGGUAUUUUAUUUCUUAUAUUUUAUUUUUUCCAAAUUAAUUCCUUUUAUUUUAAAAUAAAAUACUUUUCUCAAAAAAAUCAUUUUAAAAAUCUAUUUCAAAAACUCAUUUAGAGUCCUCAAGAUCAAAAUCUUUUUUUUUUUAUUAUUUAAAAAUAAUAUGCAACCAUAUCUUGUUCGGUUUGCAUCCUUCUCGGUUUUCAACAAAAAUUUUGGUUUUGAACAAAAACACGAAUCAAAGCUUGUGGUCCCAAAUAAUGGGAUAAUUCUGGGCUAAAUUUGUGUAUAUUAAUUUGGGGAAUUGGUGAAACCCCUACAUAAGAAAAUCUUUUCAAAAAUUAUUUUUGUUGCCAUCUUUGUCACUUGUUGAAAUUAUGUCUAUUUUUUUUAGGAAUUGUAUACAUGAUGAGUGUGAUAAUUAAUGUUUUCAUAUGCUUUGAUAAUUUUUGUUAUGCUAAUUAGAUAACAAGCAUGCUAGGGUUUCUUUAUUUUAUUAUUAUCUAAUCCCUCAUGUCUUAUGGAAGCGCAUUGUAAGUUAUCUAUGCUAUCCAGGUACGCCCCCUAAUGACCUACUUUCUAAAUUUCGUAAACAAUCAUGUCACUGUGAAGUAUGCAUAUGUUUGAUAAUCCUUAGGUGUUUAGAUGUAUGCUUGAUUCACUAUGAUUAAAUACAUGUUGUGUGUUAUACUUCUAUAUUAACUCUGAUGUUUUAUGAUAGCGCUUGAAGAGCGGUUCAGGUACGCACCCUAACUCUCAGUUUUUGUGAUUUGAUCUUGUUUAGCAUGCAAAUCUUUUGAAAUCACCUAGUCUACCUAGGUAUCCAUAAUUAACCGAUUAAUUGCCAUAUUCCCCUUAACUUAAUUAGUAGAGACCUUUUUAGGGCUUAGAAGGGUGCUACCUCUUAGAGGUACCUUCCCAAUAAGUAACCUGAUUCCCGGACCAAGACUUGGGUUUUCAAAGACACGCUUUUCCAAAAAUUAUGGAGUCAUUUUUUUUAGGGUUUUAUUUCUUGUUUUAUUUUCCCUUCAAAAAUAAAAAUAAAAUAAGUGGCGACUCCAACUUUUUUUUUUCAAAAAUCAAUUUUUCACAAAAUAAUAAAAAGCGAGUCUCGCCGAUCGAGUGGGGGCGCACGUGAAAAAUGCGGGUCCACACAUUGGAAGAAUUAUAUCUGGAUGGGAACCAUUUCAGUAGUCUACCUGCUGGCAUCAAUCGACUUACCAAUCUAAGAGUCCUUGACUUGAGUCACUGCAAGAACCUUCAACAAAUUCCAGAGCUUCCAUCAAGUCUACGUUUCUUAGAUGCGCAUUGUUCGGGUGGUAUUUCAUCAAGGCCCUCGCCUCUGCCUAUUCAUUCUAUGGUCAAUUGCUUCAAACCAGAAAUUCCGGUAUGAUUCUCAUGCCAGGUUCCUUUUUCUUUUGUGCCCAUUGAAUUUACAUGGUGCUUUUGUGCAGGUACCCAGGAUUCAUGCUGGUUGUACAUUCUUUGUAGGCAAUGGAAUUAGCAUUGUUGUUCCUAGAAGUAGUGGAAUUCUAGAGUGGAUAAGGUAUCAGAGUAUGGGAGGUUAUAAAGUAACAAUAGAGCUCCCCCCGAAUUGGUAUGAAAAUAAGGAAUUGUUGGGAUUUGCUUUAUGCUGUGUUUAUGAAUCCAACAAUGGAUUUGUCUUUGAGUCUCGGUAUGAAUCAACUGAUACAUCUGAUAAUGAGCCUGACAAUGGAUCUGCAUAUGAAUCUCAGCAUGAAUCAGCUGAUACAUCUAAUAAUGAACCUGACAAUGGAUCUGCCUAUAAAUCAGCUGAUACAUCUGAUAAUGAACCUGACAAUGGAUCUGCCUAUGAAUCUACCUAUGAAUCUCAGAAUGAAUCAGCUGAUACUUCUAAUAAUGAACCCACCAAUGGAUCUGCCUAUGAAUCUGAAAAUGAAACAGCUCAUACAUCUGAUAAUGAAGAACCAGUGGAGUUCUAUUGUAAUUUGAGUAUCCGAGGAAAUAAUCAAUCAACAGUCGUGGAUUCUUUCAAAUUGGGUUCUUACUGUGCUAAUGAUGUUGCAUCAGAUAUAGUGUGGGUGAUAUUUUAUCCCAAGGUAGCUUUUAAGGAAGCUAUUAAGGAAUGGUAUCGCUCUAAUCAAUGGACACACUUUAUGGCUUCAUUUGGCGGUUUCGGAAGAGUGGAACAGUGCAUGAUCCGUCUUAUAUAUGCAGAAGAUUAGGAACAAAAGCAUCCAAAAAUGGCGCAAGACAGUUCUUCUCAUGGGAGUUUUGGUGAGCAUGGAUCAGCAACAGAAGAUACUAAUAGUAAAGCUCAUAAUAAAAGGAAUCCCACAGAACAGAGCCGAUGAGAGGAGUCACACCAUAAAAGAUUCAGAGGAACCCAAGACUGAUCUCAAGUUUUAUGCUCAACCACACUGGCAUCACCAAUGUUCUCUUUACUGGUAAUUCAUCUUCCUUUCUCUUUUUUUCCCCAAGAUAAAUAAAAAUUCAAGGCUAUCACCCAUGGGCGCAAACUGAUGGAGUUAACCCUGCUUCUUAGGAUUCUGGCAUUCAUCAGGGUCCAUUCCUUAAGCUUAUAUGAAUUAACGACUUUCCUGGAAAAGAAAUCAAAAUUCACGAAAUCAAAAUCAGAUAGUUUACUGAAAGUUUGGAAUCCACAUAUUACUGCUUCUUGUUUUUUUUCCUACUUCAAAUGGAAUUCCAUUUAUGUAGUACAAGAAAUUUCUUUAUUAAAUGAUGCUUGCUUUGAAAGGAAUCCUAUAUUUGUUUAGAUACAACUAUUGUCUCGCCUUACGCAAGCCAAUGAAAAGAGUUCAUCUCUCCUCGAACCACUCAUGGCACAUGAAUCCAAUCUGUCUAAAAUGCUAUAGUUGAGUUUUCAAAUCUGUUGCAAAUUUUUGCUACUCCCAGCCAUGAACACUUUUCUUAUAAAAAUUAGAUGUUUGAGUUGAAAGCAAAUUUUUGCAUUCUACUUGUAUAUGUUUUUGCCUAUAAAAGGUUCCAGAUUCAUUGAGUUCAGAAUAGCAAUAACUCAAUUGUUAGCAUUUUAGGUUCGAUUAAAUCUAACAAUACUUGGAGGAAACUCAAAUGCAGGGUUGAAAUCUAAAGAAUGUGGGUUAAUUAUUUAAUCAAUUGCACGUUUUUCUUGUCAGGAUAAUCACGUGGAGGCACCUAAAGAGCUUCCUAAGAAGACUAAGUUGUUCUUUGGUCAUUCUAUCGGUAAGUAGGAUGUUGAAUUCUAUGCUAAAGAAAAAAUAAUACUGCCCCUAUAUGAAUGAUAGUGAGUAUCAAUAGUAUGAGCUCUUGUUUUUCAAUUAGAAUUUUCAUGCUUGCAACUACACUUGAUUUUCUAUGUUGAAAUAGUGAAGAUUAAAUUGGAAACAUGUUAUAGUCAACUUUCUUUAAUUAUCAGAUUAUCUAUUUAUAUCUAAUUAGCUCAAUAUGUUAAGGAAAUUUCUAAAAACUAAAAACAAAGUCAAAAUUGAGAUAGGCCCCCUCUUUUCUUAAUGUAUAAGAGGUGGAUGAGGUUUUCAAUGAUUGAUUUAGUUUUCAAUAUUUGCAGUUUUGAGGGAGAAAGUAGAUUCACUCAAAUACAAGGUUCAGAAAGCUAAAGCUAUAUCAAAAGCUGCUAAAAAGGAGUAGUAAAGUGAAAAUAAAAAGCUGAAUGAGUUGCGAGCUCAUUUUAAGGCCAGAAAUGAUAUUCACCAAGAAGCAUACACACAUUUGCAGAGUUUGAGGAAGAACUUGUCUGAGAAGGUAUGGUCUAUAAGCUAUGCAUGGAAAUAUUUACAAUUGAUGGAUUGGAAUAUAUGUAUGAUAUGCUGAUGUUUUUAAUGACAUGUUGGAAGUCUGCCAUGAGUUCCAUAUAAAGAUAUGUGACUACUAUACAAGAGUACCAUCAAAACUUGAUAAAAUUGACACACAACCACUAUAUGGGUUUUCUUCAGUCAAGUUUGAUAAUUCUAAUGGUAGGAUUAGAUUUAUCUUAGAGAAAAAAAUAUCAAGUUUGAAAUUGAUUAUGCACACUCUUAGUGUCAUGACAAAAAUGACUUCUGAAAUGUGAAUCUCAAUGAUAGAACACACCUAGAGGGGGAGGGGGGGUGAAUAGGUGUUUUUGUCCAAUUUAAAGGUCUCCCAACACAAGUUAACUAACCUUAACAAAUUUUACAAUUUUUCCUUCUCUUUACAAACACUUAAAAGCACAAAUUAGAAAUCACAUGCAAAUAUGAAUGUAACAGUACUCCCCAACAAAAAUAAAAUACAAUUCACAUGCACAUGUUCCAACACUCCCUAACACAAAACCUUUAAACAGUUUUUGAUUAAUAACAAGAAUAAAAUAUCUCAAGUAUACCUUUGAACAAUAUUCAGAAACAGCAUUAAAGGCAACCUAUAUCUAUGUUACAUCAACAUUCAACCAAAAAUUAGAUGUCCAAAUUAUCAAAGAUAGUUAAAACUGAAAAUGAAAUGAAGAGGAGAAUGAGAGACAAUGAGACAACACCAAAAUUUACGUGGAAAACCUCCUAGGAGGUCAAAAACCACAGGCUUACAACUGAUAAAAAAUUCCACUAUGAAGGGCAAUCAAGGUCUACAAGGAUUUACCUAGCUCAAGAUUUCCAAUCCCUCACAAACUACUUGACAAGCACUUUCACACCUCUCCACCACGCCUUCAUCUUCAGGAACAUGCUUGGAGUCCUUCCCAAGCUUGAUCUCAGCCUUCUUCUCGAAGCUCCAUCAAGAAGAAAAUGGGUUUUCACCCAAGCCCAAAUGAAUGAGAGAUGAAUGUUCAAAGAACUCAACCCAUUUUUCUUUUUAGAAAAUCCAUUAGAAAAAUUUUCUUGAAGACUUGAAUGAGAUUUUCUUGGAAAGCAAACAACCUCCAAAGGGGAAGGGAAUGAAGAGCUCACUCACCAGUUGUUGCUCUCUACAUUCCAUACAUGAGAGAAAUUUGUUUUUAAAAGGGAAAUGAAACACUUAAUCAGGCUGAAAAAAGAUCUCAAAAAGGAGUAAUUUAGAUUGAUCUGCCCCUGUACUUGGAUCGAUCCAGAGACAAGGUAACUUAAAACUUUUAGCAAAAAAUAUUUUUCCCAUGCUUCCCUAACUUUUUUAAUAUGAUUCAAGGCAACCAACAUUUUGAAAAUAGGGUUGAUUCAAAUUCAUUCAACAUAAACUCAGCUACUUACUUUGACUUCUUAGCAAAUCCAAUGUCUUGAUCUUCAUAAGUCAAGUAGUCCAACAACGGAUUUAGAGAACCAUAGCUAGUAGACACUUAGGCAUUUUGUCCGGAAUUGCCAACCUAACUAUAACACUCACAACUUCAUUAAAAGGACCACAUAGAUAUCAUCUGCACAUGCAAUGAUAGUGUAUAAGUCGAGUGUUUUCUUAGCAAUGAAGUCAUAUAUAAAAAUUAACAUGAAAUGGGUUUUUUUUUUUUUUUUGUAAAUAAUAAAUAAUAAAAUUCACAUGUUUAGACACUCAUUCUUUCUGGUUAGACACCAUUUUAUGUAAAGAAGAAAUUGUCGUCUUCUUGUCUCUUUUUACUUGUGUUUAAGUUCUGUCAUAAAUGCAAACUUUGGCUUCUUACUUCAAUCAUUAGGGGUCUGUUUCGCUAUUUGAUCUUAUCCUCUAAUCUUGUUAUAUAUGAUAACUUGUUAUGUAUCUAUUACAGUUAUAAAAACAUCAAUGUUAAGAAUUUAAGAUGUUCUGAUUAUUUCAUUAUUUGGUCUUUUACAUUAUAAUUUGGGUGGUAUGUACAGAUAAACAAUAUAGAGAACAGGUCAGUACUUCAUGAUGCCCUCUGUGCUCCAAAGGACGCUAUUAUAUAGAGUGAUGGAAAGAGUAUGGUCCCAGAUGCCUACAAGGUUCUAGACAAGAUCAGAGUAUUUUUUUUAGAUUGCCUAUAGUGGUUCCUUAGUAAUUAAAGUUGUUUAUAAAUCUAAUUCAGAUAUGUUAUCCAUAAAUAUCAAGUAGUGAUUAAUUGUUAACCUACGAAAAAAGUAAUAAUUAAAUUUUGGUAGGUUGGAGUCGCUAGAAAAGCAUUGAUGGAUGUAAUUUUUGUUGGCAUUGGUGACAGGUUCUUAGCUACACCCUCCUUUUUGUGCACACUGCUCUACAAACAGGAUUAGAUUCAUCUUCCAAAGUUGAAAUUGCUCGUCAUCUUGGAGGAAUAUGGAAUUGGGUGUAAGCUUGAAUUCAUCUUCCAAAGUUGAAACUCAUCUUCCAAAGUUAUUCAUUGUGAUUUUAUUGGUGUUGUGAAGAGUCAACAACAUGUGUACCUAAAGGCACUAGACCCCAAGAAAUGGAUAUUUCUGAUAAUCUGCUGUUUACAUUUAAGGUGUUCCUACAUUGCAUUACAUAAUUCUUGAUUAGAUAUGGUUUGCAGAUGAAGUGGUAAGUAACCACGACACUCCAGUUUCUUGCAGACCCCUGAACAAUUGCAGAAUGAGAAUGUUCCCCAGCAUCUUAUUCCUCACAAGGUAAUGUCCUUUCAGUUUGUGCUCUGAAGUCUUCUUUCAACGAAUAACCGUUUUGCUUUAAUGAUUGCAUUUUCUUUCACAGACCUUCUCUGGCAACCGGCCAUCUCUGAGCCUUCUGCUUCCGUCACUGGAUGCUUAAUAUUUAACAAGUUCAAGAUUUUGUACUCCUUUUUUGUCCUUUAUCGAACCAUCUUGUUCAAGCAGAUAAAUUGUUAUAAGUGUUCAUGGAUUUUGGAUUAUUCCAUGAUGAUCAGAAACUACUAGAAUCUGUCAAGGUUAGAUUAUCAUUAAAGCCUCACAAAUUUUUGGGCUCCCAUAUGUCAUGUAUUUUACCAUUGAUGAACCGGAAGUGUAGUAUUUACUAUGCUUUUUUGUUAUCACAGGAUGUGUGAAGAGCAAUCUUUGAAUCAAACAGUGGAGGAAAUUGGCCUUUUGACUUGGGAUCAGACUAGAAACAGGUCACUUACAUAUUAAACAAACUUCAGAGUUUGUUCUGAAUCAACUUCAUGAAACCAUUUCUCAGCUUCCUAGGAGCCAUGGAACAGCAAUAUUGAUGAGUUCCAGAAAGAAAACGUCUGAUGCAACACAAGGAGCAGACUGAGGAUUUUGGAUGGACACUCUUUCGUCCCUGGCAAGUUGCCGCCUUUGCUACCCAAUUCCAAUUCUCCAAAUGAAAGAACUGACAGAUCACUUUUUGCCUCAACCAAGGACACCUCUGUGCCAGCAGUCUUGACUGUGGAACAAGUAAAACAAAUGGUACCUGCUGAAGCUGAGGGGGCAGAUGAUGAAUUGGUGCUGAAGGUGGUCAACCAAAAGAAUCAGACCGCAAAAACUUAAAACCCCAUGAAGCCCGCUACUGGAGCGGUCUCAGCACCUGUUUCUGGGAGGGGUGAGAUUGAAGGGAGUGAAGAAAAGGAGCAUAAGCAAACAGAGAAGGAAGAGGAGUUGGCAAGGAAGGUAGGGGAAUUGAGAAGUGAAGAGGAAGCAGCCAUGUUGAAGGAGCAAAGUCUGUUGGAGGAGAAAGCCAACGUUAAGGAGGCACUGGAAAGGAAACAAGGAACUGCAGAAAAGGCCAAUUCCUUUGUGAGUGCUGCCACCUUUUCAUGAUACGGCCAUAAUAAUGGAUGUUUAAACAGUCUUUAACUCUACAUACUUUCUUGCAUUAUACUAGUCAUUGAAGAUUCAAGAUCAUCAUUUCAGACAUAUGGUCGUUCACUAAAAUCAAUAAUUUGUUAUUUUUUUAGUUUUAGUAACAGGUAAUGUAAUUUUUCAAGGAAAGAUUUGAUGCAACUUUUUGCCCAGCCAUAGAUUGGAAUCUGCCAGUCUUAACUCUCAUAAGAAAGAAAAAUUUCCGUCCUCCUAUGGAUUAUAGGAGAAGAUUUUAACAUGGAGUCCACUUGAGAGUUUCUAAUACCCACUUGAGAUUUUAACUCUCAUAAAAAAGAAAGUGCAGAAAAGGCCAAUUCCUUUGUCACUACUGAGGCCACCAUUUCAUGAUACAGCCAUAAUAAUGGAUGUUUAAACAGUGUGAUUAGACAUAAGUUUGCCAUUCAUAUAUGGGAACAUGUUGCUUGUCAAUUAUGAAUAGUUUGUCAUUCAUAUAAGUAGGACACACAAAAUAUGGUUUGUCAUUCAUAUGAAUAGUACCCUCUUGAAUUAAUUGAUUAAAUAGACCUGCAAAUAUAGUGCAGAAAAGAAGCCAUGGGAUGAGAAUAAUAGAGAAAAUAUGAACAAAACUUAGCUUCGGCUUUCGAUGAGUCCAGGUAAAAUCAAUAUCAAUAUAACCUUGCAGGUGAAUCAUCAUAGUGAAGUUUUUGGAAUUUCAAUGCAUGAACAUAAAGCCACUAAAAGGGCCCCUGAUAUUCAACCAUUACCGGUUCAAGGAUUGUAUUCAGUCAGCGUAUAAUGAGGUGGAUAUUUUGAUUAUUAGGCGAAUCUCAAGAAGUGAUCUCAAUGUUUGACCAGAGAGCCUUACACCAUGGGUGUGAUUUGUCAGACAACAAUUCAUUUCUGCUUCAUGGUUGUGCCUUGAGGUAAGGCUUUAGAGGCAUAAGCCUCAAAAGCCUCUUAAAAUUGGUUGUACACUUCUUUGCAUGAUGAAUGGAAGUUCCAAAUUUUGAUGACUUGGUGAUGUUGGAGUAAUUGUGUUGAAAGCAGUCAAACACAAACAAUUAUUAAAGAAGAUAAAAAUUUGGAAGAAUUAAAAUUUUAUUGUAUUCUACCACUCUCUUUUUUUUUUUUCAAAUGUUACAUAAUAUUUUAUUUAUAGAUACCCACACUUAAUUAAAAAUGACAUAAUUAAAAGUAAAUUAUCAUUUAAUUACAAUGGAUUCAAUAGAACAUGGUUGAUAUGCUCAAUUUUUGUCCGUCAAUAAAAUUUGAUUUGAGUGAAUAUAAUUAGAGUAAAAUAGUCUUUUUAACUAUCACUUUUACAAUAAAAAAGUGUUUUAUUUAAAUAAAUAUUUAAUAAAAUUUUAAAAAUAUUUUUGAAAAAUAAUUAUAGUAUUUUCUAAGAAACAUUUGAUAAAUAAUUAUUAUAAAAAUACUUUUAAAAACACUUCCUUGAAAGUACUUCAAAGUUGGCCGAAUGGUAAGUUAUACAUCAGGAUCUUAAUGAUGGUCUAGGUAACCAUCACCAUUGAUUGUUUUUUAAAACACAACUUCCAUUUAAAUAAUAUUUUAAGGCAAGUCCUAAUUAUCAUAUUUUACAAGAUAUUUUUUAAAAUUAUUGUUUUUUUUCUUUCAAAAUCCCAAGAGGGAGGUCACCAAUAUGAAAAUAAUGUGACCCAUCUCUAUACUUUCGUCUCCAUUAUUUGGACUACAUCAUAGUUUCCUUAUUGACAACAUGGUAGCCACGUUAAAUACCUACAACUUUGAAAACAAGAUCUCAAAACUAUGCCUAUUUGAUUAUAAGGCUUAAUUAUCAUAGUUUAUCAUUUCCUAGCAUAGUUCUUAGCAUCUAAGUAUUUGUUAUAUAAGAAUUUUUCUCAUUUUUCAACUUGCAUUUUGUUUAAAAAAAUUUUUAGUUGUUUAAAAUCAUUUUGAAAAUGUCAACUCAUGAUUAUAUACAUUUUAGUUCUAUAAGGACUAAAAUCACUAAACGUCAUGGUAAUUCUAUUUAAGGUAAUUUGCUUUAAAUGAGAAUGUGUUUAUAUAUAACUUAUGAUUUACGGUAAUAAUAGAGAUCGAAUUUAACAAGACAUAAGUUUUGAAUUAAAUAUUAGUAUAUUUAUGUUUCCUUCUUAUUUUUAAUCUAAAACACAUUAAAUGUAUGCUCUUGAAUUCCUUCAUGUUUUUGACAUAAUACGUAUAAUGAUAAAUCAAUUAUUAUUAUUUAAUAAUAUGGAGCUUUGACUUUUGACAUUUAAGUAACAUUGUCAAUGAAAGCUUCAUUAUUUUUGUUUCAUGGAAGAGCAAAUGAUGUGAUUGAAUUACACUUCAAUUAUGUUUGUUUCUUUGAAAAUACUCGAGAAAAAUAAAUAUUAAAGAAAAUAAUUUUUUUAUAUUUGAUUUUACUAUAAAAAAUAAUAUAAUUAAAAUUAGUAAUAAAUUUAAAUAUUUUUAAAUUACUUAAUCUUUAUAUAAAAGAGUUAAAUAAAUAAAACGAGUUUAAAACAUAAUAUACAGGUAAUUUAUUGACUUUAAAUAUUUAUCUCUCUCUUUUUUACUUCACUUUUUCUUUUCUUCUCUUUUUCCUCUAUCUUCUUUCUUUUGUAUUUUCCUUCAUGCUUUUUGGAACCGAACAUAUUCACAUAUAUUCUUGAUUUCUAUUGGGUUUAUGAAAUUUGAGUAGACAUAAUUAAUGGGUCAGUCUUUAUUUUCAUUUGACAUAAUUAAAAUAUUCUCUUUGAUGAGAUAAUCUUAGAUAAAUUGUUAUUUGAUUGCAGCAUAUUCAAUCGAAUUCGAUGGUCUAGCUAUCAUAAAUCAUACAUGUGCACUAUUUACAGUAAAUGAACAGCCACAAACCAUACAUAGAGGAGAUGAGGAUUUCAUAAUAAAUUAUACAAUAAUUACAAAGGAUAUGAUAUUAACUUGCAGUAAAUUGCAACAUCAGCACUCUAAUGCUAGAUUAGAGGAUGGGCAAUGGGCUCAGAGUAAUUAGACAAAGUAAGUCUGAUUAUUAUUAACUUUCCUAAUCUUUCGUGGGCCUUUUGGGUGCUUUAUGUGCAAAAGGUGAAAAAGAGAAAAGACUAUAACUAAAUUGCCAAUCCAUCACUGACGUUAUAGAUUGAUGAACAAUACCAAAGAGGGUGUUACGAAAUAAUGAGAAUAAAUAAUAAGAAAAAUAGAAUAAGAACACAUAGAUAUUUAUGGAAAACUCUAGAUGAGAAAAAUCAUGAAAAGACGAGAAGAAGAUUCAUUAUGUCAAAAAUUGGUACAAAGUGAGAGAGUUGAAAGCGACUACAACAAAAGUAUAAUCAUUGUAACCCUAAAACUAUACAUUAUAUAUAUAUAUAUGCAAGAGUUGAGAACAACUAUGGGAUGAGGUCUAUCGACCCAAUCCCUUCACUACCCCCAUAAAUUUAUCAAAAAAUCUCAUAAUUUUAACUUUACUACAUAUAUUGCAUCGUGAGCUUUUCGAAUCGAAUAAAAAAGAAUUUGGAAUCAUCAAACAUUAACAAAGGGAGUGAGAUCACAACUUUGGAAGGAUUUUUUUAAAAAAAAAUGUAGACUUGAAUGGUAAAUAGUAAAGUGUGUUUGAGAGUGACACUUGAAAGUAUUUUCAAUGUUUUUAAUAUUUGAAAAACAAAAAUUUUUAAAAUAUAAAAAUAUUAAAAACAUUUUCUAAAAUCAAUAUCAAAAACCAUUUUAUAAAAUCAGUAUCAAACUAUCAAACAUAAUUUGAAUUUAAAUAAAGACAAGAACAACAUUGACUCUUAACUCACCAAACCAGUCCCAGUUCACUUAUUGAAUGAAAAGAAAAUAAUUAAAAAUAAAUAACAGCAUCCAUUCUACCAUGUUAUGACGAGUAAAAGACAAUGGAGAUUUUAACUUCGUUGCCUUAAAAGUCGUGCCCCCUUUCAUGAGUAUAUAUAAUAAAAUAUAUUCGUUUGCAUCUCUUGAUAGCAAAUAAUUUGAUAAUUUUUUAGAAUUAAUUAAUGAAGAUAAUUUUUUGAUAAUUAACAGACAAUUAUGUCAAUAUUUUGACAUUAUAUUCAAUUCACCAAAUAAGAUUAUUUUUCACCCAACAAUAAUUUAUGUAGAAUAAUAAAUAAAUUAAAUUAGCAUUUGAUUAAAAAUUGGUUUUGACUUUUGUGAAACCCCACAGUCGCUCACUGCUAAAGGGUUACAGCUAAUCAAAGAUAAAUGAGAGAGAAGAACGGGACAUCGGACAUCCUCACCACCAUCGUCUCGGCAUCAAAGACCCUCUUUCUUCUUCUUCCAAAUUCUGUUCUUGUAAUUUUGUUACAAUCCAACCAUGGAUUCCACUAGCAAUUCUAUGAGACCCUCUUCUUCUUCUUCUUCUUCUUCUUCUUCUUCUUCUUCUAAUUCUAAAUGGAGGUACGAUGUGUUCUUGAGUUUCAGAGGCGAAGAUACCCGCGACAGCUUUACUUCUCAUCUCUACUCGGCUUUGGAUCGUGGCAUCAUUAAAACCUUUAGAGACGAUAAAGAACUUCGAAAGGGAGGAGAGAUUGCACCCGAACUCUUAAAAGCUAUUGAAGAAUCAAGGAUAGCCAUUCUUGUCUUCUCGAAAACCUAUGCUCAUUCCAAGUGGUGUUUGCUGGAGUGCCAGGAAGAAAAGGGACGAAAAGUUUUUCCUAUCUUCUAUCAUGUAGAGCCGUCUGAAGUAAGGAAACAGACUGGGAUUUAUGGAGAAGCAUUUAACAAUCACGAGAGCAAUGCAGACGAGGAGAAGAAGAAGAAGAUAGAGAAGUGGAGGACUGCCUUAUGGAAAGUCGGUAAUUUGAGUGGAUUUCCUCUGCAGGAUGGGUAAAUCCCUACAUCGCUUUUUCUAUUUCCAAUUUUCUGUCAGUUUAUUUUCAUUCUUGUUAAUAAAUGAAAUAUCUAUGAUUACAUAUAUCAAUCAAAAUCCAUUUUUAAGUAGUAGCCAUUAAUAUGUUUGAUUACUUCGAAGUAAUAAGAAAGAGUUAUAAAAAAAAAAAUGAUUUUCUCAUGUUUAAUUUAUUAUUAAAAAAUAUGAAAGAAAAAAAAAUUAAAAUUAAAAUACAAAGGAAAAAAUCAGUGAUUUAAAAAUUUUGGACUGGCAUUGAACCGGUUUUCAUAGAACCGCUCAAUAUGUGGGUUGACCAAAACACUCUUGGGCUUUGUCUGCUGCAUUGGGCCUAUGAUCUUCCCAUCCACCAGCCAGCCCAUAGGCAGCCCAUUGAACAACUUGUCCAUUCCUUCAGGUGUAGGUUAUUUGCAUUGUGAGGAUUUGAACUUGGAUGUUUACAAAAGAAAGAUGCCAACCAUUAUGUUGUACAACUUCUUUGAUAGGUAUAGGUAACAAUAUUUUAUAUUAAUACUAUUUGUAAAUUUUUAUAAUAUAAAACAUUUAAACAAAUAUAAAUAUUUAUAUUCAUGUUUAUUUUUAUAAUAAUUAUUAACAAUAAAUAUGAAAAUAAAUUAAUUAAUAUAAUAUCUUUAAAAUUUUAAAAUAAUAAAAUGUAUAGAUAUGUAGAUAAAAUAAAAUGUUAUAAUUUUCUUCUCAUAUGUAAAUAUUAUACAUAUUUUAUUUAAUAAAAUUUGAUAUACUAAUACAUUUAUAUUUAUGUUUAUCAUUUAAUAGACAUAUCAAAUACAAAAAAAGUGAAAUGCUAUAAUUUUAAUAUUAUAUAAAUUUCUUAAAAUUAUUUUUAAUUUUAAUAAAAUAUAAAUUAUAUAUUUAUGACAUCACCGGUUCGACCACCAGUCCGACUAGUGAACCAUGAACCGGUAACUUUUCCGGUUCAAUAACAAAUCCAGUUCUAAAAACAUUGGAAAAAAAUAUAUAUUUAGUUUAUAAUUGAAAUGAUAUUAGAAAAUCUAUAGUAAUAACAAUAAAAAAUAUAAUAAAAUAAAAUAAUUGUGUCAAAUGCCAAGUUUUGAAUUGUUAAAAAAUCUUUUAGAUUCCAAAAUAUUCUUCCUUUCUAAUCAAUCCAUUUUAGCCAUAAUUUCUAUCAAUUAGAAAAAAGGUAUUCUAUCAAAUAAAUUGUUAAAAUUGCUUAUUAAUAUGCUUUGUAAAUUUGGAGAUAAUCUAGAAUGAUUAUUUAAACAAUUGUAAUACCACCCUAAAUUUUUCUAAAACUUAGUUAUUAAAAUAAUUCUCAUAUUUUCUAUGCACUACAUGAGUUUACAUUUUUUCUUUCCUUAAUAUUGUUUCUUCCUCUAUAUUUGCAAGUUGAUUACCAAAUUUAUUUACCUUUUAAUCUAAUGUUUGUAUCUCGUUUUAUUCUAACUAUCCCAUGAUGUUAGGAUAAUUAAUCUCUUCUUAAGACCUAGUCUUUCACGUUGAAUCAUCUAAUGCUAAACUUAUUCCCUUGCUAUUCUACAUUGUGUACUCAUGGGAUUAAUAUAUUGUAAUUGAAAUUGUUUUUUUUUUUUCCUCUUUUUCUCUUUUAUGUUCUACAUUCCUCUAUGCCUCAAUUACAAAUAAAAGUAAGUAACAUUUGAGCUUGUUUGACAAUAUUUUUGAAACUAAUGUUCAAAAAAUAGUUUUCCCCAACCCAAUGUUGAAAAUAAUGAAUAAAUUUUUAUUUGAAAAUUCAAAUAUGGAAAACACCUUUCUCAACUUAUUAACUAUAAAGGUACGAUAAAUUUAUGUACAAUAUAACAAUACUAGUAUUAUCUAUAUUUUCAAUUCUUUAUCACAAUACUCUAUAAGGAAAUACCUAAAAAAAAUCUCAAAUAUGCUCUUAGAAAUGAACUUGUUUACCAAACCAAUUUUUGAAAAUAAUUUAUAGUAAAAAAAAAAAUUAAAGGGUUUAAUACACUUUACCCCCUCAACCUAUCCCGUGUUUUGUACAUUGCCCCCUUUAGGUUUAAAAUCAAACACAUUACACCCCAAAUUUCUUAAAUUGCAGCAUUCUGCCUUUUUUGUUGGACAAUGUUAGUUUAAGUGGACAAAAAUCUCACAUGUUGUGCAUGUGACUAACUAAUGAAGGGUAGAUUUAUAAAUUCUCAAACCAAAAAAAUCCCCUAACAACUCUCCUUCUCUCUGUCUUCAUCUUCGUUUUCAUCAAACCCUAACCCUCUCUCUGUCUUCAUUUUCAUUUUCAUCAAAUCCUAACUCUAUUUGGAGUGCAAUUUUCAGCAUUCCCCCCCUCUUAUAAGUGGUCAACAGUUUUAGCAUUUUGUCUUCGUCUUCUUACUAUCUUCUCCUCCUUACUAUCUUCUUCUCUUUCCUACUCCAAUCUUCAAACCCUAAUCAUACAUUGUUUUCUUAGGCAUUGUAGAUCUUCCACCUCUGAAGAAGGAGCUAAGGGAGCUUUGAGUUUUGAAUUUUGGGGGUUUGUAGAUGGACAUUUUCUGAUGUGAUUAUUGGAAUGACUUUUUAUUUUUAUUUUUUUCUGCAUUGAUUUUGAAGGGUACCCAUUUGGGUGAAAUUGUUUUUGUGUGUGCAAUGCUCGAUGAAAGGUGGGAUUUGGGUGGUUUGACUUUACAUGUUCUUGUUGUUUGGUUGCUGAGAAAGUGGGGAAAAAGAGGGGAGAUUGGAAUUUUGGGUUGUUAUGGGUUUUCUUUGAUUUGGUUUCUAGAAGGAAAUUGAAAUCUCUACUCAAUGAUGUUAACUAGUUAUAGUGAGGUCGAUGAAUAUUACAAUUUAGGAACUUUGAUUCGUUUUAUUUUUAAUUUUCUCAUUAGCCAAACGAGGUUAGGGGUGUAAUAUGUUACAACUAAAAUGAAGACCAAGAUUGAGAGAGGGAGAGCGACUUUUUAGGUUUAAGAAUUUACAAAUCUACCCUUCAUUAGUCAGUCACAUGCUCAACACGUGACAUUUCCAUCCACUUAAACUAACACUAUCCAACGAAAAAGGCAAAGUGCUGCAAUUUAAGAAGUUUAGGGUGCAAUAUGUUCGAUUUUAAACCUAAAAGGGUAAUGUACAAAACACGAAAUAGGUUGAGGGGGUAAAGUAUAUUAAAUCCAAAAUUAAAUAUAUAUUUAAGUUAUAAAACUAUUUUAUAUUCCAAAGAAAAAAAAUCUAUUUUCAAAAACAAUAUCUAGACAAGCAUUUUUCUUUGAAGUGUCAUUUUAAAAUUUUUUUCCAUGAGUGUAAUUGUUGCUAGGCUUUUGACCAAUAAACAAACAUGUGUAACUUUCCUCGUCAUUGUAAUUUAUAUUUGGGAAAAAAGUGGGGAUUUCAUCACAAUAUGAAACUUAUGUAGCAAUUAUUAGUAACCUAAAUAUAAAUAGAACUAAAAUGGAGAAUUUACUUGUUUACAAAAUAAAUAGUUGAAAGUCUUAUAAGCAUAGAGAAUGGUCAUAAGUCAUGUUGUAAAUAAUAAAAGCAUUGAUAGGUUAAGGAACUUAGGUGGCAAAUUGAUAGAUUUCUAGCCAAACUAUUAUUUGUCUCUAUAAUAAAAUCUCUUAUCAUAAAGGGUAAGGAUACUUUAGAAAGGUCAACUUCAAUUUGGCCCUUUAGAAGCAAUUGAGAUAUUUACAUUAUUUUAUUGCACAUAUACUUGACAUAACACAAUGAAAUUUAAUUCAAACAUGCAACUCAACACAUUUUUAAUUUACAUUCUAUUUGACCUUAAUUUAGUUGCAUUGAAUGAAACUAAACACCAUUCUAUAAUUUCCAUUUACUUCAUCUUUGUUUUCUUUGGCAAUUGAUUCUAACUCACUGCGUGUUUUAUUGUACUUUACAAUGGACAGAUUUGAGGCAGAGUUUAUUGAAGAUAUCAUUGGUGAGAUUAGAAGAUUAAUUCCUAAGUUGGUACAUGUUGGUGAGAACAUGGUUGGAAUGGAUGAAAAUUUGAAAGAAGUGAAGUCAUUGAUAGAUGCCCAAUCAAAUGAAGUGAGCAUGGUUGGGAUUUAUGGGAUUGGUAAAACUACCAUCGCCAAGGUUGUUUACAAUGAUAUGUUAGUUCAAUUUAAACGUCACAACUUUCUUGAAAAUGUGAGAGAGAAAUCUAAAGAUGAUGAUGGUUUGCUUUAAUUACAAAAAAAAAACCUUCUUUGUGAUAUCCUAAUGGAGAAAGAUCCGAAGUUAAGUGCUAUUGGUGAAGGAAUCGAAAAGAUAAAGAAUAAGUGUUGCUUUGAAAAGGUUCUUAUUGUUCUUGAUGAUGUAGAUUGUCCAAGACAAUUAAAAUUCUUAGCUCCUAAUUCUGAAUGUUUUCAUCGAGGAAGCAUAAUCAUUGUGACUACGAGAAAUAAACGUUGCCUAGAUGUACAUGAGUCGUAUUCAUCAUAUGAGGCUAAGGGAUUAGCACACAAGAAAGCUAAGGAACUCUUUUGUUGGAAUGCCUUUCGGCAACACCAUCCACAAGACAAUUAUGUGAACCUCUCUAAUCAUAUAUUGGAUUAUGCUAAAGGCCUUCCAUUGGCACUUGUAGUUUUGGGUUCUUUUCUUUAUAAAAGGGAUGUGGAUGAAUGGGAAAGCACAUUGCAUAAACUAAAAACAAACCCUCUUGACGAUAUUCAAAAGGUACUCCUGGUAAGUUAUGAUGGACUAGAUUAUAAAUGCAAGAAAUUGUUCCUUGAUAUCGCAUGCUUCUUCAAAGGUCAAGAUGAAAAAUUUGUUACAAGAAUACUAGAAGGUUGCAAAUUCCAUCCCAAGAUUGGACUAAGAGUUCUUCAUGAGAGGUGUCUUAUUUCUAUGAAAGACAACACUACAAGGAUGCAUGACUUGUUACAAGAAAUGGGUUGGGCAAUUGUUCGCCAAAAUUAUCCAGAACAUCCUGGAAAAUGGAGUAGAUUGUUGG
rnacentral:lncRNA from 1 species